CGCGCCUUACCGCUCCCUCGCCUCACCUCUCUUCUUGUUCCACGGCCAUCAACGGCGGCACGAGUCGGCGACGAUCAACUGCGGCUGUAAAUUGACCACGAUCAUCUCUCUCUCUCGGCUUGCUCAAAUUUGGCCGAUCUGUGCGCUUGAUUAAGCUUGGCCGAUCUAUGCUUGCUCGAUUACUCUUCCUAUCUUCAGUCAGAGUCAACUGUUUGACAAGAGUCGAAGUCCAAGGUUCUUUUUUACAGGAUUUGAGCUACUCCUUUUAUUCUUCUUGCAUGUUCACUGAUAUGAAGCUUUGAUGUGGUGUUCUGAUAGCGGGUGGAAUUUGAGAUUCUCCUUUCUUCUCUAUAUGAAGGUGCUUGUCAUGUGUCAAGAAAAAUAAAAUUAUUUACCAAAGAUUAUUUUAAGGAGAUUUAUUAUUAUUCGUGGAUCGGGAAGCUCAAAAAAUUUUCUUAUGUAGAACAUAAAGUGAUUUAAAUUUUGCCAUGGUAUAUCCUUUUCUUUGAUUGUGUUGUGGUUUUCCAGUUCUUGGAGAUGCAGAAGAAGUUUAUUUUGUUUUUUGGUAUCUUAUUUAUUUAUUGUUUUCACGAGGAAAUUGCUGUGCUUUUGGAAAUUAAUAUGCUGUGUUGUCAAUGUUGUGUGAAAUCCUUUUAUUGGUGUCUAUGUAAAGUGUUUCAGAUUUCAGACCUGAGAGUUAAUCUUCGCGUACCAGUUGGCUUUUGGGUUUAGUAUUGCUGCUUUUAACAUAAUUGACCUAUGGCCCAAAUCAUUUCUAUAGGGCAAAGCAUAUGAAUGAUAAAUAUUAUCUUUUUUUGGCCUUAUGUAUUUUUAUUUGCAGUGUGAUUUGGUCUAGCUUAAGAGCUUAAGCUUGCAGGUUGGAUUUGUCUGACAGGGAACAAUUUAAUUUGUUCAUCGUGAUGUUUAUAUCCAUUUUGUACUACUAUCAAUUUCAGUCAUGCCUAAUUUUUAUAUGUAUUUCUCGUGGACUCUCAGGGUCAGUGCACAAGAGGAUGAAGACGAUGGACACCCAAAUUUAUAGUGUAUUUUUGUCAUCUUUGUAUGACUGGCAGGUCGUCCUGAUUUGGUACAUGACUGGACACAGGAAUUGGACUCAUAUUUUUCAAACCAGAAUGCCAACAAUCAAGCAUUUUCUUUUGAAAGCACUGGCGUCUUCUUCAAUGCCAAAAAGGUUAGAGAUUUUCUGUAUCCUGUUUUGUAUUUGAUCAGUUUAGCAUGUGGGUGGCAAUCAAGAAAAGUUAUUAUAACAUUUUUGUGUUCCCGAAAAACUGCUGAUGAUGUGUAGUGCAGGAAAUGAAUUGUUUGUGACUUCUUUUUAUUUGUAUUCUUUCUUUUUUCUUUUCUCCCCAACAGGAUUAUGCAUUUCUGAAGAGCUUCUUGAAGUUGAUUACCUUGUAUGCCACUUUCUUUACUCUAUGCUCAGGAUGUGAUUUUGCCAAGCAUUAAAAUGGUUUAGGUCAGAACCAUCAUCUAAAGUUUACUUAAUGCAGCCGAGAAGCUGUAGUAGAGCAAUGAAGGCUGUUGGUGUUAUGAAGGCCAGCUGUGAAGAAAUAUUUGAACUUGUAAUGAGCAUGGAUGGGACACGAUACGAGUAUGCUUCUUUUCUAUUUUUUAUUUUUAGUUACUUUAACAUAAUCAAGACUAUAUUGGCUGUCUCUGUAAGCUGAGUAUUAUAUUUCCUCUUGUAUGCUGUGAAAUUCACAUUGUCUCCAGUCCCGAUUCUGUAUGUGCCUUUUUGAAUAUAUUUAGUUAAUCUGCAUGGUGCUUUCUAAAGAUUAUUACAAACUUUUGUUGCUUAGGUAUAUGAAGAAUGUGGAAAUGAAAAUAGCUUUUGAAGUUUGAUGGAUUGCUUCAUUAAUAAAGAAAGACUAGGACUCAUUUUUAUAACUUUUUCUCCACUUAGCUAAUGGUAUUUGAUGAAGACAAAAUAGAUGUAGCUAUCUGUAUUUUUUGUUGCUGAACUAUAGAUCAAUUGACGGUUGAAGUUAGUUAUAUUAAUUUGUUGUACUAGAAUUAAAGCUUGUAUCUUAGCCAUUUCAUGAAGUGUCAAAUACGUUCUUUCCUUUUUUUUUUCAAAACAUGUUACAUUUUUGAUGUCUAUUACAUAAAAGAGUGUUCUAAAACAGGAGAAGGCGUGCUGCCUGAAAUUACCUGUUUCCUAGCAAAUCUAGCUGGUUUGCGAAUUAGAUUUUAACAAGUCUCUUGGCAAUGUUUGCUAGUAAUGUGUUCAAAUUAUUCUAUUUAAUUUUACUGUCUGUACCCUAAUAAUUCUUGGUUUGCACCAUUGCAUUGUUCCAUAAUCUCUGUGCGUUGGCUUAUAAAGGCCAGCAAGGCUGAUCAUUUGUCGAAUAGUUAUUUCCAUGAAAUUCCUAUCAAUUUGACUCAGUAUUUAGAGGUCUUGAAGAGGGCAGUGUACUAGACAUGGAUUUCUACCUCUUUUGGUUGUACAAUUGUUGUAUUCCUUGGCCAUCAGAUCUUUUUUAUGUACCUUUCUCAAAGUUCAUGCUGCAUGUACACCCUUUUUCAUGUUUUGUGCAGGUGGGAUUGUAGUCUUCUGUAUCGCAGCUUAGUUGAAGAGGUAGAUGGGCAUACGGCUAUUCUCUAUCAUAGGCUUCAGCUGGACUGGUUUCCAAUGUAAUAGUCUCUCGAUUCAAUCAUCUCAUUUAUGCUUUGGUCAGAAUAGAACAUUUAUUGUUUUCUUCUUUCCCCUUUCCUCUCUUCUGAUAUAAUAUGUGAGGAAAUUACCUAAAAUUUUUCUGUAUCCCAAUGUAAUUGUUGGAAUUCAGAAAUAAAAUACAUACACCGUCUUGUUUUUCCCUCGGUUCAGUCCUAAGUUCUCUUUGGGCCUUCUGCAAGUUUUUAAACAUACUAUGACAGUAAAAAAUCUAGUGAUUGAGAUCAUUUUGAUGAAUUUAAUUUUAAUUCUUAGCUGAUACUUUUUCUGGAAAUUUUUUUCUUAUGUUUCCUCAAUAUGACUUAAAAAUAGGGCUUAGUUUGGUUUAGAAGUUCAUCUAAAACCUUCUGCUUGAUUCCAAAAAAAUUCUCAAGGAAGGUCUCAGAUGGAUUUUAGGGGAGUUCUGUGGCAAAUUUGAAAAGUUCAGGGGAAGGGUCUAAUGAAUUUCAAAACCACAUGGGUUAUCUGUUUUAUUCAGAGGAUAGUGCAAUUCCCUAAAAUUUAUCAUUUUUAUUUAAAUAAUCUUCCUACUUUCCUCUGCGGAAUUUAUUUAUAUAUAUAUGAAUUUAUUUGGUUGCAGGUUUGUUUGGCCCCAUGGCCUUUGUUAUGUGCGUUAUUGGCGUUGAAAUGACGAUGCGAGUUAUGGUAAGGUUCUUGCUUCCCCACUUCUUGAAAUUAAAUCUAUCUUUUCUGGCACUAGAAGUUUCCAUAAGCUGUGUUUUGUUAUCACGCAGUUGUGUUAUUUCAUUCUAGGGAGCAUGAGAACUGUGGUCCACAACCAGGAUAUGUACGAGCUCACGUGGAGAGUUAGUUUUCUGUCCUUUACUUUGGUUGAUGUAGAGAAUUAACAAGUGACUAAGUCAUGCCAAGUUGCACCACUUGCUUCCUGUAUUCUGAUUUCUCAGGUGGUGGAUUCAACAUUUCCCCACUAUAACCUCAAAAUGGUAGGCCCAGAACACAGGUACAACAUCUUAUGCAGAUUGAUCUAAAAGGGUGGGGUGUUGGUUGUGUGGCAAUGUUUCAGUAACACUGUCUUCGUCAGAUGUUAAAUAGCGUUGCUGGUAAGUUUCUAGUAUUUCACAUUUUAUUUUGCACUGUUAUGGAUUAAUAUGUUUCUGCUGGGUGGCCAUUUUAAGUCAUAUUUUUACGUGUUACUGUAUUUUCUGUCGGUCCUUUUAUAGGGAACACACACAUACACGUAUGUAGAGUCACCUUUUAAUGAGGGAUCAACCAUUUUAAUAAAAUGAGGAAUGAGCUAAAAGAUAGAGAUUCACGAACUCCAAUGCAAUAUGUGUGUGUGCGUGUGUACACCUUUUCUAACUCUUGUUCUUAGUUAGAUAUUUUUUGGGAUUUCAGGCAAAUGAAAAAAGAGAUUAAGAACAGGUGGAUGAUAACUUUUUAUUUUUUUUUUGGAACAAGGUGGAUGUUAACUUAAAUAUUCAUUUUUAUAUAUUUUGUUAAUGUCCUCUUUAAUGGAUUUCUAUGGAAUUAAUCUUUUUUUUUUCCAAUUAGUUGCAGCCCUAGAGGAAAAGCAGGGUGAUCAAAUUGAUUUAUCUCGUUUUUUUGGAGCAAUCUGCAACACAAUGACCGUGAUAAUGCUUGUGACUGCUGGAAACUUUCUGAUGGAAAUAACUUCAGAGUUCGUAGCAAGCAUUUUGUUAUGACAAAACAAAGGUUCCCGCCAAUUUUGGUUGUUUCUUAUGGUAUUUAUAUAUCUGACAUAUUCUAGUUCGACAUGUAACGAUGUAGUUUGGUUGGUUCUUCUUGUUCUUUGUGCAAUUUGUAACUGCAGAUACAUGUGGGAAAACAUUUAAUGGAUCUUGUUGCUGUUGAUUGGUUCAAAGACACAAAGAGAAUGGACCAUGUAGCUAGGCGUCAAGGCUGUGCUGCACAAGUAACUAUUCUUUUCUUUUUUAUUUUUCCUUUUCCAUUGACGGAUUAGAAGAAAAUACUGCCUGUGAGAUACUACAAUGUAAAUAACUUCUGGUGGUUCAUUGUAUCUAUAGCACUCUGAGCCCUAUUCUAAAAUAUGUAGGUUGCUUUCGAAAAAGGGCUUUUCUCACUGAUCUUUAAUCUUCAAGUAAGCUUGUUUAAUUUCAGAAGGUAUUAGGUUUCAAACUUAUCGUUUUGGGAGGUUGUAUGGUUGUAACGUAAGCAUCUGCAGGUUCCUGGUUCAACACAUUAUAGUAUGGUAUUUUAUUUUGUCACAAGGGAAUUAGUUACAGGAUCCCUUUUGCAAUGGUUUGUUGACAGCGAUGAUGAAUUUCGCAAUAGUAGGCUGAAACUUAUCCCGUCCGUUCCUAAGGUAUCCGUCUUGGUCUUCAUGUAUUAGGACUAUGUUAACGUAUACGUACCCUUCGCUGCAUAGUACACUUCAAUUUGUACAAAGAAGGCAUGCAUUUAGGUGUAAAUGUAUUGAUGGGUUGUACCUUCAAACUUCAUUUCCUUUUUCUACCGAUUUGAAUUUGUUUUGCAUUUGUUCUUGAUUUUAAGCACUGAAUCACGCGGGGGUCAUGGAUCGUGCGCCAGAGUGAUGGAAGCACCCCUUGUUUAUUAGGAAAAGCAGUUGAUUGUAACUAUAUCCACGGUCCUAAGUACUUGGAAGUAAAUGCUCUUCGAAUUCCUAUAGUACAUGGGAUGUGUUCCCUUUCAAAUAGCUUGUUCAAUAUGAUUAACAUGGUUUAACAUUGUUAAUCUUUCUGUAGAUUGAUGUUGACAUGUUCUUGUAAUUGGUGUAAUUACGGCAUUGGUGGUUGACAUGGCUUUCCUUGUGCAGGUAUGUAUGAUUGUUUUUUUCCCCCAGUUCUAAAUGACACAAGGGAAAAGACAUGAUUUUGAGAUAUUGUACUGCAAUUUGCAUAUUUGCAUACUUGAAUGUUCUCAGAAUGGUAUAAUGCUUUGUGUAUGCAGGCAAAUACUACAGAUGAAUUACCGGAGCGGCUGAUUGGAGCUGUACGUGUUUCUUAUAUAGAACUCAAGUCUGCUAUUGUCCCAAAGUUGGAACCAGAGACAUCAUGACUCUGGUUUCAUUUCACCUCAACUGUUUUUUUUUUUUUUAAUUGAAAAAAAAAUCAUUUGUUUUAGGUAUACAUACAUGUAUUUUGAUCCCGUUUUCAUUGUAAUUUCUCAUUUACUUUGAAAGAAAGUCAUUGGUGUUUUCGAAUGGGAAUUUUGCAUUAAAAAAUAAAGAAUACUUAAUAGGAAAUUUCAUGAUUCUUUAGUUACUAUUUUUGGAAUGAGUGUAAUAGUAUUAAAGUUGGUUUCUACUCGCAAACAAGUGAACUACUCGAUCCCCAACUGCGACCACUACUUUUAAAACUCAACAACUAACAAAAAUACUAAUAAAAAAAUGAUUUUCUUAUGAUGCUGUGAAAACAUUUAUGGGUUCACUUAUUUCCACAAGAUCUAUAAAAUGGUAUUGACUUCACGAAAUUCUUUUAAUUUAAAGGGUGUUGGUCUGAGAAAGUCAGUGUGACGGAUUAAUUUCUUCUAAUAAUGGUCGAUUUAAUUUUACUAUGCUCAUAAAACUAUUCUUAUUCUGAUAAUGUCAUAAAUGUUAUGAUGUUUUCUUCGGCUAAUGAUCUUCUAUCAGGACUAGUUAGAAAUCAAAUGCUUAAAACACCAAUUGAAUGAAUAAUGCAGAAGUUUAAACAGUAUCUAAUUGAAAAUUGCAUGAAACAUGAAACAUCAAUUCAAGUCCUUCCUUAAACAGAGAAUGCAUCAAACAAAUCCAAAGUGUCUUGCAAGUCUGUAGCAUGACUAAAAAAUUGUAAAUGCGUUUAGAACCAAAUUAUUCAAGUACAGGAGAACGAGCAAGUUGAAUCAUGUACAAGAGAUUGGCCUGGUUCGAGAUAGCUUCUUCACUGUACCUGAAGGGUUGGCUCAAUCUUUUCUCUAGAAUUCUGCACAUUUUGUAAUUACUCGUGUAAGCAAGCAUACAUUACAACCAUAAUAAUAAUAAAGCAAGAGUAAUGAUACGACCACAACCUCUUGUGCACAAAUAAUAUUGUACAAACUAAUAUGACAUAAUAUGAUUGAUUAAACAAAAACAUAACAUGACCCUCAUUUUUUUUUUUUAUUUUAUGUUUUCAGUCAAGCAACCAUAUUAUGCCACGUUAAUAGCUAUAGAAAUAAUUUGCUAGAUAGUGCCAACACUUCAUUGAUACUCACCAUUUCAUUGAACAAUUUUUUUAUGGUGUCAUUGAGGUUUCCUUCCCAACAUCCUUCAUCAUCACCAUCUUCUUCUUCGGUGGGUUUCACUUUGUUUAGCUUUGGUGCGUCUACGACUCCUUGAGAGAAAAUCUUCAUUGUUGGGCACUGUCUCACAACUACGUGUUCCAAGGACGGGAACUCAAGAGCGUAAUUACCCAAACAAAAGCUUGUUAGGCUUGGCAAGCAAUCAAGUCCCAAGUACUCCAAUUUCCUGAAAACAAUGCAAUCUUCCGCUUCUUCUCCAACCUGCAACUGUAUGAUUUCUUCUAUCAUUUUGCAAUCAGUUAUCUUCAUUAUUCCGAGAUUCAUUAGACUUUCAGAUGUUGAGAGCAUCAAUAAAUUUAUCAACCCAUGACACUCGAAUACUUCCAGAGUCGCAAGAUUUUCCAAAUGCCACGAAGCUGGUACUAAUUUCUGCAACUUACUACAUUCAAAUAUUUCUAGACUUUUCAAGUUUGCAAACACUUUGUUGGAUUUGGCAUUUUCCUUCCAGAGAUGCUGCACUUUGUGUAAUCCAGAUAGCUUUAACUUCAUCAAUUGAGGGAAUGCAACCUGAAAAUCAACAAAAUUAAGUUGUAAAUAAAAAUAUGUAUCCAAGCUCUGCAGUCUUCCCCUGCAUAUUUUAUGGACAAGAUUAAUCACGACAUUUUAUAUUUUUUUCCAAAUUAGUAUGCUUUGCAGUAGGAUCCCAAAUAUAAGUAUCAAAUCGAUUACCCUUUGAAACACAUAAAUGAAAUCUGAUCUUAAAUCCAAUAUGAAUUAGCUAGGAAAACAGAGAUGUAACAUGCAUAAUCGAUAUAGUUCAUCACCUCCUGUCACUAGGGAUCUAAUUAAUUUGAGACAUUUUUAUAAUUCAUACUAUAAAGUUAGUUAAUAACUACGGUUAUAUUGUUAAAUCAGAUAUAAAUUAAGACGACGUGCAAAAAGAUGAGUCAUUAAAUUUGAUUUGAUUCUAAUGAAAUUACAUUUGUGCGAACGAAAGUGAAGGGAAAAAUAAUAAUAAUGAUUACCUUUUCAUCGAAGAGAUGUUGUAUGUGAUUAGCUACCAAGAGGUUCUCUUCUGAUUUUAAUUUUUGAGGUUCCUUAUUAUCGGCUGUCAUGUGCGGUAGAGGUGUAGAAUUGGAUACAAAUGUUUCCAUAUCAGGGCAAUUCUCAAUAAUUAGAUAUUCCAACUUAGGCAUUUCAAUUAUAUUCCCAGUGAGGUUGCAGAAUCUUUUGAGUUUUGGAAGAUCAAUGAGCCUUAGCUCAAAAAGCAUAGGAAACAGGGGGCCUAUAUGUACUUUUUCAGCAUUUAGCUCUUCCAAAUGAAGCACCUCUUCUAGUGAAUCACAAUUGCUCACUUCCAGCCGUAGCAAAUUGUUAAAGCACCGUAGCAGAUUGGCAGGAAUAGCACUCGAAUAUUCGUGCAGUCAUCCACCACCAGCACUACUAAAUUGUUGAAGAAGCUGACAGGCAGUGCUUGGCCAUGCCAUGUUUCUUUCAAACGUGGAAAAGGUGAGAGUUGCAAAUACCAUAUGUCACGGAAUCCAAUCUGCACAAACCAAAACAAUUGCACUGGAUAUAUAUAAACUAUUUUUUUGAAAGGCAUUAGAUAUAUAUAAAAUAUAUAUACAAGGCAGGUGUAUAUGUUCAACGAAUCGAUUUAACACAUACCAUUUCUUUGUAACACUUUUGUAUAGUGGAAUUAAGGUUGCCUUCCCAAUGGCGCAAUUCAUCCUCUUUCUUUUCAGUCACCUGCACUUCGUGCAGCUUUGGUGUGGAUACGAUUCCCUGAGAAAAAGUCUUCAUGUUCUGACAAUGUGUCAUAGAAACUCGUUCCAAUAAUGGGAAUUCAAGAGUGUAAUUCUCCAAACAAAAGCUAGUAAACCUUGGUAAAUAAUCGAGUAUCAAAAGUUUUAAUUCCCUGAAAGCAAUACGAUUCUCCUUCACUUCUUCUCCAACAUGUCCUAUGAUUUCUUCUAUUUUUUCGCAGUGUGAGACAUUAAGAUUCACCAGACUACUAGGAAUUCCAACCUGAAAAUAAAGAGUAGCAUUCAACUAUAUUCAAAAUAUGUCUAAAUCAUACAAUUGUUUUAUGAAAAUAACAAACCAUGAAUGUCUACUAGAUAUUUUUUGUUAAAGAAAAAAAGGAAAACAAUAAAACAAAAAUAAAUAAAUAAAUAGAAAUCCAAAAAAACAAAGAUAAUGAAAAUGCAUUUAUGCUAUUUAGUGUUAGGAAUGUAGAAAGAAUUUCAGGUAAUUUUUAAAUAUUCUAAAUUCAUUUUUCAUCUUGAUGCUAGUUUUUAAAAAUUUUUAAUUUUCAAACAUGCCUAUUUUUAAAAUAACUAAACUAAAACGCUGUAUUUCCCAUUUUUUUUCCUGAUGUUUCCUGCUUUUAAAAAUGGAAAACAUUUCUGGAAAACACUUCCCAACGCCAUCAACAUGGGACUGUUAUAGAGUGAAUAUUUGAGGAAAUUUUUUAAUCAACGGUCGAUUCAAAAUGACCAUCAUGAAUUUGUGCUUAAUCAAUGGCGUAAUCAAUUCAUAACUAAACUAGAGAUAUUAACUACAUUUGAACACUUUUCUUUUUUUUUUUUAAAUCGAAAUCUAAAGACCCAAGGAAAAGAGAAAUAUAUAUGAAUUUGUGAACUUAAAAGCUGAGUAACUAAGUAUCUUUUAAUUUCUGAAAAUCUUAUUUAUUAGGAUUUAAGAAAAAAAACAAUUAAAUUGAAUUAUAUUAUGCUGUUAAAUCGUGUUUAAAACAAUUAUAUUGUUGACUUUAAUGCAGGUGAACCUAUAAAUUAGAUUGAAAAUGCAGAGUUCAGAAUGGUGAUUUGAAGUACACUACUUUUUUUCCCUCCACAAGUUUGAAGUACAAUAGUUGCAAUAAAUAAUUUGUGAAUGAAAAUUAUUUGUAAACACAAAAAUGAUUAAAAUAAUUGUUGAAUGUUAUUUGAAAUAAAAAUUCAAAAUGAAUAUAGCAAUCUUACCAAUGGAGGAAAAAUAUUCAGUAGAUUAUUACACCCAGAUAUCUCCAAACUUUUCAAUUUGCUAAAAGAGUCUAAAGCAAGCUGGUGGUGCCAUAUUUUUCUCAACUGAUCCAUCGAGCUAAUAUGCAAUACCUCCAGACUUGGGAGUCGUACCUGAAUUUAAAAAUUCAAUGCAAUUAGAGAUGGAUAUUAAUUAAAUUUGAAGACUCAACGAUAGAAGAAAUUAACUAUUAAGAAUAAAAUUAAUUAAAAAAAAAAACCUUUUCAUCAAAGAGAGGUUGAGGUUGCAUUUCAGAAUGAAUGGUGUCUUCUGGUGAGGCAAAGCUACUUAGUUUUGGAAGACCAUCGAGCUGCAGGGAGUGUAGUUUAGGAAAAACCUUUAAUUCAUCUCUUCCUCCUAACCCCGUGGUGUUGACUACCCCUUCAAUUGACCGGCAAUUUCGAAUCUCAAGAUGUUGGAGUUGCAAAAGACUAUUAACCAUAGAAUAUGAAAACGGAUACUUCAGACGAUGACACCUUUCCACGGUCACUUUUGUCAAGUUUUGACAACAAUACAUUCCCUGAAAUUGAUCGGGCCAUAAUUUUUUGAUGCUUAUUAAACGGUCAAGUUUCAGUUCCUCCAAGCGUGGAAAAGUAACCUGCAAAGCAAAACCGUACAUUCUUGUUAAUUAAUUAAUUAUUCUUUCGAUGAUUGAAGAUCAAUCGUGAUAAUAUAUUAAUUAAUUAAUUAUUAAAUAGAAAAUUAUUACCUGGUGAACAGGAUCAUCCUCUGCAUUGAUUUCUGUGAAUCCCUCAGUAGUUGUUGGUUUCUCCAUGUCGGGCCCUAUAAAUGAACAAAAACAAUAUAUAAUAAACAUCCGUUGUUUUAUUCACCAAAAAAAAAAAGAAAAAAAGAAAGAGUCAAUGUCAAUAAUCCUACCAAUAAUUAAUUUCAACACUUACCAAUAAUCAUUUUCAAAUCAUCGCAGUCUUCCACUUUUACUUUUUGAAGCCGCAAUAGGUUUUUGGCCAUAGAGAAUGAGAAGAGAUGCUUCAAUUUGUCACAAAAAGCUACUCUUAUAAUCCUUAAGUUGCUGAAAGAUUGAUCUUCUCUGAGUUGGCUGUAGCAUAUCGUCUCCAAAUUAGUUAAAUCAAUAAGAUCCAAUGACUCCAGCAAGGGAAAGACUUCGCAACGAACCCGUCUAACUGAACCGACAAUAUGUACAAUCUCAUAACAACUUUCUACAUGAAGAUGCUUCAAUCGUGGAAAACCUUCCCCAUCGUCUAAUUCAUGAACAACAUUCUGAACACCCUCCAAUUUUACUAGCCAGAGAUCUUCAGUUCUCUGCAGCAACAUUUUCGUCCCAUCAUUCUCCUGGAGAAUGCUAACUUUUUCUAGCCCCUUGAGCAUCAUCAAUCUUAAUGCUUCAGAUUUGACGAGCAAUUGGUCAAUCUCAUAUUCGAGCUUAUCUCCUAUACGUAUCCUAUAUCUUUGCAAUUCCACAGAGACAAAAUCCGGCAACAGAAUUUCGGCAUCCCGAACUUCUAUCUCCAAAGUAGUUAGCUUUGUCAACCUCUUCAACUCGACAAGACUGGCAUUACUUCCUCCUUCAACCUUCUCCCACCCUGAAAAGCUGUUAUCCAUAUACAAUUCUUCUAAUCGAGAUAAUUUUGAAAUGACAUUUGGUGCUAUCACCUGAAGGCUCCAACAAUUGGUCAAAUCUAACAAUCUUAACCCCGUCAAUUGUCCAAUUUCAAGUGGUAACUGCUCGAUAUUGGAAUCUGCAAGGUUGAGAAUCUCUAAUUUCUUUAGCUGUCCAAUUGCCGCUACAUCUUCUAGUUGGCACCAGUCUAAACACAAUGUUUGAAGGUUAAUGAGGCGACCAAGUGAUGAAGGUAAUGAAGAGAAAUGAAUUCCGAUAAGACUUAAAACUUUGAGUUCUUCUGUUCCUUCAAAAAAGAGGUCUGAAAUUUGCACGGGGCCAUAACCCUGUCUAAACAACAAAAAUAACUGGAGAUUGGGACAUUGCAACCUUUCAGGGAGCUCUUGAAUAUUUCUCUGGGGUAAUGAAAUGGCAAUUGGAUCUUUCCGUAUUGUCUCUUCCAUCUUUUUCUCCAAGUCGGCAACAUUUGGGAUAUUAAACAUGCGCGUCUCUGCGGCAACUGAUACGGCAACAACAUGAAUGAUGUCAUGCAUUUUAACUUCAUCUUCAGCAUCACCGUCCAACAAUAAGCAUGAAGAUUUGAGAUUGUCGAUCAACCGAUGCACCCUACUCCUUGCUUCUUCCAAUGUGUAAACAUUUUCAAACAAACCCCAACCCACACCAUAUCUCAAUAAGUAAGGAACUGGUAUAGCAUGACCUUCACUGUAUAGACCACAAAGACGGAACAUAGAUUUUGCUUCCUCACUUCUCAAGAAGUCGUAACUCAAUUUUAUGGAGAGGUACACAUUUUUUUCCAUUCCAUCAAUUUCUUUUGCAUAGGAACUUCUUAGCUGACGCAGCACAUCUUUCCAAGUGUCAAGGCUCUCAUUUUUCAAAGCUUUUGCAAGUGUAAUCAGUGCAACCGGCAGUUCUCCGCAUCUUCCGACGAUCUCAUGUGCUAUAGGUUGAAAAGCAGAUGUUUUCAUUGAAUCACCCACUAUCUUCUGAAAUAAAUGCAAUGCUUCUUCUUUUGAUAAAGCAUCGAUCUGGAUCUCUUUCUGAGAAUUCAUAACAUUGCGCAAUAAAUCUUGACGUCUAGACGUCAGUAUUAUUGUGCAUCGUCGCUGAUCAUCCAUUCUUUCUUUCUUAACAUCCCCGGAAGGAAUUCCAACUUCAUCGAACUUCAGUUCUCCCCAAAUAUUAUCCAAUAUAAUGAGAUGCCGCUCCUCGUUCUUCAAAACUCGACAUAGUCGAUUUGCUCUGUCGAAUAUACUCUCAUUCAACUCAAACUUUAUGCCUAAAUCAGAAGCAAGUUUGUCUUGAAUUUUCUGAUGAUCUGGGUUCUCUGUUACCUCAGCCAUAGCGACCUUAUCGAACAACUUAUCUUUUUCCAUCACUCGCUUUGCAACUUGCUUGACGAGCGUGGUUUUACCCACGCCGCCCAUCCCGUAGACCCCAAUAAUGUUGAGCUUAUCAUCCUUCAACGCCUCCACAACAUCUUGAAAUACUUUCAUUCUUGAAUCAAAGGCCUCGUAAUCUUUCACUUGCAAAUGUUCUGUACUCUCUGGAGCAGGAAGGUAGGAAACUUCCCUGAAGUCGCCUUCUUUUAUGAGACUAUCGGCUGCUUCUUUGUCCAUUGCAGCUUGUUUACUAACCCUGUAACGAGAAAUCAAAUUUGGGCACAAUCCAUCUUCAGUAUCAAUGAUGGGUUUUUCAAUCAAUCCAUCAACUUUUUUAAGCCAGAUUUCGACGUCAUCAAAAAUCUUAUCUCCUUGUCGAGUAGCCUGAUCAACGGCUUUUUCCACCCUUUGUCUUUCUUGUUUCAGCUUCUCCACUUGUUCUUUUAGCCCAUCGAUGUUGCUUUUGUACUCUGGCACAUAAGAUAUUGGUCGUAUAAUAAGUUCGAACAAUGUCUUUGCACCACCGGAUACAAUGCUGGAAAUAGCAUUGAGACACCCUUGUGCAGCCAUUGCGAGACACCCUUCUGCAGCCAUUGCCUGUUGCUAAACAAUAUAUAUAUAUAUAAAUAAAAGUGUCAAAGAAAUGAAUACAAAUAAAUUAAAAUGAACUAGAGGGAAAGACAGAGAAAGGAAAGACCGCAAACAACAUCGCGAUAUUGAUAUUGAACCAACUGAUACCUAAAUAGAGAAUUUCUUUUUCCAUCUUAAGGAUCAGAGGUUUCGCUAUUAACAGAAAGGUAUCCUUCAAGGAAAGUUGAUGGAAAUUAAGAAAGAACCGCUAUCAAUAUCAAGUAUUCUGCUACUAAAAAUAAAUGAUAUGACUUAAGAAAAAUAAAUGAUAUGAUUAAGAAAAACCAGAGAAUUUUUUCCUCGGAAAGUUGAUGGAAAUUAAGAAAAAACCGCUAUGAAGAACAAGUAUCAGAGAUUCUGCUACUAAAAGAAUAUUACAGGUUUUAGAACAAGUGCACCUCUUUACCUGUCUCGGAUCAGAGUUGAUGAGCUGCUGUAUUCACCUUGAAUAUAGAAGAAAAAUUUUAUUGAGCAAAAGGAUCUCUGUUGACUAAAGAGGAAUGCGAGUAACGAGUUGAUGAGAGUAAUAACAAUGAAUUUCCAAAAGAAGACGACUUGAGCAUUAAGCACGCAUCCCUUUUUCAAUCAAAUACUGGUACGUAUGUCCGUAGGGACCAUUAUGCGUAUACGAAGUCUAUUAGUUGCAAUCAGAAGCCCCGGCCCAAUUUAAUUGACACUCGAUUUUUGAUAAGAAGAAGGCAAGGAUAAGGAUAAAGUCAAUCAAUCACCAACAGUAAUUACUUCAAUCUUUGUCAAUAUACUUAAAUUGUCGAUCAACAUGAAAAUUGUUUAAAUUGAUAUUUGUAAAUGAAUCAAUUUUCUAGUUACUAUGAUUAUAACGUUUCACCUUUCAUAUUGGAUUUUAUCUUUUCAAAAGUUUUCAAAUGUGAGUUUCAAUAAUUAUUGAGACUCCAAGCCGUGCUCUCAAGAUUGUGCUGACAAAUCACCAUUAGCUUUAUUUAUGCAUAUUUCAAAGAAAAAAAAAGUUAUGGUUUGUAUUGCCAGCCCUGCUACUUUUUGUUUUUUUUCAUUUGUAUUAUUUACGAAUUAUUUUUUAACAGAAACAUGAGAACUCUUCAUCGUACAAAAUUGCAUGAAAAAACCUUCAAAUUUAUAAAAGUAAAUUUCAUUGACAGAUUGUGGAUAUGUUUGCAAGAAUAAGGAUAAGAAUGAGUUAAGAAAUUAAAAAAAAAAAAAAAGAUAGUGUAAGUAAACAAUGUUUUGGUACAUUUGGUAUUGUUUUCAAAAUAUUUUGAAAAGAAAAAUUUUCAAUCAUCCACCUAAAAAUUAUCUUAUUAUCCAAAAAGUUAUAAAAAUUUAAAUAUACUUAAUUUUAUACCCAUUAUUACAAUGUGUAUAACUGUUUACUAAAAAUUUAAAUAUACUUAACGGAUGUUUAAUACAAAUUGCAUACAUUGGGUGUAAAAUUAAAUAAAUUUAAAUUUUAUAAUAAUUUUAAUAACUGAAUAAACUUUGAGUAAAUGACUGAUAAUUUUUCUUUUAUAAGCUAUAAGAAGUCAAAUAAAAAAUAGGAUGAUAAUUUCUGAUGGGUGUCGAAGCCAACAAAAAUAAAUUCCUACUCUAAAUAAAUUGUGUAUAGUGAUUGAGCAGGGUCGUGUCCACAGAGAUCGGUAAUUAUUUAAAUCCUUUUGAAACGUAAAACGUAAAAUGAGGGAAUUGUUGACAAUAAUAAAAAUCAAACUAAAAUAACGAGAAUGUAAAUUAAAGUUGUGAUUCAAAUUGGAGAAAGCUCUGGUUGAAGGAAUUAACUCAGCUUGAUUCGACUACUGAUCAUUGAUUCAAAUAUAGAUUAUUAUUACUUAUGAAUAGACCGGUUAUAGCUACUGAGACCCUCUAAUAGCCAAUCUCUCCUUAACUAGUCGAUAACCAAAGUACGACCGUUGGUUAUUUCCCUAAUCAAUAGACAACCCUAGAUACGAUCAUAUGAUUUAAUCAAUUGACAGCCUGAAAAACCAGAGAGACCCAAAUCCUAAUCAACACAUAUGAUGAUUCAUUUAAAUUAGAUUGUUUAUUCUCACAACACAACUCUCUGCUAUGUUAUUUGUCACAAACAUUAAAUUCUUCAUACGAUGAAUCCUUUAAUUGACAAUAGAUUAAGUUGAUAAUUAAAUAGUGGCCAAUUACCUAAUUAACAAACAUAAUCAUGAAAAUAAUUCAGAGAAUAAACAAAUACCCAAAAGCAAUAAAACAAUUAAAGCACAAGAAAGAUCUCACAGUACUGAUGAAUCAAAGCUUCAUUAUCCUUCAACCAGAAAAAUGGGUUUAGUUCCUCAUAGAGAGAAGAGAAAAAUUAGAUCUAGGGUUUCUUUUUCUCCAAUCCAAAAAUCCCCUUUUUUCACAAUAGAUUCCUCCCUUAAAUACUCUCUCUCUCUUCUCUUUUAGAGUUCUAUUUAAAAUAAAAUACUAAUAUCUGAAAUAUUAAAUUCGUAAUUACAAAAAUAGCCAAAAAUACAAAACACGUUAAACUCAAAACUGCAGGUUCGCAGUUGACAGCACGCGCCCACGCCUUAUCAACAAAGUUCUUCUGCCGCUCAUAAUUUCUCCAAGAGAACAAUCAUCCUUAAACAUCAUCUUAUAGCUCAAUUUUAUCACCAAUUAAUAGAAUUGCACCUACAAAAGUAAAACACAAGUAAAUCACUAUUAUUAAGUGCAAAACAUCGAUAUUAAGGGAAGUAAACAAUGCAAAACUAGUGCAUAAAUUGCACUCUAACAAUUUCUCUUUUAUAUUGCUCAGAUGAUUUAUUGUUUGGGGACUAAGAUUUUAAGUAUUCAACUUAAAAGAUUAAUAUAUUAUAAAUUGAUUAAUUAAUUAAUCAUUAAGCAACUAAAUUGGGUCCCUGGAUGUCAAUUCCUUUAAUAUUGAUGCAACAACCUUUUUUUGGCAAAUAAUUGUUAAUGCACUUACGGAACUUUUGCGUGUCUACACAGCGAGUUCCAGGACAUUUUCGCAUUGUGCAACAAUUGCUAAUAGCACCUUUUUACGAUUAAUUUAUAAUAUAAUUUCAGUAAAGAUAGAAAUACAAAUUUUAUAUAAAUUGAUAUGAUAUUACUUAAAAACAUUUCAUUGCUCACAUGAGUUACUGCUGAAGCCUAUGAUUUUAGAUACUCAACCCAAAAGAUUAGCCUAUUGAGAGGAGGGAGGUCUAUGAUUUUAGAUACUCAACCCAAAAGAUUAGCUUCUUGAGAGGAGGGACCACUUGUAUUUAUUAGGAAUGGGCAUCAGAUCAGAUUUGGGUUGAUUUGAUCCGAUCCGAUAUGAGCUAAUCUUAUUUGGAUUGGAUUCGAAUUUAGCUCUAAAUCUGAUGGGAUAAGAAUGUUGCAAUCUGAUCAGAUCCGGAUCAAUACGAUCGAUUGCACUUACAAUUAAAAAGAAUACAAAACUUAAAUAUAAAUAAGAAAUAAAAAUUAAAAGACAACCCUAAAUCCCUAAAUCCUUAAAUUUCCCAAAUCAAAACAGAAAGAAUCAAAAAAAGCAACUCAGCCGCAUGCCGACAUUAGCGACGAACCCAGCCAUUCUCUUGAGAAAUAGUUGGCCAGUGUCACGAUCGGUUCCAAUGGCUUGACCACGUCCCCUUCCUCUAGCUCUUCCUCGAGCUAUGUUGUAGUGGCAAAGAAUAACGAUGGAGAAAUAAUGAUAGAACAGCUAACAAAGAAUUUAGUUUGAUUCUCAAUGAUCCUUUUAUUGAAUAAAUUAUGCUCAAUUUAUACACUACUAACUGCAACUUGACAACAAAAGCGCAACUCACAACCAGAAAAUAGCAACAGCAACUAAGAAAUAGCAAGUAAAUCAGAUUCUUGCCUAUUAUUCGGACUAGUGACCCACUACUUUGACUGACUCAACAAAACAAAUAAACUAAAAUGCUGACUCAUGACAGCCAGUUGCAAAGCCGAUGAUGCCCGAGCUGCAUGCCGAUGACGUCCCAGCCGACAGCUGCUGGGCCAGUGACCCGUACAUUGCAAAAGUCCUAAACCUAGUCGUUGCAUUUAUUUGUUUGUUGCAAAGGUUUCAAAUGGAGUCGGAUCCAUUAAAGCUUUUGAGGUGCAGAGGUUAUAAAAAUAGAAUAGAUACUUUGAAAAACUUGCAGAGGUUUGCGUCGUUUGAAUUGCUUGUGAACUUAUUUUUGCAUGCAUGUUAUUCUCUAUGCUUUUUGGUGAUUGUAAAAUUAAUUGUUUGAUUUAGCUUUCCAACUUUUGGGAUGCAAUUGUUACUGGUGUUCUCAACAAAAUAAUUGAUGUGAAAAUGGACGAACUUUCAUUUUUUGUCUUUGUUCUUCCAUUUGCUAGCUUGCUGCAUUUUUUUCUUAAUUUCUAUGAUUUUUCAAUUUUGUAUUUCAACUUGCAAGUGAUUGAGAUUCAUCUGAUUUAUUCGAACACAUCUGAUUCCAAUUUCAGUAUGAUAUUAUCGAUCUGAUCCGAAUCCAAAUUAAUCCGCACUAUUCAUCCAAUUUGAAUGUGAUCCGCACAUAAUCGGAUUGGAUGCAAGUUCAUAUUGCAUUCAUAUGACUUUUUAUCAAUUCGAACAAUCCAAAAUCUGAUCGUAUUAAUCCGAAUAUUAUCUGCAUCCAAUUUUGCCCAUCUCUACUACUUAUAAGCCCAAGUGACUCUCUUUUACUAAUUAACUAGAAAAUAGACCCGCGUUUCACGCGGCUUUGAAAAAAGAAUUUACUAUUAUCUUUUUUUUCUUACUUUACACUUGAUGAAAUAGAUAAAAAAAUAAGAAUUGAUUUUUUUUUAAAGAUGAGGCAGCCUUAUAAAAAAAAAAGUUAUUAGGUAGUAAUAUAAAUAAAGAAGCAACACAAGAUAAAGAAUAAAAUGAGAGAAUAUAUUAUAGAGAGAUUUUAUUCAUUCCAAUUGUGUGUGUACAAAAUAAAAAGAUGAGCUCUCCUUUUAUAGUUACAUAAUCACUCCAUGAAGUUAAUGAAAAAUUAUGGAUCAUAAUUUCUUGUGAGAUAGUGGGAGUUAUAGGGAAGCUAAAGGUUGCUAAUGGGAGAUAGUGGGGAGACUAAGAGAUAUAUGUUAUGAACAUUUAUAUUUAUUUUAAUAAAUUCAUAACACUCCCCCUUGGAUAUUCAUUACAAAAAAUAUGCAUCAUUAAAAUUUUUACAUAAUUGUUAUUGUAUAAUAACAAUCAAAUUAAUUAUGAGAAGAUGAAAAACCAAAUCUAAAAGAAAAUUUCUCUAUUUAUUAGAUAAUAGAGAAUAUACAAAGAAGAGAAAUGGUGAUGCCACAUCACCUCCUCAAGUCCCAACUUUAUAUAGAUAUAUAGAUAUGGGACAUUAUUUAAGAAUUCUUUCUCAAAUGAGGAAAAUUAUCAUACCAUUUUUAUCCAUUAAUUUAGAAUAAAUGCAUUUAUCAUCAUUAUUAUGUUUAAAUCCAUGCAACAUGAUCAUAGAAUCAAAAUUUUCAUGUUGUUGCGUUAGUGCUUAUUUAAGAUCAUAUAAUGACUUUAUUAAUUUACUAAAUUUAUUUUGUAAAUUAGUAAAUUUAUUUUUUCCUUUCUUUGUUGUAAAUCAUUUUGCAUCCAACCACCCUCUAAAGGCUUGGGCCAAUGUUUCAAACAACAAUGCAUCAAGUUCCAAUCUAAGUUAAGAUCCUGCUGAUGCAUCUAGUUGAUUAGAUAAUAAUGAGUCUAUCUCAUUACUUGUUGCCUCUUUCCACAAGGCUGCAUCUGUUGAAGCCAUAGCCUCACUGAGAGUUUAAAGAUCUUCUUCCAUAUUAAAUAGGGAAAUUAUCAUUCUACCAUCUUUCUUUUGACUUAUGUUCAUUUAACCACCACUAAAUUUCAACAUGUUUUCUGCAAUACCUUUCUUUUUAAAUUUGAAUCAAUUAGCCACUUUUACACUAACACUGUUAAAUAAUUUAAACAAAAUGAUAAUUUUACUUCUAAAUAAAUUAAAAUGCCAUUUUAUCUUAUAAAAGCUUUGAAAAAUAAAAAAAUUUUACUUACAAAAUAAUCCAAAAUAGAGGUGCUCAGCUUAUUUUUAUUAAAAAUUUAUAAUUUUGUAAAAUUUUAUUAAAAUAACUAAAUUUAUUUAUUAAAAAUAAAUCCCAAAAUUUUAAUGUUUUAGGGGAUGUUUAUUAAAUCCCAAAAUUUUGCAAUUAUUUUAUAAUUAUAAUUUUUAUUAAAAUAAAAAUUCUAAUUUGGGGAUUUAUUUCUUUAUUAAAUUUAGGGGUAUUUCUAUAAUUAUAAUUAUAAUUUUUUAUUUUUUAUAAAAUAAAAUGAUCUUUUAAUUUAUUUAGGGGUAAAUUUAUCAUUUUGUUUAAAUUAUUUAAUGGUGUUAGUGUAAAAGUGACUAAUUGAUACAAAAUUAAAAAGAAAAGUAGUGCAGAGAACAUGUUAAAAUUUUGUAGUAAUUGAAUGAGCAUAAGGCAAAAGAGUAGUGGUGAAAUGAUAAUUUUCCAAUUAAAUAAAACGGGUGUUCGAUUAAGAACUCUAUCUCUAUCUCCUCGUCCUAUCAAAUAACGUCAACCAUCCAAAAGAAAAAAAUAAAUUGGAAAAGUCCACGGGUAGCAAUAAUUUCUGGUCCGUUCCUGGACCUCCAUUAUCUGGCACUAUGAAUAAUGAAAAUGACAUUGCAAUCGUUAGGUAUCUUGGAAAAAUGACGAAAGUUUUUGGAGGGAGGUGGGGGAAUUGUCAAAAGUUCACACAAUGCGAAACAAGUGUUACAUCCAAUUAAAUUUUAUUUCAUUACCUCUUUUGCCUCAUAAAUAAUAGGAUCACCACGAGAUAAUGAUAAUAUCAAAUAAUGACAACCAUCCAAAUGUAUGAUGGGUCUUCCAAAUUUUGAAAAUGUCGUCAACAUCAAAUCUUCAAUGCCGAAGAAGGUAUAUGCCCAAAAAAUGACACGCAAGACCCACUCCACAGACUAAAUUGUCCUUGAUCAUAUGUAACAAACUUUGGCCUUAUGUGCCUGUGGUGACAUUAGACUGUUCAUUUUCAUUGUUUCUUACCUUCCAUUUACGCCCACUGUAGUAUUAUUUUAUUCACCAUUUUAGCCAUUUAAAUGAAAUUUUAUUUUUGUCAAAAAAUGAACUUUUACUUUUGUCAAAAAUAAAAUGAUACCCUAAAAAUUUAGAAAAAUAGUCACGUAGACCUCAAAUUUUUAAUAUAGGAUACCAAUACCCCUUUUGAUCAUAAUACUACUCUUAGUAGAUGGUAAAAAAAAAAAAAAGACUUCAAAAUUUUUUAUAAAAUUUAAAUAAUUAAUUUCAAUAUUAAAUUUUAAAAUGUGAAUUAAUAUAUUUGUAUCUAUAAAAUACUUGUAAUUAUUACAAAAAAAAUUUAAAUGAAUCCUUAGGUUAAAUAGAUUUUACAAUUAAUAUAAUAUUUCUCAUGUAUUAAUAAUAUUAAAAUUAUUUUAUGUGAUAUUGAAAAUAAUUUAAAUUUUUAUGUAUUUAUUUGAAUAUUAUGUCUCUAUUUAUUAUUAUUUGGUUUAAUAGAAUACGAGAUUUUAAAAUAUUAAAAUAUUUUUAGAUAUUGAAAUUAUUUUAAUAUGUAUACAUUAUUAUAUUCAUUUUAAUAUCCUACUUAUAUUUAUUAUAAAAUAUGAGAAUUAAUUUUUUUAGUUAAUAAAUUUAAAAAAUACUAUAAUAAAAAAAAAGGAUCUUAUUGUCCGGUAUUCACGACAUGAGGUACUACAAAAUUAUUUCCCCGGACGGGUGUGCUUUUCUUAUUUUUAGAAAGAAAAAUAAGUCAAUGGGUUUCAACAAUUUCUAGUCCUAUCUGCCACUAUGACUAAUGGAAACGACAUUGCAAUUGACAUUGCUUUUCGCAAUAUGACUAUUUUUUGGAGAAUCGUCAAAAGUUCACUCCACUAGAGAGUUUUAGGUGGGAGAAUUGUCAAGAGUUCACACCACAUGAAACUAAUGAUAGACUUAAUUUCGCUGUCAGUUCUUUAUUUAUUUAUUUUAUUUAUUUAAUACAUUAUUGUCUUGUUGGUAUUGUGUUGUAAAGAUAUAAAAGUAAAGUAAAAUAUUAAGGGUGCUGUUAAGUUACAACUGAUGUAACUUACAGUUUUUUAAAAAAUAAUGUAAAAAAUUUAAUAGGUGGUGGGACUCAAUUUUUUUUUUUUUGAAGAGAUCAUAAGUUACAGCACUUGUAACUUAACAAAAUCCAAAUAUUAGACAAUAAUACAUAUUAACAAUGCAUAUAAUUUGGGUCUGAUUUUUAAAAAAUUAUUUGAGUACCACCUAUCCUUAAGAUAUUAAUGUGAAUGUAUUUUAAUAGUAAAUAAUAAAUUUUUUUUAACUAUUAUUUGUAUUUCAUACAUUACAUAUUAUAUUUGUUUGAAUUUUAAGUUGUUGCUAAUAAAUAUUUAUGUUGUGAAAGUCGAAUUCAAUAGCUACAAAAGAAGAGAUAAUGGUAUUUUAUAUAGUUUUUAAGAAUACAAGGAUAAGCUGGAUAAUUGACUUAAGUUCUAAUGAUUAAAACAACAACUAUCCCUUAAAUUAUAAUGUCAAUUUCUUUAAUUAGAAUUUUUUUCAACAAUUGCUACAGUUUUUUAAAUAAUAAUGGGAGUUAUAAAUUAUUUAUAUAAAAUUUGUGUAGAAACUAAUGUAACCUAAAAGUGGUUGCUGAAUAACAAUAUUUGAAACUUUAGGUAAUUUUCAUAUCAGCCCUUUUUAUAUUCAGCAACUUUAGAACUUAAACAAACUUGCCCUCGAUCUUAAUUUAUUUACCCCAUUUAAACCCAUGAUGCAUGAUGACAUAAACAGAUUCUUGUGUGAUGAAAACAUCAAGAAAAGACAUCUCAUGUUUUAAUAUAACAGAAAAAAAGCGGUCCAUAAGUCUAUCCAUUAUUUUAUUUAUUCAGUACAAAUGGCCAACUUUAAAAAAUGAUAAAAGUCACACAACGCUUAAGUGAAAAUUAAAAAUGACAUUUUUUAAUACUCUCUGAGUCUCUCUCUCUCCCCCUUUUUUUUCUAAAUAAACCUUAGUUUAAAAUUAGAAGAAUUUUAGAUAUAAAAAUUUGUCAAUCACUUAACAGAAAAGUAGGGGAAUGAAAACAAAGGAGCCCCUGUUAUUAUUGGAAUAUUAAUUAUAGAUGUUAUAAUAUCUAUAACUUGUCGUGGUUCAUUGUAGCAUUCUAAGCCAUAUUCUAAAACUAGGAAAUAGAACCGCACUUCGUCCGGCUUUAAAAAAAAUUAGUAUUAUUUUUUUAUUCCUUUGUAAUUAAUGAAAUUGAUAAAAAAUAUGAAUUAUUUUUUUAAAAGAUGACGCAGUCUUAUAAAACUAAUGUUAUUUAUGAAAGUUAAUUAUUUUUUGUUAACAUUAAAAAUAUAUAUUAAUGUGUAUAGUUAAGUGUACACAACCUUUUCAUCAAUAAAAAUUAUGUUCACACUAAUCAACUCUCCAUUUUUCUUGGUAUAAAUGGCAUUGUUGAGGGAAGAUGAUGAAACCUUCCUUCUUAUAUUAAUUAAUUGAUGUAUUUUAAGCCACUAAAAUUUAAUUGUUGGCAUAAUAAAAUAAAUGAAUGUUUCAAAACUCAUAAUUAAUUAUUAUUAAUGGUUACAUAUUGUUGAAUUUAAAUAGAAAUAGGAAAAGACAUGUAAUCAUUUAUAAUUUAAUAAUUAUUUUAUAUUUUAAUAUUUUGUAAUGUAAUUAUUUUUUAAUUUCAACCAAUUUAUUAAAUAAUAGACAAUAUGAAAUGAUGAGAAAUGGUGAUGCCACAUCACCUCUUGUAGUCCCAACUUUAUAUAUAUGUAUAGAUAGAUAGAUAAAUUAAUUCAUGUAUUUUAUGCCACUAAGGUUUAAUUGCUAGCAUAAUAAAAUAAAUAAAUGUUUCAAAAGACUUAUAAUUAAUUAUUAUUAAUGAUUACAUAUUGUUGAAUUUAAAUAGAAAGAGAAAAAAAAGUACAAAGAAUAUUCACCAAUAUUUUAGAUAUUUUAUAUAAUAGAAAAUAUAAAAAGAUGAGGAAUGAUAUAUAUUAAUAAAGUUACUAUUUAUUAAAUGAGUUAAAUACAAUCAAAUUAAUUAUGAGAAGAUGAAAAGACAAAUUUAAAAAAAAAAAUAUCUAUUUAUUAGAUAAUAGAGAAUAUACAAAGAAGCAAAAUGGUAAUGCCACAUCACCUCCUCAAGUCUUAGCUUUAUAUAUAUAUAUAGAUUAGUAGAUUUGUUAAGAUUUUUAUUAUUGGCAUCAUUGUGUCAAUAUUAUUAUAAUUUAUUCAUUCUAUUGUAAUGAAAAUUUGUCUAUUCUUAGCUACUUAUUAAAUUAUCCUUAAUUUAUUACGAAUAUUUUUGGAGACAAAAGAAACACGUGUAUGUAGGAUUAAUGAUUGGAGAGUUGUAAGUAAAGGUGAUUGCUUCAUUGAGAAGCAUAUUAAAGAAUUAUGGAAAGUUGCACUGUUCCAGAAGCAUAUAUUUAUACUUCCCUAUUUGGACUUGUGAAGUGAUGAUCCGGCCGUAACUAUUGUGAAGCUUUCCUCAAGUAUUCUCAUGCAUACUUGAGGAAAGAUACAAAUUGCAUACAUGUCUAGGAGCCUUAUCAAAGGCGUUAUAUAACUUGUCCAAUUAAUUAAUUCUCUUAAGGGUCAUACCGUGCUCACUCAUUUCAAAAGCAAUUAAGGAUAAGAACUUUCAUCAUUAAUUGAUAUGGCCAGUGUAGAAAAAAUGCCAAGAUCAAAGCACAAGGAUAAGUUUAGAAUUACACUUUUUAAAUUUUGGUUAAUAAAUAAACGUCUAUAUGAAAAUGGAAAAUCUUUUUGGAAUAACUUUUCUUUUCUUUUCUUUUUUUAAUGAAUGUGGAUAUAAAAUUUUAAAAUCGCCAAACCGAAAAGAAAAACAGGGGAAUGAAAAGAGGGCUCUGUUUCUCCUCUGUUUCGAUUUUUUUAUUACUAAACAGGGGAAUGAAGAGAUCAGCUCUUGUCGCAAGUGCAAAUGCAGUUGGUUAUUCUACUUUUGCUAGUGAAGUUUUGGGCCUUGUCGUAAUUGCUGUAAUUGCGACAUCGGUGGUUGACAUGGCUUUCCUUGUACAGGUAUGUAUGAUUGUUUUUUUUUUUUUUGCACUUCUAAAUGGACACUGUUGAAAAGCUUAAAAUUGAACUGAUAAUUUUGUUUGGAAGCUUAGAAAAUUCAUGAGAAAGUGAAAUAGAAUAUUCUGGAUUUCUUACAUAAAAAAAAACAGAAUUAAAGCAAGGUACACAACUAUAACAGAAUCAAAAGCGUGCUUUACUAAUUGGCUGAGCUGGCAUAUACUUCUUUAACUAACAAUGCUGCUGACUGGACUUUAGCUCACACAUGCUUAUUGUGGAGCUACUCUUACUUCACACGUGCUCAGUGUGCUUCCUUAACAGACACAAGGGAAAAGACAUGAUUUUGAGAUUAAUUUAUACCAUAAUAAUAAUAAAGCUAGAGUAAUGAUAUGAAUCAUUAAUUGCUACAAAAUAAUUUGCUAGAUAGCGCCAACACUUAAUUGAUACUCACCAUUUCAUUGAACAAUUGUUUUAUGGUGUCAUUGAGGUUGCCUUCCCAACAUCCUUCAUCAUCAUCAUCUUCUUCAUCCUCAUCAUCUUUUUCUUCGGUGAGUUUCACUUUGUUUAGCUUUGGUGUGUCUACGACUCCUUGUGAGAAAAUCUUCAUCUUUGGGCACUGUCUCGCAAUUACUUGUUCCAAAGGAUGGGAAUUGAAGAGUGUAAUUACCCCGAACAAAGCUUGUUAAGCCUGUCAACCAAUGAAGUGUCAAGUAGUUUCAUUUUCUCGGAAGAACAAUGCAAGCCCUUUCACUUCUCUCAACCUGCAAUUGUUAUGAUCUUCCUUCUAUCAUUUUGCAAUCAGCNNNNNNNNNNNNNNNNNNNNNNNNNNNNNNNNNNNNNNNNNNNNNNNNNNNNNNNNNNNNNNNNNNNNNNNNNNNNNNNNNNNNNNNNNNNNNNNNNNNNUGAGAGUGUCACACAUUUAUCAACCUGUGACACUUCGAUACUUCUAGUCCCCACAGAUUUUCCAAAUGCCACGAAGGUGGUACUAAUUUUUGCAACUUACUACGUUCCGAUAUUUCUAGACUUCCCAUGUUUGCAAACGCUUUGUUGGAUUCGUCAUUUUCCUUCCAGAGAUGCUGCACUUUGUGUAAUCUAGAUAGCUUUAACUCCAUCAAUUGAGGGAAUGCAACCUGAAAAUCAACAAAAUUAAGUUGUAAAUGAAAAUAUGUAUCCAAUCUCUGGAGUCUUCCCCUGCAUAUUUUAUGGACAAGAUUAAUCACGACAUUUUAUAUUUUUUUUCCAAAUUAGUAUGCUUUGCAGUAGGUUCCUAAAUAUAAAUAUCAAAUCGAUUACCCUUUGAAACACAUAAAUGAAAUCUGAGGCUAAAUCCAAUAUGAAUUAGCUAGGAAAACAGAGAUGUAACACACAUAAUUAAUAUAGUUCAUCACCUCGUGUUACCAGGCAUCCAAUUAAUUUCAGACAUUUUUAUAAUUCAUACUAUAAAGUUAGUUAAUAACGGAGGUUAUAUUGUUAAAUCAGAUAUAAAUUAAGACGACGUGCAAAAAGAUGAGUCAUUAAAUUUGAUUUAAUUCUAAUGAAAUUACAUCUAUGCGAACGAAAGUGAAGGGAAAAAUAAUAAUAAUAAUAAUCACAUUUUCAUCGAAGAGGGGUUGUACUUGAUGAGCCAGCAAGAAGUUCUCUUCUGAUGUUAAUUUUUGAGGUUCCUUGUUAUCUGUUGUCACGUGCACUACAGAGUUGGAUAUGAAUGUUUCCAUAUCAGGGCAAUUCUCAAUAGUCAGACGUUUCAACUCAGGCAUUUCAAUUAUAUUCUCAGUGAAGUUGGGAAUCUUUUGAGUUUUGGAAGAUCAAUGAGCCUUAGCUCGAAAAAGCUUAGGAAACAGGGGGCCUAUAUGUUCUUUGUCAACACUUAGCUCUUCCAAAUGAAGCACCUCUGCUAGCGAAUCACAAUUCCUCACUUCCAGGUCCAUCAAAUUGUUCAAGCACCGUAGCAGAUUGGCAGGAAUAGCACUCGACAUAUUCGUGCAGUCAUCCACCACCAGGUGUCCUAAAUUGUUGAAGAAGCUGACAGGCAGUGCUUGGCCAUGCCAUAUUUCUUGCAAACGUGGAAAAUGCGAGAGUUGCAAAUACUUUAUGUCACGAAAUCCAAUCUGCACAAACCAAAACAAUUGCACUGGAUAUAUACAAUUUUUUACUUUUUGAAAGGCACAGACAUAUAUACAUUAAACUUACAUGUUUUGUGCUUAAAUGUGCAAGUGCAAGGGAGAUGCAUGAGCAAUUUUGAUGAAUCGAUUCACACAAAUCAUUUCUUUGUAACACUUUUGUAUAGUGGAAUUAAGAUUGCCUUCACGAUCGUGCAAUUCACCCUCUUCCUUUUUAGUCACUUGCACUUUGUGCAGCUUUGGUGUGGAUAAGAUUCCCAGGGAAAAAGUCUUCAUGUUCGGACAAUGUGUCACAGAUACUUGUUCCAAUGAUGGGAAUUCAAGAGUGUAAUUCUCCAAGCAAAAGCUGGCAAGCCUUGGUAAAUCAUCAAGUAUCAAAAGUUUUAAUUUGCUGAAAGCAAUACGAUUCUCCUUCGCUUCUUCUCCAACAUGUCCUAUGAUUUCUUCUAUUUUUUUGCAGAUUGAUACAUUAAGAUUCACUAAAAUACCCGGAAUUCCAACCUGAAAAUAAGCAAAAGAGUGUGUGUGUAUUAAAAAAGUAAAAAUUAAGAGUAUCAUUCAACUAGGUUCAAAGUAUGUUUAAAUCAUACAAUUAUACGUUUUAUAAACAUAACAAACCAUGAAAUGGCUACUAGAUAAUUUUUGUUAAACAAAAAAGGCAACAAGAUAAGUAAAUAAAUAAAAGCCAGAUAAACAAAGAUAAUAAAAACGCAUUUACACUAUUUAGUAUUAGGAGCGUAGAAAGAAUUUAAGGCAAUUUCUAAAUAUUUUAGACUUAUUUUGCAUUUCGAUGCAAAUUUUUAAAUAAAUUUGAAAUUGCAACUAUUCCUUUAAAAAAAAACUCAACCAAAAUGCUGCUUUUUCCAUUUUCCUUGGUCCCUUUUUUUUAUGUAUAUUAAAAAAUGCAAAAAAAAAAUGGAAAAGACUUCCCAAUACUGUCAACGUAGGACUGUUGUAAAGCGGGUCUUUAUUAAGUACUUCCAUGAAUUUAUGAUUAAUUAAUGUCAUAAUCAAUUCAUAACUAAACUAGAGAUAUUAAUUAAAUUUGAAGACUUUUCUUUUUCUUUUUUUCCAAACGAAAUGUCAAGAAUUAAGGAAAAGAGAAAUAUAUAGAUGAAUUUGUGAACCUAUAAGAUGAGUGACUAUCCUUUAAUUUUUGAAAAUCGUACUUAUUAAGAUAUGAGAAAAACAAUUAAAUUGAAUUAUAUUAUGCUGUUGAAUCGUGUUUAAAAAAAUUAUAUUGUUGAUUCUAAUAAUGGCGAACCUAAAAACUGGACUUAAAACGUAGAUUUCAGAGUGGUGGUUCGAAGUACAAUACUUGAAAUAAAUAAUUAGUGCCUGAAUAUCAUUCGUAAACACAAAAAUGGUUAAAAAAUUGUUGGAUGUAAUUUGAAAAAAAAGAUUCGAAAUGAAUACAGCAACCUUACCAAUGGAGGAAAAAUAUUCAUUAGGUUAUCACACCAAGAUAUCUUCAAAUUCUUCAAUUUGCUGAAAGACUCUGAAGCAAGCUGGUGGUGCCAUAUUCUUCUCAAAUUAUCCAUCCACCAAAUAUGUAAUUCCUCCAACUUCGGAAGUCGUACCUGGCAGUUAAAGGUUAAAUAACUAAUUAAUCGGCAUAAUCUAUUGAUAACCAAAUUAGAGGCUGAUACUAACUAAAUUUGAAGACUCAAGGAAAAGACAAAUUAAAUAUUGUGGCUAAAAUUAAUUUAAAAAAAAAAAAAACCUUUUCGUCAAAGAGAGGUGGAGAUUGCAUUUCAGAAUGAAGGGUGUCUGCUGGUGAGCUCGUAGAGAUGAAUCUUAACAUAUUAUUGCAACCACCAAUCUCGAGGUUUAGUAAAGAAGGGAAUUCAACAACUAAAUCUGAAUGAAUAUGUCCCGUAUUGGCAAAGCUCGUUAGUUUUGGAAGCACACAAAGCCGUAAGGAGUGUAGUUUAGGAAAAACCUCUAACUCAAUCAACUUUCCUUCAUCUCUUCCUCCUAACCACCCUGUGGUGUCGACUACCCCUUCCAUCGACUUACAAGAUCUUAUCACAAGAUGUUGGAGUUGCAAAAGACUAUUAACCAUAGAAUAUGAAAACAGAUACUUCAGACGAUCACAACUUUCCACGGUCAUUUUUGUUAAAUUUCCACAAUAAGACACUCCCUGAAACUGUUCGGGCCAUAAUUUUUCAAUGGUUGUUAACCAUAUAAGUUUCAACUCCUCCAAGCGUGGAAAAAUAACCUGAAGCAAAACGGUACGCUUUUGUUCCGUCAAUUACAACUGUCUAAUAUAAUAAUCUUUUGAUGAUUGAAGAUCAAUCGUGAUAAUAUAUUAAUUUAUUAAUUAUAAAACAGAAAAUUAUCACCUUGUGAACAGAAUCAUCCUCUGCAAUGAUUUCUGUCAAUCCCUGAGUAGCUGUUGGCUUCUCCAUGUCGGGCCCUAUAAAUGAACAAAAACAAUCUAUAAUUAACCUCUGUCCUUUUUUUUUUAAAAAAAAGAGAAAAAAGAAUGAGCCAAUGUCAAUAAUCCUACCAAUAAUUAAUUUCAACACUUACCAAUAAUCAUUUUCAAAUCAUCGCAGUUUUCCACUUCUACUUUUUGAAGCCGCAAUAGGUUUUUGGCCAUGAAGAAUGAGAAGAGAUGCUUCAAUUUGUCACAAAAAAAUACUUUUAUAAUCCUUAAGUUGCUGAAAGAUUGAUCUUCUCUGAGUUGGCUGUAGCAUAUCGUUUCCAAAUUAGUUAAACCAAUAAGAUACAAUGUCUCCAGCAAGGGAAAGACUUUGCAACGAGCUCGUCCAAUUGAACCGACAAUAUGUAAAAUCUCAGGACAGCCUGCUACUAGAAGAUGCUCCAAUUGUGGAAAACCUUCCCCAUCGUCUAAUUCAUGAACAACACUCGGAACACCAUUCAAUGUUACUAGACGGAGAUCUUCAGUUCUUUUUAGCAACAUUUUCAUCCCAUAAUUCUCCAAAAGAAUGCUAACGUUUUCUAGCUCCUGGAGUUUCAUUGAUCUUGAUGUUUCAGAUGUCAAUUUUUCUAGCUCCGUGAUAACUAUGGAUGCUGAUGCUCUAGAUGUGGCGAAGGACACAAGUCCAUUUCGUUGCACUUUUCCUAUACAUAUCUGAUACCUUUGCAAUUCCACAGAGACCAAAUCCUGCGGCAGAAUUUCGGGAUCCGGAACAUCUAUCUCCAAAGUAGUUAGCUUUGACAACCCCUUCAACUCGACAAGACUGGCAUUACUUCCUCCUUCAACCUUAUCCCACUGUGAAAAGCUGCAACCCAUGUACAGUUCUUCUAGUCGAGAUAAUUUGGAUAUGAUGUUAGGAAAUUGGUGGGUGCAGCAGGACCGCAGCUAAAAUAAAAUUGGAAAUAAAAUAAAGAACAAGCACACUAGAGGACACAAGAAAAUUACGUGGUUCGGCUUUUAGCCUACGUCCACGGGCGAAGACAGAAGGAAAUAUUUUACUAGUGAAAAGGAGUUACAAGUAUUGUAGUAUUUUAGCUCACUUCCCAAAAUCCCAAUACACCCAAACUCUCAAAACACUAAACACUCAAGAGUUUAUUAAACUCUUAAAACUCUCAACACUCAAAGAAAGCAAUGCUUCUCUCUCGAUGGAAUUGGAUGAAAAUGAAUGAGGAAGCUCUUCCUUUUAUAGCCAAAAAAUGGCUAUUAAAUUAAUAUAUAUAUGUAUAUAUUUCAAAUGUAGUUACCAACUUCUUCUUUUUCUCCAUUUGGAUGGCACCAUUUUCUUUGGCCGGCUGCACCAUUUUCUUCUUUCAAAUGUCAAACCCUUCUAGAUGCAGCCAUGCCAAACACUUCUAGAUGCAGCCAACUUUGACAUAUGACAUUCGGUGUUAUCACCUCAAGCCUCCUACAAUUGCUCAAAUCCAGCAACUGUAACCGCGUCAAUUGUCCAAAUUCAAGUGGCAACCGCUCAAUAUCGGAACCUCGAAAGCUAAGAAUCUCUAAUUUCUUUAGCUGUCCAACUAUUACUAUAUCUUUUAGUCGGCAAUAUUCUAAACACAAUGUUUGAAGGUUAAUGAGGCGACCAAGUGAUGAAGGUAAUGAAGAGAAGUGAAUUCCAGUAAAAUUCAAAACUCUGAGUCCUUCCGUCCCAUCAAAAAAGUGGUCUGAAAUUGGCAUAGAGCCACCACCCUUUUCAAGCAACAAAAGUAACUCGAGACGGGGACAUUGCAACCUUUCAGGAAGCACUUGAAUACCUCUAUAAGGUAAAGAAAUAGCAAUUGGACCUUCCUGUACUGUCUCUUCCAUCUUUUUGUCCAAGUCGGCAACAUUUGGAAUAUUAAACAUGAGCUCCUCUUUUGCAAUUGAUACGGCAACUACACGAAUGACGUCAUGCAUUUUGACUUCAUCUUCAGCAUCACCGUCCAACAAUAAGCAUGAAGAUUUGAGUUUGCUGAUCAACGUAUGCACUGUACUCCUUGCUUCUUCCGGUGUGUAAACGUUUCUAAAAUAGCCCAUACCCAUACCAUAUCUCAAUAAAGAAGAAACUGGUAUAGCAUGACCUUCACUAAAUAGACCACAAAGAAGGAACAGAGAUUUUGCUUCCUUAUUUCCCAGUAAGUCGUAACUCAAUUUCAAGGAGAGGUACACAUUUUUUUCCAUUCCAUCAAUUUCUUUUGCAUAGGAACUUCUUAGCUGACGCAGCACAUAUUUCCAAGUCUCAAGGCUCAUAUUUUUCAAAGCUUUUGCAAGUGUAAUCAGUGCAACCGGCAGUUCUCCGCAUCUUCCGACGAUCUCAUGUGCUAUAGGUUGAAAAGCAGAUGUUUUCAUUGAAUCACCCACUAUCUUCUGAAAUAAAUACAAUGCUUCUUCUUUUGAUAAAGCAUCGAUCUGGAUCUCUUUCUGAGAAUUCAUAACAUUGUGCAAUAAAUCUUGACGUCUAGACGUCAGUAUUAUUGUGCAUCGUCGCUGAUCAUCCAUUCUUUCUUUCUUAACAUCCCCGGAAGGAAUUCCAACUUCAUCGAACUUCAGUUCUCCCCAAAUAUUAUCCAAUAUAAUGAGAUGCCGCUCCUCGUUCUUCAAAACUCGACAUAGUCGAUUUGCUCUGUCGAAUAUACUCUCAUUCAACUCAAACUUUAUGCCUAAAUCAGAAGCAAGUUUGUCUUGAAUUUUCUGAUGAUCUGGGUUCUCUGUUACCUCAGCCAUAGCGACCUUAUCGAACAACUUAUCUUCCGUCACUUGCUUUGCAACUUGCUUGACGAGCGUGGUUUUACCCACUCCGCCCAUCCCGUAGACCCCAAUUAUGUUGAGCUUAUCAUCCUUCAACGCCUCCAAAACAUCUUGAAAUACUUUCUUUCUUGAGUCAAAGGCCUCGUAAUCUUUCACUUGCAUAUAUUCUGUACUCUUUGGAGCAGGACGAUAGGAAACACUAGAGAAGUUGCCUUUUCCCACGAGAUCAGCAGCAUCUUUUGCGGCCUUUGCUGCUUUUUUACUGAGUUUGUAACGAGACAACAAAUUUGGGCACAAUCCUUUGAAGCAAUACUUCUUGGCUCCAUUUUCAUCAUCAAUAAUGGAGUUUGCAACCCCUUCACUGAUGAAUUCAUCAACGCUAUGUAGCCAAUCUGCGACACCCUCAUAAAGCUCAUCCCCUUGUAGCCUAGCAUGAUUAACUGGUUGCUGCACCAUUUCUCUUUUACAUCCCAGCUGCAUUACUUGAUCUUUUAGCUCAUCUACGUAGCUCUGGUACUUGAACACAUAAGAUAUCUGCCGUAUAAUCGGUUUGAACAGUGACUUUGCACCUUCUGAUACGAUGCUUGAAAAACCACCGAGACAGAAUUCUACAGCCAUUGCCUGUUGCUUAACGAUGUAUGUGUAGUUUUUGGCUGUUAAAAAAAACAAAAAUUGGAUUCAAAUAAAUUAAAUGAACUAGAGGGGAAGAAAAAGAAAGAAACGACAACAAACAACUUUUUAGAGAAAGGUUGAUAUUGUUACAGAACACAUGUUCAUUUUUAACAAAUUGAUCAAUAACUCUAUUCGCUAUUUAAUUGAUAUUGUAACCAAUUUUAAGAGAAUAUAAUAAUAAUCCUUCGAUGCAUAAAUUUAGAAUUAGAUUUUUUAACUUUUUAUUUAAAUAUAAAUCUCAAUGGAAAAUUAUAAAAAUUUAGAGAUAAAAUUUUUCAAUCACCAAACGGAAAAACAGGGGAAUGAAAACAGAGGAAUCUUGUUUUACCUUUUUUUUUUUUUAACCUUCACUCUUGUUCUUAUAUAAAUAAUCUUGUUCUGAUGAUAGUGCUCGUGACUGCAGGAAAAUUUCUAGUGGAAACAACUCAAUUUCAGAAGAAUUUAUUCAAUUGACUCUGUACUUGAACUCGUUGGAUUGGUUGAUUUAUGAUUGACUGAAUUUAUUCAAUUCGGCCUAAAAGAUCUUUAACCAAAGUUUAAUAGCUAUCAUCUACUCCUUAAAAAAAAAUAUGUAUCUUUUUUAGAUUUGACUGAAUUUGAACUUGCUGGAUUGGUUUUUUUUAGAUUAUUAAAAUGGGGCACUGCAAAGUAAGUAUUCUAAAAUCUGUAUGUUGCUUUAGAAAAAGGGCUUUUCCCACUGAUCUUUAUUCUUCAAGUAAACUUAGAUACAAAGUAAAUCUAAAAAAAUGACAAACAAACAAUGAAAUAAACGACAACAAACUGGCAAUUUUGACACAAAGCCAACAAUUAAAAUUUAGGACAUUUUUUUUUCUUGCUUUCUUUUUUUGGAGGAUUAGAGAUUUUGGUAUUACCAGAAAGGUUUCAAGGGUCUGAGUUUCAAGGGUCUGAGUAGAAACCUAUAAUCUUUUGAAAAACUUUGUUUUUUUUUAAAAAAAAAUUUGGGGAAAGGAUGCAAAUUAACCAAAGGAAAUAAUAAGAGCACAGGCUUUAACAAUGAACAAUAACUUAAAACUCAUGCAAAAUAAAUUCAAUAUUAAAGCAAACCAGAGAAAUUUUUUUCUUGAAAAGUAGAUGGAAAUUAUGAAAGAACAGAUGUCAAGAUCAAGGAUCAGGGAUUCUACUACCCAAAAAAAAAAAAAAAAAAUUAAAGGAUUUGGAAAAUGUGCACCUAGAGUUGGUGAGCUUCUCUCUAUUCACUUGAAUAUUUAAGAACAGCUGGGGAAUGUGUGAGAAAAGAGUUGACGAGAGAAAUAACAAUGACUUGCAGAAGAAAAACCAUUAAUCAAGCACACCUUUUUAUAUCCUGUAUUUGGUUAUUGUUGCCCUCUUGACGCAUGUAGAGAAUAAUUAUGUGCAUUUUUGUUUUUAAUCCGCAUGCACUUUAAUGAUUAGUGCUCCUUUCAUAAAGCAGAUACCGGAAACACACAAAUAUCAUUUGAGAGAGAAACUAAACAGCAAAUCAUCAAAGUAAGAUCAAUAAUAUAUGAUUUGGUUAAUGCAUAUUCAAGAACAAAAACAAAAAUAAAUAAAUAAAGAAGGUUUGAUUUUGUUUUGCCAACGCUGCUUUUUUGUUAUUUCUCACUCAUCUUCAAUCCUCAAGUAAAAUUAGGUAAAAAGCAAAUAUAAUAAAAAAACAAACAAAUUAACAAAAAAAGAAAAAAAAACAUUGAUCUUGAGACAACUGAUACUUAAACAGAGAAUUCUUUAUUCUUUUUUACUUCCCCUCCCCCCCCCCCCCCCCCGGGCUCGAGGAUUAGUUUUUGCUAUUAACAGAGAGGUUUUAAGAGUCUGAAUAAAACCAGCGCUUUUUUUAAAAACCUCUUUUUUUUCUUUUUUCUUUUUUGGGAAGAUAGAUUCAAAUUAACCAAAGCUAGUAAUAAGAACACAGACCUUACAAAUGAACAAUAACUUACAACUCAAGCAACAUAAAUGAUAAGAUUAAAACAAACCGGAGAAAUUUUUCUUGGAAAAUAGACGGAAAUUAAGUAAGAACUGCUGUUAAAAGAAAUUAUUAGAGGAUUUAGGAGAAUGUGUACCUCUUUAAUUAUUUGGGAUCAGAGAGUUGAUGAGCUCUCUAUUCGCCUUGAAUAUUGAGUAAGAACUGGUAUUAAAAGAAAUUAUUAAGAACAAUAUUUUAGUGAGCAAAAUAUCACUGUUAACUGCAGAGGAAUUUUGUGAGUAAAAUGCUGAAAGAGCAGUAACAAUGAAUUGCAAAAGAAGAAGACUUAACCAAGCACCCCUUCUAUACCCGAUUUUUAAGAUUUAAUUUUGAAGUUCAGAAUCAAGAACAAAGACGAAGCUUUAAUAAAGCAUGCAGUGAGAUACAAGAAAUGGAUCGGGCAAAAUACCUUACGAAGCGUUUCAUAUUUUCUAAUGAAAUAAUUUAGUUGAAGUUUUCGACGAAUAAAUACCUGUUGUGCUUGAAUAAUUUUGGCAUAUACAUUACUUGUAUCCGGCGAAAUUGAAAAGCACACUCAUUUACAGAGCUUGUUAGUGGGGAAAAGCUUCGUAAGAUGCCUGAUAAAAGAUAAAGCAAAAGCUUGAAUGAAGAAUGACAUUUUAGAAAGAAACUAAAGUGCAAUCAUCAAAGUAGGAUCAAUAGUGAGUUGAUCAGUUAUGCUUUUUGUUAUUUCAAUUGUCCUGUCCACAAAUGAUGCUUCGUUAUUACUAAUUCCACAUGGACAUUAUUUAGAAACUGUUCUUAUGUUUAACAGAAAAAUGAAAACUCGUCAUCAUACAAAACUGCGUGAACAAAUCUUCAAUUUGAUUAUUAUAAAAUAAAGAAGUUUCAUUACUAGAUUAUGCGGACGUUAAUGUUAGAGAUUUCAUCAGAUUAUCAUAUAAUUUACCAAACGCUUUGAGAAGAACAUGAAUUAAUUAGUUAAAAAUUUAAAAAUAAAAUAAAUAAAGAGUACAUGCAAAUAUUGUUGCUUCCAAUCACCAAAGUGAAAAACAGGGGAAUGAUAACAGACGAGUCCCUGAUUAUCCUCUCUCUCUCUUUUUUCAAUCUCUCUUUAUGUUAUGAUUGAAUAAUUGUAUAGAAAGUGUGACGGUUGCUGCAGCAUUAUGAAGUCAAAAUUGAGAACGACAUUAAAUAAUCAAUCUCUUUAUGUAUAUACUCGAAUGUCUGAUAGUGUUCAGACUUGGAUUUUCUAUAAACACAGAUUCGAAAUCCAAAUAAUUGAAUAAUUGUGUGCGUUCAAAUUCAGCAUUUAAUUUCUAUAUAAUUGGACAUAAAUGCGUAUUUUUUAUUUAGCCCAUUUCGGUCCAUGUUCAAAUAAACAUAUUUCUGUGGAUGAUAAUAUCAGGACCUCUGAUGCUUUUUUUUUUAUCAGAAAUUUUAUUUUUAACUCUUCGUUAUUUAGAUAUAAAUUUUUGCAGUCACCAAAUAGAAAAACAGGGGAAUGAAAACAGAAGAGCCGUGUCCUAAAUCAGGAGUAGGUGUUUUGCCUAAAAGUACCACUUUCCUAGCAAAUCUAGUGGGUUUACUGAAUAAAAUUUUUAAUUAUUCUGUUUGAUCUUUCUCUCUUUAUCCUAAGCAUUCUUGGUUGGGAUCGCUGCAUUGUCCUGUAAUCCGUGUGCCUUAGUGAAAAGAGUAAUGGGUAACUGUAGUUAUGGGUACUUGAGAGCUCACGAUGAGGGUAGCUUGGUAAUGGGACUAUCCAUAUCUGAGCAUCAGAGCUUGACAUCUUUGAUAAAUACAUAUGCUUACUGGUACUGUUUUUGCAUAUGUCUUUCACAAAAUCUUUGUAUAGGCUUACAUAGAGAAGAAGAUUCACCAAUAAAGUGUUGGCUCCACUGGCAAUGAAGUCCCUUAAGUGGCUUGACUGGGUUUGCUCCUCAGUUCUAGUCUGGGUUGUGGUACGGGCUUAAAGGUGCCUCCCACAGUUGGGGCCUUCCCCAGGAUACCUCGUGGUCAAAACAAAAAAAAAAUAGAGAAGAAGAUUCGGAUAACUUUCAAAAUCUGAAUCCGCCUGAUGGACGGACUUGACCACACAGCCCCGUGACAAGGAAGUCCAAGCAACUAACCUAAACCGUUCUCCUUUAGUCCUUUAUUAGGUUGUUCAAAAUGAAAUUAUACUGAGGAGCACCCCCCCCCCCCCCCAAAAAAAAGUUCUUUUAUAUAUUUUUCUUGGAAUUUUAGGCAAAAGAAAAAAAAACUGAGAACGAUUUCAAGCGAACAAGUGGAUAAUAACUAAAAUACUUAUUUUUAUAUAUUUGAUAUAUGCGCUCACUAUUAAUAGAACUUAUUAGAUACUACAACUUAAAUAACUUCCAGUGGUUGAUUGAGGGUAUGUUUGGGAUUUCCUUUACUUUCCAAGAAUUAAUUUCUACCUUGAUUCUGAACAAAAAAAUAAUUUUACAAAUAAUUUAUUAGGGUGUUUGGUAAAUGAUGAUUAUUUGACAAUCAAUUUUUAAAUGGUUUACUAUACAAAUCUGGUAAAUGAAAAUUAAAAGUGUAAAAUGUUCAUGUACAAUGACAAAAAUGUACUUGUUUACUUUUUUGUAAUUUAUUUAGAAUAUUAUUAUUUAAAUCUUUUUUAUUUACAACAUUUUUAAGAGCAUAUUCUAUUUUCUUUAUUACAUAUUUAAAUAAUUUUUUAUUAACUAUUUUAAUUUGCAAUAAAAUUAACUUGAAUAUUUUUUUAACUAAAAAAAUUGUUAUCUAGUUCGUGAUAUAACAAAUACUAACAUAUCAUCAAAUUGAUUAAUAAAUUAAGUGCAAAAAAGAAAAUGCAAAAAUUUAAUCUUUAUAGCUCAUAGAAAUAUAAUAUUAUAUACAUGUGUGUAAAAAACAACAUAUGACCAUAAUAUUAUCCACUCAUUAAACUUGCUGCACUAUUAUUUCUCAAUCUCUCCAUCUCUCGACCUUCAAGAACAUUACUACCAUAAUCUUCUUCUUGAAUUCAACCUCCAUUUCCUCAUCAUCAACAAUGCGACCAAUUUGCCUUGAUAGCCUUUCAACUCCUCCCACUUUCCUCCCUUUUGCAGACACUCUUUUUCUUUUUCUUUUUCUGUCUUUAAUAGCUUCAAUGGGAACAACCUCAUCUGACGACAAGUCCAUUCUUCAACUAGGACAGAGUUGGUAGUAGAUAUUCUAGUACUCUCAAACGAUGCCCAAACGGGGUCACCAGUGAUUGUUGUAUUAAAAGACAUUCUAUUUAAUUUUCCUCUGACUCUUGGUCGAUACCUUUUGUACAAAAUCUAUUUACUUCAGGAAUUUUAUACAUAUGUCGAUAUCAUAUUAAAGUGAAUUCAGAUCCUAUAUUAUUGACAUUAAAAUUUAGCCGAAUAGUAAAAAAUUUCCCUUUUUGUUUGUCACACAACUAUAUAGUCCCAUUUUUGGUUAUAAGCUCACGAUAUGCAAGGGAAAUGAAGAUCUAUUAAAAACUUCCCCAUAAUAUUAAACAUUAAACAAUAUCAACAUUUUGUGCAUAUGGUGCCUCGUCAACAAUUUGAUGUUCAUUUUGUUGCUCGGAGGAAUAUGACUACCUAUUAAUUAAUUAGCAAGAAUUGCGUUGCGAGUCCAUGUUUUUUGUCGUUUGGAUGGAGGAUGUGCUAUCUUUUUAUUGUAGAUGCUUUGUAAGGCUUUUGAUUUAAUGAUUGAAUGCAGUCAAUUAACAAAAGCUUACAUACAGUAUUAUGUAGUUGCUGAGAUGUCUAUUCUUGAUAAAGUCGAUUUAUUUACACCCAAGCCAACGGAAUCAAAGCCUUUUCGUUAAUAAUAUACACGGUAAUUGUUUUUGUUAAAUUGAUUUCUGGCUAACAAGAUCUUUGAAAGCAUUUAUUAAAGAAACCACUGACUCAUAAGAAAGCCAUGAUUAAAUACACAGCCAAGCAUGUGAGCUCGUUUUUCAAUCUCUUUGAUCACUCAUAAGCUUCUCUAUACCACUCACUGUAUCAUCCUUUUAAGUCAAUUUUGACUGAUCAUCAGAGAUCAUGCACCCCACCUUGAGAUGAUUGAUCACCAAUUUGGCAUUGUAACGUUGAUCACCUCUAAUUGGCCAUGCUAAAAUUGGGACCUCACAGCCAAUUGCUUCUACAGUUGAAUUUUAUCCACAGUGAGAUAAAAAUCCACCUAUUAAUUGAUAACUCAGUAUCAAUAAUUGUGGCACCAUUCCAUCUAUUAUCAAACCCUUUUUACCGACUCUACUAUCUAAACCACUACAAAAAUAAGCUGGUUAAAUGACGUGGAGGAUCCAAUCUAUUUACAUCAGUUUGAAUUACCUAAAUAAUCGGUGGAUUUGAUGCUUCUAAAUCAUUGGCUAAUGUUGAAUAAUCAUUUAAGGUGGGACCCAUUUCGGUACCAAAUGACAUGUAUAACACGGAUCCACAUGAUUUCAAAUCUAACCAUUGAAUGAUCUCAUCUUCGGUCAUGUUAGAACUUCGCCGGUUGGUUCUCAUCUCACAAUCACGAAGCACUGAACCAGCCGAUUUGUAAAAUUGUUCAGGUAACAAUUGGCCCACUCCCCACACUGGCAUCAACACCAUCGAUCCCUCCACUUGCUUCAUCCAGUGUGGUUGAUCACUCGGUUCUGAUGGGCCUAUUUAUUCUGAACCGGGUGCACCUCACAAAGGUUGUGGACCACCAGGAAGGGACCCGUGAGGCCUGCGUUUAAGAUCCGAUUCGAAUAAAGCAAUAUCCUUGGGUAACCCAAGAAGUAAACGGGCCUCUCCCGGUUUGACAUCCUGGAUGCGAGCCUGCCACAUGGCACACUCCACAGCUGCUGAGCAAGCAUCAGAAGUGAAGAACCCAACAAUGGGAACUUCAAAAUUCUUGAAAACAUCAGCCGUCCAGCCCAUCAUAACGCCGAUGACUACGCAAACAGGUCGGCUUUCGGGUUCCGGGUUGAAAGGAGGUUUCGAAGGCCUUGAAGCAUUUGGCUGUGCAUGACAACAUGGUGGUGAGAAGGAGGUGAUGGUAGUGGUUGAGAUGGGGAGGGUAUUUCGGUAAUUUCAAAUAGAGCGUAUUGGUGAAGAGAGGAAGGGGUGAUGCUGGUGGUAGAAACGUGAGAGGGAAUAAUGAGGGUAGAUUUGUAACAACGAGAAGUGAUUUGCUUGCAUAAUUCAAUGCAUGGAAACAGAUGUCCCUGACCGAAGAAUGGGACAAUCCAAAUCUCAGCCUCAGCAGCAUUCGCAACAGAGCUUGACAUCUUUUAUGAAUUAUUUGAGACUUAAUUGUUAUUGACUGCUUUUGCCAUCUUUCAUAAAACAUUCUUUGUUAUAUAUAAAGAGAUGACUUGAUGGAGAAGCAAGUGUUUUACUUUUAUAGUUUUACUAGUAGUUGAGCUCUGAUUUUGAUAAUUUGAUUGUUAGUUUUAGUUGGUUAGUUAUGAGAAAGCAUCUUUCACAAAAUUCAUUCCAGUUUCAACUAAAAUUAACAAUACUGUUCAAAUUAAUUACUGGAUCAACAAAUAGUCAUAGGCAAAUCUAUCCCUAGCGCUAGAUCUUGAACAUAAUUAUUAUCAUAAUCUCCCCUUCCCCCACCCCCCACCCCCAAAAAAAAAUUUACUAAAUAUCUUUUGUUAUAUAAUGAACAAGAUAAGUUGACGGAGAAGGGUUCUACUUUUACUAGUAAAUGAGCUUUGAGUAGUUAAGAAGGUUAGUUUUAGUUAGUUAAAUAUCUACCAUCCGAAUCAAAGUUCCUUAGACUAUUAUUCAAGUGAGAUGCUUGAGUAACAUAUACUUGUGUUAGUUGGUGCCUAACAAUUCGUGUGAUACAUGAAACCAACCACUAUGAAAUCCAAAUGAAGCUGGUAGGAUUAGAUUAAUUUAAAUGAAAAUAAAAAUUUGUUUAUGCUAUUUAUUAAUCUUAUAAUGUUGAAACUUGAAAGUUAAUUCUUCAACCUGUCAAUUGGUUCAUGACAUGGUUUAAUAUUCAAGUAAAUAAAUUUAUCGUUUAAAAUUAAUUUUUCAUGUGGUAAAAGCAAUACAAAAUAUGGGGUGGAGAGAAUAAUUUGUAGGGUAUACCCCCACCAUUUAUUUAAUUUCAUUAAAAAAAAAGAAAAGAAAUAAAGGCUUGUUCAACAUUCAAUUAAAAUUAACAAUUCCAUGAUAAAAUUACUUGAGAAUAAAAAUUAAAAAAAAAAAAGUAACACAAAAACGAGGAAUUUUUGAGUAACUGAAGAACCAUAGAUGUUUUUUGGUCAUGAGCAAUUUUUGAGUUGAGACAGAACUUGUAUAAAAAAAUAGUUUUGAAUAACUUCUUUUCUUUUUUCAUAAAUAUAGAUAUAAAAUUUUAAAGUCACCAAACACAAAACCAGGAAAAUGGAAAGGAAGCCCCUGUUUCUCCUCUGUUGCAAGAACAAAUUCGGUUUCUACAGGAGUACCUUCUAAAUGCACCAUUUGUAUUGCUUUGUUUCCACGUAAGCUAACGGAAUUUUUAAUGAAAUUAAAUAAAUACAAUCUCACUGACCGAAAAGUUCUGUAGCUGUUUCAAUUCAAUUGCAUACAUUGACGAAACAUUAAAUACGGAAAAAACAAAAAAGAAGUAAUAGGACAUGGGGAUUUCGAGAACUUCUAAAGAGAGAAAUCUAUUUAUAAGCAUUGAAAAUUAGCUCAUUAAAUUUGACAGAAUAAUAUACAAUCUCACUGUUGGCCAGAAAAUAAUAGUAAGAACUUGUGAACAUAUAUAAUCAAUUGUUUAUUACUUAAGCUCUUUUUCUUCGUUAUUUUGAAUGGGUGCAAAGAAGAGAAGUUUUGUACCCAAAUUCCAACUCGAAUUGUGUAGGCUGCUUGCAAGAGCUUCAUUAGAUUUUUAUUUGUCUUUUAAUAGUGCUACUCGAUAAAUACAGCUAGCUACCUGUCUUUUUUGUUACUGGACUAUAGAUCAAUUGACAGUUGAAGUUAUAUUAAUUUGUUGUACUGGAAUUGAAGCUUGUAUCUUAGCCAUUUCGUGAAGUGUCAAAUAUAUUUUUAAUUUCCUUAAAAUUGUUCAAAAUAUGUUUACACUUUUAAAGUCACUAUUAUACAUGAGUGCCCUAAAAUAGGAGAAGGCGAUUUGCCUGACAUUACCUGUUUCCUGUCAAAUCUAGCAGGUUUACUGAUUAGAUUUUAACAAGUCUCUUGGCAAAGUUUGCUAGAAAUGGAAUCAAAUUAUUCUAUUUAAUCUUACUGUCCAUACCCUAAUAGUUCUUGAUUUGCAUCACUGCAUCGUUCUAUAAUCUGUGUGCGUUGGCUUAUAAAGGCUAGCAAGGCUGACCAUUCGUAGCAUAGUUUUUUUUUUUUUUUUUUUCCACAAUGAAACUCCUAUUGAUUUGACUCAGUAUUUAGAGGCGUUAACGAGGGCACUAUACUAGACAUGGAUUUCUACCGCUUUUGGUUGUACAAUUGUUGUAAUCCUUGGCCAUCAAAUCAUUUUUACGUAGCUUUCUCAGAGUUCAUGCCAAGUGUACAUUAAUGUUUUUAUGUUUUGGAUGCAAGUGGGAUUCUAGUUCUCUAUGGCAGUUGAAGAGGUAAAUGGGCAUGGAGCUAUGCUCUAUCAUAGGCUUCGGCCGCUACAAGAAAUUUGAUUUCUUAAGACGAUAUUUUUUACAACUUUAAAUUUGGUCACAAAAUUGUAUUUAUUGUGACAAAUUUUUAAAAUCGUAGUUAAUAAUCUUGUCGUAACUUAUAUUGUUUUUUGUAACCAAUUGUUUUUAUUUUGAGACUUGUUCAUUGGUCAUUAAUUAAAUUUUUUUAUGACAAAAAUUAUUUUAGUCACCAAAAGAUAUAUUUUUUUGGCGCAAAAUCUUCCCUCCAAAAGUGAUUAUUUUGAGACAAUAUUUCACUAUUUAUGACAAAAUAAAUAGUCACGAAAUAUAAUGAUAGGCGACCAAAUUAUUUGGUAACUAAAAGAAGGGUGUAAAAUUGACUAAACAAUCUAUGACACAAAAUAUUAGUAGCCAAAAUUAUUGUUCUUUUGGCUAAUUUUAAGACCAUUUUUUUUUGUCAUAUAUAAUUACCUACCAUGACAAAAUUUAAAAAUAGUUGUUGAAUGUUUUGUCUUGAAUAAUUUUAUAUUUGAUAACCAAUUUUUUUUUUUCUUUUUGAGACAUAUUACUUGGUCCCUAUUUCAACUUCUUUUUGACGAACUUUAUAAUAGUCACAAAAGACUUUUUUUAUUUUUGGCAUAAAAAGUCUGUCCAAAGUUAGCUCUUUUGGGACAAUAUAUAAUCUUUUAUGACAAAAUAUAUAGUGGCGAAAUAUAAUUAUUUUUUACAAAGUUAUUUCGUAACUGAAAAAGAGGUGUAAAUAUAGUUAACCUAUUUGUGACAUAAAAUAUUAGUCUCCAAAACUAUUAUGUUUUUAGCCAAUUUUAAGACCCUAUUUUGUUGUCAUGGAUAAUUACCUAUUUUCAAAAAACUAAGAGAUAGCAAUCAAAAGUUUGUCUUGAUUGACAUUGUAUUUUAUGAGCAAAAUAUUUUGUUUCAGUGACACUUUACUUGGUCUUUGAUUAGACUUGUUUGUGAUGAUCAAUAGAAUUAUAUAAUAACCACUAAAUUUUUUUGGGUUAAAUUUUUAUAGAUACUAUUAAUUAAGUUGUUGACGAAAAUGAUCGAACUAAUACUAAUAUGGGAUACCAUCAAUAGCCGUAAUACUUAUGAAGCGAGAAAUUAUAAUAUGUAGUGAUUUAUUUAGAAUUAUUUUGACUACUUUAUUGAUUUCCAAAACAUAAAAUUCUCAACCCAAAAUUCCCCGCAUUGUGUUUUAUUUUGUCUCCUCACUCAGUUACUCUUUUAGCUAAAGUUGCUUUGGAAAAGUUGGAAUCUUUUGUUUGGGUGGAAAAUUUCCCACCAGAGAUUAGACAUGUAUUCACCUAGUUGAAGUAAUGAAAGUUUUACUUUCCCAUAAAAAAAAAAACUCACGGCUUGACAAAAAAAAGGAAAAAAAUUCUCACAGCUUGAUGGUCUCCUCUCUUUAAAAAUAAAAAUCCCUAGUUACUCUGCUCAAACUCGUUAAUAUUUGUUUCCACCACCUAAGCAGCCACUAGUAUCUUUUUUUUUCGCAAUUCACUUUUGCUGUGUUUCGUGGUUUGGAUGGAGAUCAUGACAAUAAUUGAACGAUGGUGAUAAAUAUCAAAGAAGGAGCUUACAUGCCCUAUAUAUCUCUCUUUGGAUGAAUAACGAAGGUGAACUUUCAAAGUACAGAGAUUUACAUGUUUUAAUUGUCAUUUACAUUGCUGCAUGCCCAUUGCUUGAUAAAAUACCGCAACAAACACGCAUUCUCGAUUUUCUCAUAAAUUUAUUUUCUUAGUCUGAAAAAAAAAUUGAAUGUUCAGAGAAUUUUGAAGGUUUUGGUGUAUGCAUUAAUAUUUUGAUUCUAUUUAUGUUGUUUAACUAAUGAAGAUGAUACAUCUAGCCUCUUUUUGCCCCUUGUUGUUUUUAUUCUUGUGCUUUAUAUACGGUUCAAGUGUGAUACACUUUAGUUUUUCUCAAGUGUUUGUUAGUAUUUCCCCAAGCAAAAUUUGUCACAGACUUUGAGUUCAAAAGUUGAAAUCAUAACUAACAUACUUCGAUUUUUUAUUUUCCUUUUUUCUUCGGGGUCCCAUAUAUCUUUCUAUAUGGCAUUGCUUGAGAAAUUGGUGUACUUAGAUCGUAAUAUUCUGUAGAAAUAAGCUAAUAUUUCAUUAGGUACAUUGUUUAAUAUGAUAAGUACUGUAUGGAAGUUUUACAGAUAAGCUCCUUGUAUAUUAUGCAUUAUGUUUUUAUCAUAUUGUUGCUUGGAACUUUGAAGGAUUGGCCACAGGGCUUUAGUCCUACAAGGACAUUUUAUAUUGGGAAAUUAUCAUUCGUAUACCCUAUAGAUGCUCUGUUAUAAAAAAUACUACAACACUUUGAGGGUGUAUCAAUCGUCCACAUUAAGUUGACAAAAUGUAUCUGUUGUCCACCAAACCGUUACUUGCCGUUUAAAUAGGAUAACGACAGAGGGGUAAUUUGGUCUUUUCAUAUGAUACAAGUGAUAAUUUAAGGGUAUACAAGUGAUACUUUUCAAGGGUAAAAUUGUCAAUUCGCUAUAAUUCCGUUAACUUUCAAACGGUAGCUAACGGUUUGAUGGUUGGUAGAUAGCUUUUGUCAAUUUGGGGUGGACGAUUGAUACACCCUCAAAGUGUUGAAGAACUUUUUAUAACAGAGCUUCCUACANNNNNNNNNNNNNNNNNNNNNNNNNNNNNNNNNNNNNNNNNNNNNNNNNNNNNNNNNNNNNNNNNNNNNNNNNNNNNNNNNNNNNNNNNNNNNNNNNNNNNNNNNNNNNNNNNNNNNNNNNNNNNNNNNNNNNNNNNNNNNNNNNNNNNNNNNNNNNNNNNNNNNNNNNNNNNNNNNNNNNNNNNNNNNNNNNNNNNNNNNNNNNNNNNNNNNNNNNNNNNNNNNNNNNNNNNNNNNNNNNNNNNNNNNNNNNNNNNNNNNNNNNNNNNNNNNNNNNNNNNNNNNNNNNNNNNNNNNNNNNNNNNNNNNNNNNNNNNNNNNNNNNNNNNNNNNNNNNNNNNNNNNNNNNNNNNNNNNNNNNNNNNNNNNNNNNNNNNNNNNNNNNNNNNNNNNNNNNNNNNNNNNNNNNNNNNNNNNNNNNNNNNNNNNNNNNNNNNNNNNNNNNNNNNNNNNNNNNNNNNNNNNNNNNNNNNNNNNNNNNNNNNNNNNNNNNNNNNNNNNNNNNNNNNNNNNNNNNNNNNNNNNNNNNNNNNNNNNNNNNNNNNNNNNNNNNNNNNNNNNNNNNNNNNNNNNNNNNNNNNNNNNNNNNNNNNNNNNNNNNNNNNNNNNNNNNNNNNNNNNNNNNNNNNNNNNNNNNNNNNNNNNNNNNNNNNNNNNNNNNNNNNNNNNNNNNNNNNNNNNNNNNNNNNNNNNNNNNNNNNNNNNNNNNNNNNNNNNNNNNNNNNNNNNNNNNNNNNNNNNNNNNNNNNNNNNNNNNNNNNNNNNNNNNNNNNNNNNNNNNNNNNNNNNNNNNNNNNNNNNNNNNNNNNNNNNNNNNNNNNNNNNNNNNNNNNNNNNNNNNNNNNNNNNNNNNNNNNNNNNNNNNNNNNNNNNNNNNNNNNNNNNNNNNNNNNNNNNNNNNNNNNNNNNNNNNNNNNNNNNNNNNNNNNNNNNNNNNNNNNNNNNNNNNNNNNNNNNNNNNNNNNNNNNNNNNNNNNNNNNNNNNNNNNNNNNNNNNNNNNNNNNNNNNNNNNNNNNNNNNNNNNNNNNNNNNNNNNNNNNNNNNNNNNNNNNNNNNNNNNNNNNNNNNNNNNNNNNNNNNNNNNNNNNNNNNNNNNNNNNNNNNNNNNNNNNNNNNNNNNNNNNNNNNNNNNNNNNNNNNNNNNNNNNNNNNNNNNNNNNNNNNNNNNNNNNNNNNNNNNNNGAGGAUGAAAUUUGCAAAAACCUUGUUCAUAGCUAUGGUAAUUAAGCAAAUUGAGUCUUCUUUUUUUGUUGUUUUUUAUUCACUUUUUCCUGUCCUUAAAACAAAUAAUGAGUUUUCUUGUUUUUAAUAUUUCUUAUAAACUUUAUGUUGUUUGGUAUAAAAUUAGGUAAUUGGAAAGGUCUCAUGUUGGAUGAAAUUAUCAAUUAUGUGCAGUCCCUACAGAAUCAAGUGGAGGUAACAUUGCUACUAAAAAACCUUAUUAACAUAGUUAUAAUGAAUUAAUCUUCUUUAAUAUAUUGCAAUAUUUUUUACUAUUUCUAGGUCUUUCUAUGUUGGUUUUGGAUCAUUGUAGUUGCUGAUUGUGAUUUAUUGCCGCCUAUGGUUGCUGACUUUUGUUUACUGCAGCUACUUUAUUAAAGCAAUUUUGGAUAUUGAAGUUUAUGGCCAACUUUUAUUAGAUACUUCUGACCUUUAUCGAUAUAUUUUCUGAACCUUUACACUUAAGAUGUGUGUGUGUUUUUUUUAAGUAAUUUAAUCCUUACUAACAUUUUCUAACAAAAUCAAUUACAGAAAUGAUUAGGAAAAAACAAGCAAAAUCAUUGUAAAGUGUCUUCUGCGCACCGUGGUUGCUCAAGUCUCAUGUGCAACAUGUGAAUGAAAUAGUACUUGAAAUAAUAGAGACUUUGUUUUAUGACUCUUAUAUUUACAUUUCUUUGCAAGGAACCAUACUUAAUUGUACCUAAUAGAAGAGAUAUCUUUUCACUAUAUAGUCUUAGUAUAAAAAGAUACCUCUUCUAUAAGGCACAAUUAACGGGACAUGUCUUUAUACUAAGACAUCAUUCAUAUUUAUCACACAAUAAUAGAAACUGCAACGGUAGCUGGAAUAUUAUGAAGUCAAAAUUGAGAACGACAUUAAAUCAUGAAUUCUUUAUGUGUUUACUCUAAUGCCUGACGGUAUUUAGUUCAAUUAACACAGAUUCGAAAUCCAAAUGAUUGAAGAGUUGUAUGGGUUCAAGUUCAGUAUUUAAUUACUAUAUAAUUAUACAUAAAUGUGGAUUUUGCAAUCUUGAACCCAUUUAAUUACUAAAAAAGGAUGACGAAUAGAAUUGGUGGAAAUUGACCACAAUCAUCUCUCUCUCUCGGCUUGCUCAAAUUUGGCCGAUCUGUGCGCUUGCUUAAGCUUGGCCGAUCUAUGCUUGCUCGAUUACUCUUCCUAUAUUCAGUCAGAGUCAACUGUUUGACAAGAGUCGAAGUCCAAGGUUCUUUUUUACAGGAUUUGAGCUACUUCUUUUAUUCUUCUUGCAUGUUCACUGAUAGCGGGUGGAAUUUGAGAUGUUCACUGAAGCUUUGAUGUGGUGUUCUGAUAGCGGGUGGAAUUUGAGAUUCUCCUUUCUUCUCUAUAUGAAGGUGCUUGUCAUGUGUCAAGAAAAAUAAAAUUAUUUACAAAAGAUUAUUUUAAGGAGAUUUAUUAUUAUUCGUGGAUCAGGAAGCUCAAAAAGUUUUCUUAUGUAGAACAUAAAAUGAUUUAAAUUUUGCCAUGGUAUAUCCUUUUCUUUGAUUGUGUUGUGGUUUUCCAGUUCUUGGAGAUGCAGAAGAAGUUUAUUUUGUUUUAUGGUAUCUUAUUUAUUUAUUGUUUUCACGAGGAAAUAGCUGUGCUUUUGGAAAUUAAUAUGCUGUGUUGUAAAUGUUGUGUGAAAUCCUUUUAUUGGUGUCUAUGUAAAGUGUUUCAGAUUUCAGACCUGAGAGUUAAUCUUCGCGUACCAGUUGGCUUUUGGGUUUAGUAUUGCUGCUUUUAACAUAAUUGACCUAUGGCCCAAAUCAUUUCUUAGGGCGAAGCAUAUGAAUGAUACAUAUUAUCUUUUUUUGGCCUUAUGUAUUGUUAUUUGCAGUGUGAUUUGGUCUAGCUUAAGAGCUUAAGCUUGCAAGUUGGAUUUGUCUAACAGGGAACAAUUUAAUUUGUUCAUCAUGAUGUUUAUAUCCAUUUUGUACUACUAUCAAUUUCAAUCAUGCCUAAUUUUUAUAUGUAUUUCUUGUGGACUCUCAGGUUCAGUGCACAAGAGGAUGAAGACGAUGGACACCCAAAUUUGAUGUGGAGAAUAAGUAUUGCAAAUGGUCCUUGAUUUACUUCUCCAAUUGACUUGAAUUGGUUUGACGCAAUUUAUAGUGUAUUUUUGUCAUCUUUGUAUGACUGGCAGGUCGUCCUGAUUUGGUACAUGACUGGACUCAGGAAUUGGACUCAUAUUUUUCAAACCAGAAUGCCAACAAUCAAGCAUUUUCUUUUGAAAGCACUGGCGUCUUCUUCAAUGCCAAAAAGGUUAGAGAUUUUUUGUAUCCUGUUUUGUAUUUGAUCAGUUUAGCAUGUGGGUGGCAAUCAAGAAAAGUUAUUCUAACAUUUUUGUGUUCCCGAAAAACUGCUGAUGAUGUGUAGUGCAGGAAAUGAAUUGUUUGUGACUUCUUUUUAUUCGUAUUCUUUCUUUUUUCUUUUCUCCCCAACAGGAUUAUGUAUUUCUGAAGAGCUUCUUGAAGUUGAUUACCUUGUAAGCCACUUUCUGUACUCUAUGCUCAGGAUGUGAUUUUGCCAAGCAUUAAAAUGGUUUAGGUCAGAACCAUCAUCUAAAGUUUACUUAAUGCAGCCGAGAAGCUGUAGUAGAGCAAUGAAGGCUGUUGGUGUUAUGAAGGCCAGCUGUGAAGAAAUAUUUGAACUUGUAAUGAGCAUGGAUGGGACACGAUACGAGUAUGCUUCUUUUCUAUUUUUUAAUUUUAGUUAUUUUAACAUAAUCAAGACUAUAUUGGCUGUCUCUGUAAGCUGAGUAUUAUAUUUCCUCUUGUAUGCUGUGAAAUUCACAUUGUCUCCAGUCCCGAUUCUGUAUGUGCCUUUUUGAAUAUAUUUAAUUAAUCUGCAUGGUGCUUUCUAAAGAUUAUUACAAACUUUUGUUGCUUAAGUAUAUGAAGAAUGUGGAAAUGAAAAUAGCUUUUGAAGUUUGAUGGAUUGCUUCAUUAAUAAAGAAAGACUGGGACUCAUUUUUAUAACUUUUCUCCACUUAGCUAAUGGUAUUUGAUGAAGACAAAAUAGAUGUAGCUAUCUGUAUUUUUUGUUGCUGAACUAUAGAUCAAUUGACGGUUGAAGUUAGUUAUAUUAAUUUGUUGUACUAGAAUUAAAGCUUGUAUCUUAGCCAUUUCAUGAAGUGUCAAAGACGUUCAUGUUUUUUAAAAAAAACAUGUUACACUUUUGAAGUCACUAUUACAUAAAAGAGUGUUCUAAAACAGGAGAAGGCGUGCUGCCUGAAAUUACCUGUUUCCGAUUUUAACAAGUCUCUUGGCAAGGUUUGCUAGUAAUGUGUUCAAAUUAUUCUAUUUAAUUUUACUGUCUGUACCCUAAUAAUUCUUGGUUUGCACCAUUGCAUUGUUCCAUAAUCUCUGUGCGUUGGCUUAUAAAGGCCAGCAAGGCUGAUCAUUUGUCAAAUAGUUAUUUCCAUGAAAUUCCUAUCAAUUUGACUCAGUAUUUAGAGGUCUUGAAGAGGGCAGUGUACUAGACGUGGAUUUCUUCCUCUUUUGGUUGUACAAUUGUUGUAUUUCUUGGCCAUCAGAUCUUUUUUAUGUAUCUUUCUCAAAGUUCAUGCCGCACGUACACCGUUUUUCAUGUUUUGUGCAGGUGGGAUUGUAGUCUUUUGUAUCGCAGCUUAGUUGAAGAGGUAGAUGGUCAUACGGCUAUUCUCUAUCAUAGGCUUCAGCUGGACUGGUUUCCAAUGUAAUAGUCUCUUGAUUCAAUCAUCUCAUUUAUGCUUUGGUCAGAAUAGAACAUUUAUUGUUUUCUUCUUUCCCCUUUCAUGUCUUCUGAUAUAAUAUGUGAGGAAAUUACCUAAAAUUUCUGUAUCCCAAUGUAAUUGUUGGAAUUCAGAAAUAAAAUAAAUACACCGUCUUGUUUUUCCCUCGGUUCAGUCCUAAGUUCUCUUUGGGCCUUCUGCAAGUUUUUAAACAUACUGUGACAGUAAAAAAUCUAGUGAUUGAGAUCAUUUUGAUGAAUUUAAUUUUAAUUCUUAGCUGAUACUUUUUCUGGAAUUUUUUUUCUUAUGUUUCCUCAAUAUGACUUAAAUAUAGGGCUUAGUUUGGUUUAGAAGUUCGUCUAAAACCUUCUCCUUGAUUCCAAAAAAAUUCUCUAGAAAGGUCUCAGAUGGAUUUUAGGGGAGUUCUGUGGCAAAUUUGAAAAGUUCAGGGGAAGGGUCUAAUGAAUUUUAAAACCACAUGGGUUAUCUGUUUUAUUCAGAGGAUAGUGGAAUUCCCUGAAAUUUAUCAUUUUUAUUUAAAUAAUCUUCCUACUUUCCUCUGCGGAAUUUAUUUACAUUUAUGAAUUCAUUUGGUUGCAGGUUUGUUUGGCCCCGCGGCCUUUGUUAAGUACGUUAUUGGCGUUGAAAUGACGCUGCGAGUUAUGGUAAGGUUCUUGCUUCCCCACUUCUUGAAAUUAAAUCUAUCUUUUCUGGCACUAGAAGUUUCCAUAAGCUGUGUUUUGUUAUCGCGCAGUUGUGUUAUUUCAUUCUAGGGAGCAUGAGAACUGUGGUCCACAGCCAGGAUAUGUACGAGCUCACGUGGAGAGUUAGUUUUCUGUCCUUUACUUUGGUUGAUGUAGAGAAUUAACAAGUGACUAAGUCAUGCCAAGUUGCACCACUUGCUUCCUGUAUUCUGAUUUCUCAGGUGGUGGAUUCAACAUUUCCCCACUCAAACCUCAAAAUGGUAGGCCCAGAACACAAGUACAGCAUCUUAUGCAGAUUGAUCUAAAAGGGUGGGGUGUUGGUUAUGUGUCAAUGUUUAGCAACACUGUCUUCUUCAGAUGUUAAAUAGCAUUGCUGGUAAGUUUCUUGCUUUCACAUUUUAUUUUGCGCUGUUAUGGGUUAAUAUGUUUCUGUUGGGUGGCCAUUUUAAGUCAUAUUUUUACGUGUUACUGUAUUUUCUUCAGUCCUUUUAUAGGGAACACACACAUACACGUAUGUAGAGUCACCUUUUAAUGAGGGAUCUACCAUUUUAAUAAAAUGAGGAAUGAGCUAAAAGAUAAAAAUUCACGAACUCCAAUGCAAUAUGUGUGUGUGCGUGUGCACACCUUUUCUAACUCUUGUUCUUAGUUAGAUAUUUUUCGGGAUUUCAGGCAAAUGAAAAAAGAGAUUAAGAGAAAGAGAAUAGGUGGAUGAUAACUUAAAUAUUCAUUUUUAUAUAUUUUGUUAAUGUCCUCUUUAAUGGAUUUCUAUGGAAUUAAUCUUUUUUUUUCAAUUAGUUGCAGCCCUAGAGGAAAAGUAGGGUGAUCAAAUUGAUUUAUCUCAUUUUUUUUUAGCAAUUUGCGACAUAAUGACCGUGAUAAUGCUUGUGACUGCUGGAAACUUUCUGAUGGAAAUAACUUCAGAGUUCGUAGCAAGCAUUUUUGUUAUGACAAAACAAAGGUUCCCGCGAAUUUUGGUUGUUGUUAGGCCACAAGUGCGUUUCACAUAUGCAAGGCGCAAGGGUAAUUCCGGAAAUACCAAUCGUGGCUGACGUGUCAUCAAGUAGUAUAGAGAGAAGAGUUUGUUAUGCAUUUCUGUUAGUGAUAAGUUGAUGGUAUUCUGUUUUGAUAAUUUGUUAGAGUUUUCUAUUAUUCUAUUUGGGCGUAAAAGUGAGGAGGUUAUAUGGAGAGGAGCUGUUUUUUGGGAAGGGGAUCUAGAGAAUUAUUUUGUAGUGAGCUUGCUCAUUUUGGGAGAGAUACCAAGCCUCUCGAAUGCUUGGGUGUUUUGGUUUAUUUCUGCAGAUAAAUACCAGUUUUCCUACUUCCAACAACAUUCUGUUCUCUACUGUGUUGUUUAUCUAACCAUUUCAGUUCAGGGCUUAUCAAAUUGGUAUCAGAGUAGUCACGUACCUAGAAAAUGACUGGCAAAAAUGUUGCUCAACGAAUGGAUUCCAUAGAGGAGGCGAUGGGUGCUGCGUAGGAGGAGUUUCAACGGGAAAUGAGAUCGUUGAAGGAUGAAAUAUAGAUGAUGAACAAACGAUUCGAACAGUUCAUCAAACUUCAAGAGGAUACGGGAGGUUCGUAUUCGAAUAAAAGGGAAAAGAUGCUCAGCCCCAACUUCGGCGGGUUGAGCUCAAGCGGAACUAGCCAUGAUUUCCGAUUCCGGAAACUUGAGAUGCCACUGUUCGAUGGCUCAAAUCUGGAUGGCUGGAUCUGAAGGCUGAACGAUAUUUUUCCGUAAAUCGGUUAUCCAAUGAAGAAAAACUUGAGGCAGCGAUAAUAGCUUUCGAGGGAGAUGCCCUGUUGUGGUAUCAAUGGGAGAAUAGGAAGAGAUCCAUGAUGGUUUGGGAAGAGAUGAGGCUACUAAUCUUGAAACAAUUCCGAGUAAUCCAAGCCGAUUCUCUCCAUGAACAAUGGCUAGCCCUUACUCAAGAUAGCAGUGUGCGAGAAUACCGCCGGAAAUUCAUCGAACUUUCGGCGCCGUUGGAGAACAUUACAGACGAACUAGCUCUGGGAAAUUUUAUCAAUGGGUUGAAGCCUGAAAUUCGGGUCGAGGUUCGGAUCAUGGAACCCAGUAAUUUGGGCCGGGCCAUGGACUUAGCCCAAAAGAUUGAGGAGAAACUGUGGGUGACCAAGGCCCACAAAGCAGACGGUGGGUUUCAUCGAGCAGGAGGGUCAACGCGAGGUGUGAACUUCCAUUCUGAAGCUUCGCAAUCUUCGUUUGGGGCAAAUCAUAACACGGCCCGAUUUUCGGGAGAGGUUAGGAGGUUGUCCGAUUCAGAAUUACAGAAGAAAGAGAGAAGGGACUAUGUUAUCGAUGUGAUGAAAAGUGGGCACCUGGGCAUCGCUGCAAGAAGAAAGAAUUGACUGUCCUUCUCACCUACGACAUGGACGAAGCAGAGCAGGAAGAGGAAGAAGGUUCGGGUGAAGGCGAUCCCGAACUGGAAACGGCCGAAAUUAAUCAAGGGAUAGAGGUCUCUCUUAACUCGGUGGUUGGUCUGACUACACCAAAGACGAUGAAGCUUAAGGCGUCUAUCGGGGAGCAAGAGGUGGUGGUACUGAUUGAUUCAGGUGCAACCCACAAUUUUAUUUCUCUAGAUUUGGUUAGUAAGAUGCAGAUACCCAUUGUUAAAACUGAGGCUUAUGGGGUGACUAUGGGUACUGGAGCGGCUGUAAGGGGAUAAGGUUUAUGUCGGGGAGUGACUAUUCAUCUACAGGGAAUAGAUAUUGUAGAGGAAUUCUUGCUGCUUGGGUUGGGGAGCUCGGAUGCUAUAUUAGGAGUUCAGUGGCUUGAAACUUUGGGGAUGACACACACAAAUUGGAAGACACAAGUGAUGAAGUUCAUGCUCGGAAAUGAAUCUGUUACUCUACGAGGGGAUCCUUCCCUUGGCAAGACUUUGGUUUCAUUGAAGGCAAUGAUGCGCACCAUUAAGCACGAGGGAGCUGGAAUUCUGGUGGAAUGUAAUCAAUUUGAAGGUCUGUGCGAAGUGAGCCCUGAGGUGCCACCGAAUCUAAACCAAGUCCUAGCAGAAUAUGAAUUGGUUUUUAACAUGCCCAUGGGCUUACCACCUACUAGGGGACAUGAGCAUUCCACUUUGCUCAAAGACGGCAGUCAACCUGUUAGUGUCCGACCAUACCGCUAUCCUCAUGCCCAGAAGGAUGAGAUUGAAAGACUGAUUCAGGAGAUGUUAGAUGCGGGAAUAAUCCAAGUCAGCAAUAGUCCAUUCUCGAGCCCAGUUUUGUUGGUUAAAAAGAAAGACAGAUCAUGGCGUUUUUGUGUGGAUUACAGGGCUCUCAACAAAACGACGGUACCAGAUAAGUAUCUCAUCCCUGUCAUUGAUGAACUCCUAGAUGAGUUACAUGGUGCCAGAAUUUUUUUCCAAGCUAGAUUUAAAUUUGGGCUACCAUCAAAUCAGAGUCAGUAGUCAGGAUGUUCAUAAGACUGCUUUUCGAACGCAUGAUGGACACUACAAGUUUCUCGUCAUGCCUUUUGGACUAACGAAUGCCCCGUCGACUUUCCAAUCCUUGAUGAAUGAUGUCUUCUGGCCUUAUCUUCGGAAGUUUGUUCUAGUGUUCUUUGAUGACAUUCUAAUUUACAGCCCUUCAGUGGAAUCCCAUCAGCAGCACUUGGCUCUCGUCUUGGGAAUAUUGCAGGCCAACAGCCUUUAUGCCAACCGAAAAAAAUGCGAGUUUGGAAGAACUCAAGUGGCAUAUUUAGGCCAUAUCAUCUCUGGACAAGGGGUGGCAGCGGAUCCAAGUAAAAUCCAAGCCAUUAACUUGUGGCCAACGCCCACUAAUCUGAAAGCGUUAAGGGGAUUUCUGGGAUUGACGGGGUAUUAUAGAAAGUUUGUGGCUGGGUAUGCUAGAAUCGCAUCGCCAUUGACUGAUCAGCUCAAGAAAGAUAGGUUUGGGUGGAGUCCAGAAGCUGCAGCGGCAUUUGAAGAACUCAAACAAGCUAUGUCUUCAGUCCCUGUGUUGGCAAUGCCUGAUUUCACAAAGCCAUUUAUUGUUGAGAAUGAUGCAUCUGGUUUUGGGUUAGGAGUUGUUCUACUACAGGGGCAACAACCAGUAGCUUACUACAGCCAAGUUUUGGGGCCCCGGGCUCGUCUUAAGUCCAUAUAUGAGAAAGAACUAAUGGCCAUAGUGUUUGCAAUCCUGAAAUGGCGGUCGUACUUGCUGGGAAGGCGAUUUAUUGUGCGAACAGACCAACAGAGCUUAAAAUUUCUUUUGAAGCAGAGGAUUGUUGGAGUUGAAUAUCAAAAAUGGAUCACCAAAAUCAUGGGAUAUGAUUUUGAUAUUCAAUAUCGUAUUGGGGCUGUUAACAUAUAUGUUUCCAUAAUAUUGAUUUUGAUGAUAACAAAAAAGAUUAAAAAUGAUUAAUCUUUUAAGCUCAAAUUAUUUUUUAUACAUUUUAAAUAAAUCAUUAUUUUUAUAUUAUAAAGGUUUUAUAUUUAAUGGAAAAAUGAUUUUAUGAAAUUGGUUGUUUUUCAAGUUUAUGAUUUAAUUGAAAGAGUUUUUGAAAACUUUGAAAUCAACAAGUAUUGCUUGAAAUUUUAGAGAAUGACUUAUUUUAAAAGUGUCAUAGCAUUUUGGGCUAUAUCAUAAUUUCAGAAAGUUUUGGGAUUAACAAAGCAUUACUUAGAAAUUCUGAAAUUGGACCUAUUUGUAAACUUUCAUAACAUUUUGGGCCAUACUGUAGUUUUAUAAAGUUUUGGGGUCAAACUAUAAUUUUAAAAAAUAGUGCACUGUGCAGGUUACUGUACCAAUCACUGUAGCAAAUGGCUAACCGUUUAUUUAAAAACGGCUAACCGAUAAUUUCCAGAAAGCAUGUUCUGCAAAGUAUUGUUAAAAUGAUGAUUCUGGAAACUAACGGUGAACCGUUUACUGAAAACGGUUAACCGAUUAUUUCCAGAUUGUUAACCUUGAACCGUUUAGUAAGAACGGUUAAACCAAAUUUGUUUUGCAGGUCUCUGGAAAUUAACGGCGAAAGGGUAAGCCUAAACGGCUAAUCGUUUAUUUAAAAAUUGGCCCAACGGUAACUUUGACCGGCCUAAACGGUUAACCGUUAAUGGUUAACGGCGAACCGUUUUCGAGCAAACAGUCUAUAACGGCUAGUUUUUCAGCUCCAACUAUAAAUAAGCUCAAUCCAAUUCAAACAAGAAGAAUUCCAACGAUCAUCAUUGAGCAAAAUAUUGAGAAUAUAACUUUCAUUGAGCUUUAAAUCCUUGUAUUCAUCUCAUUCAUUCACACAUUGAGCUUUCACUUGUGAUUAAACACAUUGUGUGAGAGAGAUUUAUUUGUAAUCCUUUUUGUAAAAUCAAGUUAAAAGAUUGUAAGUGUUGGGAUACACUUGGGUUAAGAGAUUGGGGAUAAUCUCUUGUUGUAAAGGUCCAUUGACACCUUGGAAGUCAAUUGUAAGCGUUUGAAGCCUUGGGAGGCUAGCUUAGUGAAAUCCUCAAGCUCGGUGAGCUUGGAGGCAUGGACGUAGGCGGGGAUUGCCGAACCACGUAAAAAUCAUUGUGUUUGUUUUCUCUUCCCUUACUCUUUUAUAUUGUGAUUGAUUUAUUUGUUAUUGCUUUAAAUUAGUUUUGGAUUUGCAUUGAGUUUUGUUUUAGAAUUGAAUAAUUUUUAAUAUCCCAAUUCACCCCCCUCUUGGGUUGCCUAGUUAGUAUUUCAUUUGGUAUCAGAGCGAGGUGUUCUUGUGUAGACUUAACCGUCUAGAGUUAAAGAUCCAUGGCAACCUAUAGUGACUCAACCUUUAGGGAAGGACAAUCCACAAUUAGACCACCGUUCUUCGACGGUAAUGACUACCCAUAUUGGAAAACUAGGAUGAGAAUUUAUUUACAAGCUUUAGAUUAUGAAAUUUGGGAAAUUGUUUGUGAUGGUCCAUUUAUGCCUUUGACUAAAAACGAAGUUGGGGAAGAUAUUCCAAAACCUUCACGGGAAUGGAAUGAAUUGGAAAAGAGAAAAGCUUCUCUAAAUUCCAAAGCCAUGAAUGCCUUGUUUUGUGCACUUGAUAAGAAAGAGUUUCAUAGAGUGUCUAGUUGUGAAAGUGCUAAUGAAAUUUGGCACAAACUUGAAGUUGUUUAUGAAGGCACGAAUCAAGUGAAAGAGUCUAAAAUUAGUAGGUACACUCGGCAAUAUGAAUUGUUCCAAAUGGAACAAAAUGAGAGUGUGUAUUCUAUGAAUACUAGAUUUACGGACAUAGUGAACACUCUAGGAGCCCUAGGAAAGACCUUUUCAAAUAGCGAGAAAGUUAAGAAAAUCAUUAGGUCGUUACCUAAGAAAUGGAGACCAAAAAGGACUGUCAUUGAGGAAGCUCAAGAUUUGAAUAUCUUACCUAUUGAUGAUUUAAUUGGUUCUCUUAUUUCUUAUGAGGAAGACAUGGCAGCCGAAAGAGGCAAUGAGGAGAAGAAGAAAAGCAUUGCUCUCAAAGCCUCGAAACAUGAGAGUGAUGAGGAAAGCGAGCUGGAUGAGGAGGAGAUGGAUAUGCUGGCUAGGAGGUUCAGAAAACUUUUUAAGAAAUCCGAUGAGCGAAGAAAAUUUAGAGACCUCAAGAACCGAAAGGAGAAGAAGGAAGUAAUCAAAUGUUAUGAGUGCAAGAAGCCUAGCCAUAUAAGAACGGAAUGCCCUCUUCUCAACAAGCUGAAGAAGAAAGCAAUGAUAGCCACAUGGGAUGAUAGCGAUGAGGAAACAAGUGAUGAUGAAGAGCAUCAAGAAAUGACAAAUCUAGCUCUCAUGGCAAUUGGAGAUGAAUCGAAUGAUGAACUUGAUGAGGUAAAUGAUCUUUUUACUUAUGAUGAAUUAUAUGAUGCUUUUAAAGAAUUACAUGAUAAUUGGAUAAAAAUUGGUAAAAAGAAUGCAUGUCUUAAAAAGAAAAUGGUAGAGCUCAAAAAUGAAAAUGAAUCUCUAUGUGCAAAGAUUACAUGCCUAGAAUUAGAGAAUAAAACAUUGCAUGAUAGAGUUGCAUUAUCAAAUGAGAAACCUAGUACUUCACAUGAGCAUCUAGAAUAUCACAUAGAUGACUUGAAAAAUGAAAAUGAAAUGCUUAAGAAGAAGAGCAAUGAGUUAAAUGAGAUUGUUUUAAGAUUUACAAAUGGACAAAAGAUGUUGGAUAACUUGAUUAAUUCACAAAAAAUGUGUGUUUGAUAAAGGAGGACUUGGUUAUAAGCCACAUUUGAAACAAAAGUAUUAUAGGAACUACUUUGUGAAGAGUACAUCUACUAACAAUCAAGUUGUAUGUCAUUAUUGUAAUCAAAACGAUCACAUGAAGCUUGGUUGUCCUAUUAAAAGAAAAGUAUAUUAUGGAGUAAAAUGUGUUUUGGUUCCAAAAGGAAAAAUUGCUAACACUCAAGGACCCAAGAGUAUUUGGGUACCAAAGGGCACAACGUGAAUGUUUUCUUUGUAGGUACCACAAUCAAGGAAUGGUGGAGAGUUCCUUGAUGAAAGCUUGUGAGGAUAAUCACUUGAGUAUGAUCUAGGAGAAAAAGAUGAGGCAAGAUGAUUUAAUUGUUUUGGUAACAAUUUUUGCCAUAUUAAUUUUGUUGAAUGAAUCAUGAUAAAUGAAUUUGCGAAAAUAUGCUUGUAUGUUUACAUGAUGGAAUUAUCAUUGUGUAUAACAUUGAGUGAUUUAUCAUGAUGCCUUUGUUUGAUUUUGAUGAUUGUAUGGUCUUUGAUUUCAUCUUCUUAAUUGUCUAUCAUCAUUGUCCAUCUCUUAUAAAUGUGUGAAUUCAUAUGCCAUUAAUUGUGUUAUAUCAUCAUUCAUGUAUAAAAUUGAACUUAGAAAUUAUGAGGAAAAAGUAGUAUCCUUCAUCUUUACAAUCAGUACAAGGAUCCCUUUUAAAUAGAGCAAUUAUAACAGAAAAGGAAACUAAUUAAGAGCUAAUAUUUGACAGCUAUCAUCUAUAUUUACAGAGGAAAGGAUCCUACAAUAUCUCUAGGAUUAAGGCUAAAUUCAAGGCCUAAUUUCCAACACUCCCCCUCAAGCUGGUUUGAAGAUAUCUUCCAUAGCCAGCUUGCUAGUCAACUUAUCAAAUUGCUUCUUGUGCAAUCCCUUUGUUAAUACAUCAGCUAACUGUUCAGUUGUUGGAAGAUAUGUCAUACAUAUUAUUCCAGUGUUGAGUUUCUCCUUGAUGAAGUGUUUAUCCACUUCUAUAUGUUUUGUUCGAUCAUGAAGAACUGGAUUAUGAGCUAUAGAAAUAGCAACUUUGUUGUCACAAUAGACUUUCAAAGGAGUUGAGAAAGUAAAUUUCAGUUCUUCAAGAAUUCUUUUUAUCCACAUAACCUCGCAGAUUCCAUGGGCAACAACUCUGAAUUCUGCUUCUGCACUACUUCUAGCAACCACAUUCUGUUUUUUACUCCGCCAUGUAACUAGGUUCCCACCAACAAAGGAACAGUAGCCAGAUGUUGAUCUCCUGUCAGUGACACUUCUUGCCCAGUCUGCAUCUGUGUAGACUUCAACUUGAAGAUGUCCAUGUUUUUUGAACAUUAGGCCCCUCCCUGGAGUUCCUUUUAGGUAUCUUAAGAUCCUGUAGACUGCCUCAAAAUGCUCUGCCCCUGGUGAGUGCAUAAACUGACUUACCAUGCUGACUGCAAAGGCGAUAUCAGGUCGCGUAUGAGACAAGUAGAUCAACUUCCCUAUGAGUUUUUGAUACUGUUCCCUAUCCUUUACUUCUUCAACCUUAGCAGGUUGUAACUUCAAGUUAGGAUCAAUUGGGGUCUCUACCAUCUUACAACCAAGCAAACCUGUUUCUCCAAGGAGAUCAAGAACAUAUUUCCUCUGAUUCACAAAUAUACCUUCCUUGGAUCUUGCAAAUUCCAUUCCAAGGAAAUACUUAAGGACUCCCAAAUCCUUAAUUUGAAACUUCUUUGCAAGUCUCUUCUUGAGGGCUGCUAAUUCUGUUUCAUCAUCACCAGUUAAAAUGAUAUCAUCAACGUAAACAAUCAAAAUUGCAAUUUUACCGUCUUUUGAGUGUUUAUAAAAUAUUGUGUGAUCUCCUUGACUCUGCAAGAAGCCAUAACUGAUAACUGCCUUUCCAAAGCGUUCAAACCAUGCUCUUGGUGACUGUUUGAGACCAUAUAAUGACUUUCUUAAUCUGCAGACUUUAUCACUACCAAGACUCUUCUCAAAUCCUGGUGGUAGACUCAUGAACACCUCCUCUUUAAGAUCACCAUUGAGAAAUGUAUUUUUAACGUCAAGUUGGUGUAAAGGCCAAUCACAAUUCACUGCAAGAGAUAACAAAAUUAUGAUAGAAUUUAUUUUAGCAACAGGAGUAAAAGUCUCAUGAUAGUAAAUCCCAUAAGUCUGAGUGAAGCCUUUAGCCACCAGCCUCGCCUUGUACCUCUCAACGCUUCCAUACGCGUUACAUUUUAUCCUAAACACCCACUUACACCCAACUAUUUUCUUGUCUCUGGGUGGAUCAACUAUCUCCCAAGUACCACUUCUCCUCAAGGCAUUCAUCUCCUCCAUGACUGCUAAUUUCCAAUUCGGGUCAUCCAGUGCUUCCUGUACAUUUCUUGGAACAAACAAGUGUGAAAUCCUAGAUGUGAAAGCUUUAUGGUUUUUUGACAGUCUUUGAUAGGAAAGAUAAUUUGCAAUAGGAUGUUUGGUGCAGUUUCGAACACCUUUCCUAAUAGCUAUAGGGACAUCAAGAUCAGAAAUAAUUGGUGAAUUAUUGGAAACAAUCGAAGGAAUCAAAGCUGGAGUUGGGAUUUGAUUACCUGAAAUUUCAGUGCCGGAACUCAGUUUUUCAAAUUGGGCUUGUGUAGGAUUGACAUUCAAGUCUUUACUUCUCAGAUGAAAUCUCUUCCUAGUAUAAACCUGAAGUUCAGAAUUUAGAUCAUGUUGAUCUGUUUGUAGUACUUCUCCCCCUGAACGAGAAUCCCUUGUACUAGGCUCUAAAGAACUUGUUUUUCUCAACUGAUCAUUAUCAGAAAAGUGUGGUCCUUGAAUAGGACAAAUAACAUUUGGAAGUGGGAUAGAAAUGUCCCAAAAAUUGUCUUCUACUCCAUUUGUCUCCCCCUGAAGAGAAUUUUUUAUGAAAUAAGGAGUUUUUUCCAAAAACGACACAUCCAUACUCACAUGAAAUGUUUUUGUUUGAGGGUCAAAACACUUAUACCCCUUUUUGUUCGAUGAAUAACCCAAAAAUACACACUUUAUAGCACGUGGGUCAAGUUUUGAACGAAAUUGACUUGGAACAUGAACAUAGACAGUACACCCAAAAACUUUGACGGGUAAAUCAGAAAACAACCUUGUUGCAGGAAAAAAUUCUUUAAGGCAAUCAAGAGGUGUUUUGUAUUUUAACACCUUGGUAGGCAUCCUGUUUAUUAAAUAAGCUGCUGUUAAAACCGCUUCACCCCAUAAAUACUUAGGAAUAUGCAUGUAAAACAUUAUGGCACGUGCUACCUCAAGUAAAUGUUUAUUUUUCCGUUCUGCAAUGCCAUUUUGUUGAGGGGUAUUCCGACAUGUAGAUUGAUGAAAAAUGCCUUUAUCAUUCAAAUACUCACCCAAGUGCUCAUUGAAAUAUUCUGUUCCAUUGUCAGAAUGUAAAAUACCAAUUCUAGUUUGAAAUUGAUUUUCAAUCAUAGUGUAAAAAUUUUCAAAUAAAUAUUUUACGUCAGAUUUUUUAUGCAUGAGAUAAAUCCAACAUAAACGAGUAUGGUCAUCAAUAAAAGUAACAAACCAUUUUUUACCGGAAAGGGUAGUGACCUGAGAAGGACCCCAAACAUCACUAUGAAUCAAAUAAAAAGGUUUGGAGGCCUGGUACUGUUUUGGCAAAUAAGUAGAACGAUGAAGUUUUGCAAAAGUGCAACAUUCACAAUAAAAAGAAGAGCAAUCAAUCCCUUUAAAUAAUUCUGGAAAUAAGUAUUUCAAAUAAAGAAAACUAGGAUGUCCUAGUCUAUAGUGCCAUAGCAUUAUUUUUUCUCGAACAGAAAUUGAACUAGUACUAAUAAAGUUCUGAGCUUUUUUAUUACUAAUAGGUACUUCAUCAAAGUAGUAAAGACCUUCAAUCAUCCUAGCACGUCCAAUCAUCAUCCCCGAGUUCUGGUCCUGAAAUUCACAAUGUGAUUCAAAUAAGGUAAUACGACAAUUAGAAUCUCUAGAUAAUUUACUAACAGACAAAAGACUGCAGGCUAAUUUAGGGACAUGAAGAACAAAAUUGAGAUUAAUUUUCUCGGUCAGUUUGAUAAGUCCUUCUCCUGCAAUAGGUGAAAAACUACCAUCGGCAAUUCUAAUUUUUUUAUUUCCAGAACAAGGAGAAUAGGUAUUAAAUAAAUGAAAAGAACUAGUCAUGUGAUCAGAGGCUCCAGAAUCUAUGAUCCAUGGAGAAGAGUUUAAACAAGAAAGGGCUAUAGGAUUUCUACCUGUUUUUGCCAAAGAAACACUAGGAAUACCAGACGAGAAGUUGGAUUUUAUCAGCUUCAGGAGUUGAUCAAUCUGCUCUUUGUUAAAGUGGCCUGAGUUGGCUUCAUUGGCCGAAGGAAUCCCACGAUUCUUCUCUCCUUGCUUGCUGCUUUUCCAGUUUUCAGGUUUGCCAUGAAGCUUCCAACACUUCUCACGUGUAUGGCGAGGCUUGUGGCAAUGAUCGCACCAGGCCUGUGACUUAUCAUCAGACCUGCGCUGAUAAUUUGCAGUCUUGUAGGCUGCUGCAUCAGUAAUUAAGGCAGAAUUCUCAAUUGACUCACCGGCACUCCUUUUCCUGAGCAUUACGCUCCUUCGACUUUCUUCUCUUCUGACUUCAGCAAAGACUUCGCCAAUGGGUGGUAGAGGAGGUCUGCCAAUAAUCCUCCCUCGUACUUCAUCAAACUCAACAUUGAGGCCGGCAAGAAACUUGUAAAUACGACUGUCUUCCACGGUUUUCUUGUGGUGGUUGCAGUCAUCAGCGGAUUUCCAUUCAUAUGUGUUGAAGAGGUCAAGAUCUUGCCACAACCUUUUCAAAGAAUUGAAAUAUUUGGUGACAGAAUCAUCACCUUGACGAAUCUCUCCCAACCUUAAAGUUAACUCAAAAACCUGAGAUUGGUUGCCCAGGUCAGAAUACAUCUGACUAACGUUGUCCCACAAUUCUUUAGCAGUAGGAUAGCACAUAUAAUUGGAGCUUAUAUCCUCCUCCAUGGAGUUGACCAGCCAUGUCAUAACCAUGGAAUUUUCAGCAUCCCAAGUGGCAUACAGCGGAUCAUCAUUAGCAGGAACCUUCUUGUCACCAGUGAUGUAACCAAUUUUUCCUUGCCCACGGAUAUACAUCCGGACAGAUUGCGACCAGCGGAGGAAGUUGUCGCCAUUUAAGCGGAUGGUGGUGAUUUGAACAGAAUGAGAGUUGGAGUGGUUUCGCAGGGUCUCAGAUGUUUUUUCUGGAAUGGCAGCAGCAAGGGUUUGAGUGGUUUCAGACGUGACUUCUGACAUGGUUGCAGACACGAUUCCCUAUGCUCUGAUACCAACUUAGAAAUUAUGAGGAAAAAGUAGUAUCCUUCAUUUUUACAAUCAGUACAAGGAUCCCUUUUAAAUAGAGCAAUUAUAACAGAAAAGGAAACUAAUUAAGAGCUAAUAUUUGACAACUAUCAUCUAUAUUUACAGAGGAAAGGAUCCUACAAUAUCUCUAGGAUUAAGGCUAAAAUCAAGGCCUAAUUUCCAACAAUUGACAUUAUUGUUUGAUACGAUUUCAUAUGUUUGGUCUUGUAUACAUUUAUGCCUCAUGCAUUAAAAUGGCUUAUAAAACAUUUUUGGAUCAAUUAGUUAGUAUUUCAGGGGCAAGUAAUCGAGUAACGGAUGCACUCUCACUCUUAACAGAACCAGCAGAGUGUUCAGCUUUGGCGAUUCCUCAGUGCCAACAUUGGGAUUCCUUAAAGGUUGAGUUGGCAGAGGAUACCUUUCUGAAGAAACUAAGGGAAGACAUAACUUCGGGUACACAAUCUCACGUGGGGUUCUCAGUUGAGCAUGGAGUAUUGUUCUACAAGAGUCGGCUGGUUAUUCCUCAGACUACUAAGCUUCUUUUUGCUCUCAUAGGAGAGUUUCACACCACUCCGAUUGGGGGACAUUCGGGAGAAACAAAAACUUACCAACGCUUAGCAGCAGAAUUGUAUUGGAUAGGUAUGCGCAAGGAUGUCACCAGAUUUGUACGGGAAUGCACCAUCUGCCAGCAGAAUAAGUACUUGGCCACUACUCCCGCAGGGUUACUUCAACCUAUUCGACUACCAGCCCAGGUUUGGGAGGAAGUCACACUUGAUUUUAUUGAGAGGUUGCCUCGUUCUGAAGGGUGGGAUGCCAUCUUAGUAGUGGUGGACAGGCUGAGUAAGUAGGCUCACUUCAUAGGAUUAAAACAUCAUUUUUCUGCUGUUUCGGUUGCUGGAAUCUUUGUUCGUGAAAUUGUUAGGCUUCAUGGGAUACCACGGUCAAUUAUCUCUGACCGAGAUAGGAUAUUCUUGAGCCAUUUUUGGAGUGAAUUGUUGAAGCUGCAGGGAACUACUCUCAAAAGAAGCACCGCCUAUCAUCCACAAUCUGAUGGACAAACAGAAGUUGUCAACCGUUGUUUGGAAACGUAUCUAUGCUGCUUUGCUUCUGGAAAACCUCGAAGUUGGGCUCGCUCGUUGGCAUGGGCUGAGUAUUGGCAUAAUACUUCCUUCUACUCUUCUACACAUUGUACUCCAUUUCGUGCUCUCUAUGGAAGGGAUCCACCCCCUCUUAUUCGGUAUGAGCAAGGAGCUGCUUCGGUAUCUUUGGUAGAACAGUUAAUGGAGGAUCGUGAUGCCAUACUGGACGACCUGAGGAUGCAGUUGCUUCGUGCCCAGCAGCGGAUGAAGCUGCAAGCUGAUCAAAAGCGCCAUCAUGUAGAGUUCAAUGCAGGUGAUUUGGUAUUUCUGAAACUAAGACCUUACCGGCAGCGCUCCCUCGCUCAACGUAAGUUUGAGAAAUUAGUUGCACGUUACUACGGUCCAUUUAAGGUUCUUCAGCGUGUCGGGAAGGUGGCAUACAAACUAGAACUGCCUCAAACAGCAAAACUCCACCCUAUCUUUCAUGUUUCGCAGUUGAAAGAUAAGGUUUCAAACAACAAACUACAUACUAGUUUUCCUACUUCCAACAACAUUCUGCUCUCUACUGUGUUGUUUAUCUAACCAUUUCAGUUCAGGGCUUAUCAGUUGUUUCUUAUGGUAUUUAUAUAUCCGACAUAUUCUAGUUCGACAUGUAACGAUGUAGUUUGGUUGGUUCUUCUUGCUUUUUGUGCAAUUUGUAACUGCAGAUACGUGUGGGAAAACAUUUAAUGGAUCUUGUUGCUGUUGAUUAGUUCAAAGACAAAGAGAAUGGACCAUGUAGCUAGGCGUCAAGGCUGUGAUGCACAAGUAACUAUUCUUUUCUUUUUUAUUUUUCCUUUUCCAUUGACGGAUUAGAAGAAAAUACUGCCUGUGAGAUACUACAAUAUAAAUAACUUCUGGUGGUUCAUUGAAUCUAUAACACUCUGAGCCCUAUUCUAAAAUAUGUAGGUUGCUUCCAAAAAAGGGCUUUUCUCACUGAUCUUUAAUCUUCAAGUAAGCUUGUUUCAUUUCAGAAGGUAUUAAGUUUCAAACUUAUCGUUUUGGGAGGUUGUAUGGUUGUAACGUAAGCAUCUGCAGGUUCCUGGUUCAACAAAUUAUAGUAUGGUAUUUUAUUUUGUCACAAGGGAAUUAAUUACAGGAUCCCUUUUGCAAUGGUUUGUUGACGGCGAUGAUGAAUUUCGCAAUGAAACUUAUCCCAUCCGUUCCUAAGGUAUCCGUCUUGGUCUUCAUGUAUUAGGACUAUGUUAACUAAUACGUACCCUCCGCUGCAUAGUACACUUUAAUUUGUACAAAGAAGGCAUGCAUUUAGGUGUAAAUGUAUUAAUGGGUUGUACCUUCAAACUUCAUUUCCUUUUUCUACCGAUUUGAAUUUGUUUUGCAUUUGUUCUUGAUUUUAAGCAUUGAAUCAUGCAGGGGUCAUGGAUCGUGCGCCAGAGUGAUGGAAGCACCCCUUGUUUAUUAGGAAAAGCAGUUGAUUGUAACUAUAUCCGCGGUCCUAAGUACUUAGAAGUAAAUGCUCUUCGAAUUUCUAUAGUACAUGGGAUGUGUUCCCUUUCGAAUAGCUUGUUCAAUACCAUUAACAUGGUUUAACAUUGUUCAUCUUUCUGCAGAUUGAUGUUGGCAUGUUCUUCUACUGUUGCUAAUGGAGUUUUGGGCCUUGUAAUUGGUGUAAUUACGGCAGUGGUGGUUGACAUGGCUUUCCUUGUACAGGUAUGUAUGAUUGUUUUUUUCCUCUACUUCUAAAUGGACACAAGGGAAAAGACAUGAUUUUGAGAUAUUGUACUGCAAUUUGCAUAUUUGCAUACUUGAAUGUUCUCAGAAUGGUAUAAUGCUUCGUGUAUGCAGGCAAAUACUACAGGUGAAUUACCGGAGCGGCUGAUUGGAGCUGUACGUGUUUCUUAUAUAGAACUCAAGUCUGCUAUUGUCCCAAAGUUGGAACCAGAGACAUCAUGACUGUGUUUUCAUUUCACCUCAACUGUUUGUUUUUAAUUUAAAAAAAAUCAUUUGUUUUAGGUAUACAUACAUGUAUUUUGAUCCCGUUUUCAUUGUAAUUUCUCAUUUACUUUGAAAGAAAGUCAUUGGUGUUUUCGAAUGGGAAUUUUGCAUUAAAAAAUAAAGAAUACUUAAUAGGAAAUUUCAUGAUUCUUUAGUUACUAUUUUUGGAAUGAGUGUAAUAGUAUUAAAGUUGGUUUCUACUCGCAAACAAGUGAACUACUCGAUCCCCAACUGUGACCACGCUAAUUGUCAUUGUUUAAUAGCUACUACUUUUAAAACUCAACAACUAACAAAAAUACUAAUAAAAAAAUGAUUUUCUUAUGAUGCUGUGAAAACAUUUAUGGGUUCACUUAUUUCCACAAGAUCUAUAACAUGGUCUUGACUUCACGAAAUUCUUUUAAUUUAAAGGGUGCUGGUAUGAGAAAAUCAGUUUUACGGAUUAAUUCCUUUUAAUAAUGGUCGAGUUAAUUUUACUAUACUCAUAAAACUAUUCUUAUUCUGAUAAUGCCACAAAUGUUAUGCUGUUUUCUUCAGCUAAUGAUCUUCUAUCAGGACUAGUUAGAAAUCAAAUGCUUAAAACACCAAUUGAAUGAAUGAUGCAGAAGUUUAAACAGUAUCUAAUUGAAAAUUGCCUGAAACAUGAAACAUCAAUUCAAGUCCUUCCUUAAACAGAGAAUGCAUCAAACAAAUCCAAAGUGUCUUUCAAGUCUGUAGCAUGACUAAAAAAUUGUAAAUGCGUUCAGAACCAAAUUAUUCAAGUACAGGAGAACGAGCAAGUUGAAUCAUGUACAAGAGGUUGACCUAGUUCUAGAUAGCUUCUUCACUGUACCUGAAGGGUUGGCUCAAUCUUUUCUUUAGAAUUCUGCACAUUUUGUAAUUACUCGUGUAAGCAAGCAUACAUUACAAUCAUAAUAAUAAUAAAGCAAGAGUAAUGAUACGACCACAACCUCUUGUGCACAAAUAAUAUUGUACAAACUAACAUGACAUAAUAUGAUUGAGUAAUGAUACGACCACAAUCUUUUGUGCACAAAUAAUAUUGUACAAACUAAUAUGAUGUAAUAUGAUUGAUUAAACAAAAACAUAACAUAACCCUUAUAAUUUAUUUAUUAUUAUUUUAUAUUUUCAAUCAAGCAAUCAUAUUAUGCCACGUUAAUAGCUAUAGAAAUAAUUUGCUAGAUAGUGCCAACACUUCAUUGAUACUCACCAUUUCAUUGAACAAUUUUUUUAUGGUGUCAUUGAGGUUGCCUUCCCCACAUCCUUCAUCAUCAUCUUUUUCUUCUUCGGUGACGUUCACUUUGUUUAGCAUUGGUGUGUCUAAGACUCCUUGAGAGAAGAUCUUCAUUUUUGGACACUGUCUCACAACUACUUGUUUCAAGGACGGGAAUUCAAGAGCGUAAUUACCCAAACAAAAGCUUGUUAGGAUUGGCAAACAAUCAAGUUCCAAGUACUUUAAUUCCUUGAAAACAAUGCAAUCUUUCGUUUUUUCUCCAACCUGCGAUUGUAUGAUUUCUUCUAUCAUUUUGCAAUCAGCUAUCUUUAUUCUUUGAAGAUUCACUAGAUUUUUAGAUGCUGAGAGCGUCAACGCAUUUAUCAACCCGUGACACUUCGAUACUUGUAGUCCCCACAGAUUUUCCAAAUGCCACGAAGGUGGUACUAAUUUUUGUAACUUACUACAUUCUGAUAUUUCUAGACUUCCCAAGUUUGCAAACGCUUUGUUGGAUUCGUCAUUUUCCUUCCAGAGAUGCUGCACUUUGUGUAAUUUAGACAGCUUUAACUCCCUCAAUUUAGGGAAUGCAACCUGAAAAUCAACAAAAUUAAGUUGUAAAUUAAAAUAUGUAUCCAAUCUCUGCAGUCUUCCCCUGCAUAUUUUAUGGACAAGAUUAAUCACGACAUUUUAUAUUUUUUUUUCCAAAUUAGUAUGCUUUGCAGUAGGAUCCCAAAUAUAAGUAUCAAAUCGAUUACCCUUUGAAACACAUAAAUGAAAUCUGAUACUAAAUCCAAAUGAAUUAGCUAGGAAAACAGAGAUGCGACAAGCAUAAUUGAAAUAUAGUUCAUCACCUCAUGUUACCAGUCAUCGAAAUAAUUUAAGACAUUUUUAUAAUUCAUACUAUAAAGUUAGUUAAUAACUACGGUUAUAUUGUUAAAUCAGAUAUAAAUUAAGACGACGUGCAAAAAGAUGAGUCAUUAAAUUUGAUUUGAUUCUAAUGAAAUUAUAUCUGUGCGAAUGAAAGUGAAGGGAAAAAUAAUAAUAAUGAUUACCUUUUCAUUGAAGAGAUGUUGUAUUUGAUUAGCUACCAAGAUGUUCUCUUCUGAUUUUAAUUUUUGAGCUUCCUUAUUAUCUGCUGUCAUGUGCAGUACAGAUGUAGAAUUGGAUAUGAAUGUUUCCAUAUCAGGGCAAUUCUCAAUAGUUAGAUAUCUCAACUCAGGCAGUUCAAUUAUAUUCCCAGUGAAGUUGUAGAAUCUUUUGAGUUUUGGAAGAUCAAUGAGCCUUAGCCAGGAAAGCCUAGGAAACAGGGGGCCUAUAUGUUCUUCCUUAGCAUUUAGCUCUUCCAAAUGAAGCACCUCUUCUAGUGAAUCACAAUUCCUCACUUCUAGGUACCUUAAAUUGUUCAAGCAUCGUAGCAGAUUGGCAGGAAUAGCACUCGACAUAUUCGUGCAGUCAUCCACCACCAGCUCUCUUAAAUUGUUGAAGAAGCUGACAGGCAGUGCUUGGCCAUGCCAUAUUUCUUGCAAGCGUGGAAAAUGCGAGAGUUGCAAAUCCUUUAUAUCACGAAAUCCAAUCUGCACAAACCAAAACAAUUGCACUGGAUAUAUACAAAUUUUUUUUUAAAGGCAUUAUAUAUAUACACAUUAAACUUACAUGUUUUGUGUUUUAACUUUUAAAAAUAUAUAUACAAGGGAGGUGUAUAUGCUUAAAUGUGCAAGUGCAGGGGAGAUGCAUGAACAAUUUGGGUGAAUCGAUUAACACAUACCAUUUCUUCAUAACACUUUUGUAUAGUGGAAUUAAGGUUGCCUUCCCAAUGGUGCGGUUCACCCUCUUCCUUUUUACUCACUUGGACUUUGUAUAGCUUUGGUGUGGAUAAGAUUCCCAGAGAAAAAGUCAUCAUGUCCGGACAAAGUGUCACAAAAACUUGUUCCAGUGAUGGGAAUUCAAGAGUGUAAUUCUCCAAACAAAAGCUGGUAAGCCUUGGUAAAUCAUCAAGUAUCAAAACUUUUAAUUUGCUGAAAGCAAUACGAUUCUCCUUCACUUCUUGUCCAACAUGUCCUACGAUUUCUUCUAAUUUUGGGCAACCCGAUACUUUAAGAUUCACUAGACUACUAGGAAUUCCAACCUUAUUAUGAAAUGUCUGUGUGCAUGUGUGUGUGUAUUAAAAAAGUAAAAAUGUAAGAAUAUCAUUCAACUAGAUUCAAAGUAUGGUUAAUCAUACAAUUAUACAUUUUAUGAACAUAACAAAUUAUGAAAUGUCUACUAGAUAUUUUUUGUCAAACAAAAACGGAACAAGAUAAAUAAAUAAAUAAAAGCCACAUAAACAAAGAUAAUAAAAAUGCAUUUACACUAUUUAGUAUUAGGAACGUAGCAAGAAUUUAAGGCAAUUUCUAAAUAUUUUAGACUUAUUUUGCAUCUUGACGCCAGUUUUUAAACAAAAUUUGCAAAUUUCAACUAUUCCUUUUGGGAAAAAAAAUCAACCAAAAUGCCGCUUUUUCCCUUUUUCCUUGGUCCCUUUUUUUUAUGUAUAUUUAAUUUUGGAAACAAAAUUAAAGUGGAUCUUUAUUAAGUACUUGCAGACUCGAGGAAAUUUCUUUACAAUCAAGGAUCAGUUGUAAAUAAUCAUGAAUUUGUGGUUAAUUAAUGGCAUAAUCAGUUCGAACUAAACAAGAGAUAUUAAUUAAAUUUGAAGACUUUUCUUUUCUUUUUUUUUUCUUUUUCCAAUCAAAAUGUGAAGAAUUAAGGAAAAGAGAAAUAUAUAGAUGAAUUUGUGAACCUAUAAGAUGAGUGACUAUCCUUUAAUUUUUGAUAAUUGUACUUAUUAAGAUAUGAGCAGAAACAAUUAAAUUGAAUUAUAUUAUGCUGUUGAAUCGUGAUUAAAAAAAUUAUAUUGUUGAUUCUAAUGCUGGCAAACCUAAAAACUGGACUUAAAAUGUAGAUUUGAGAGUGGUGGUUCGAAGUACAAUACUUGAAAUAAAUAAUCAGUGGCUGAAUAUCAUUUGUAACCCAAAAAUGGUUAAAAUAUUGUUGGAUGUAAUUUGAAAAAAAAAAAAAAAGAUUCGAAAUGAAUACAACAACCUUACCAAUGGAGGAAAAAUAUUCAUUAGGUUAUCACACCUAGAUAUCUCCAAAUUCUUCAAUUUCCUGAAAGACUCCAAAGCAAGCUGGUGGUGCCAUAUUGUUCUCAGGUUAGCCAUCCACGCAAUAUCUAAUACCUCCAACCUAGGAAGUAGUACCUGGCAGUUAAAGAUUAAAUAACUAAUUAAUCGGCAUAAUCUAUUGAUAACCAAAUUAGAGGCGGAUAUUAACUAAAUUUGAAGACUCAAGGAAAAGACAAAUUAAAUAUUGUGGCUAAAAUUAAUUAAAAAAAAAACCUUUUCGUCAAAGAGAGGUGGAGAUUGCAUUUCAGAAUGAAGGGUGUCUGCUGGUGAGCUCGUAGAGAUGAAUCUUAACAUAUUAUUGCAACCAUGGAUCUCCAGGUUUAGCAAAGAAGGGAAUUCAACAACUAAAUCUGAAUGAAUCUGUCCCGUAUUGGCAAAACUUGUUAGUUCUGGAAGCCAUUCUAGCUUGAGGGAGUGUAGUUUAGGAAAAACCUUUAAUUCAAUCAACUUUCCUUCAUCUCUUUCUGACCACCCCGUGGUGUCGACUACCCCUUCCAUUGACUCACAAUAGCUUAUCUCAAGAUGUUGGAGUUUCGCAAGACUAUUAACCAUAGAAUAUGAAAACAGAUACUUCAGACAAUCACAACUCCACACGAUGACCUUUGUUAAGUUUUGACAACAGUACAUUCCUUGAUUAUGAUCGGCCCAUAAUUUUUUCAUGUUUCUUAAGUUCCUGAUAUUCAAUUCCUCUAAGCUCGGAAGAAUAAUAACCUGCAAAGAAAACCCGUACAUUUUUGUUCCUUCAAGUACAACCGUCUAGUAUAAUAUUUUUUGAUGAUCGAAGAUUAAUCGUGAAUCCGUGAUAAUAAAUUAAUCAAUUAAUUAUUGAACAGAAAAUUAUCACCUUUGGAGCAGGGUCAUCAUCAGCAAUGAUUUCGUUAAAUCCCAAAGAAGAAGUUGGUUUCUCCCUGUCGGGUCCUAUAAACAAACAAAAACAAUAUACAUAAUUAAUCUUUGUUCUUUUUUUUUUUUUGGUCCAAAAUAAUUGAAGAGAAGUCCAUAAUCCCACCAAUACUUAACUUCAACACUUACCAAAAAUCAUUUCCAGAUCAUGGCAAAACUCCACUUCUACCUUUUGAAGCCGCAGUAGGUUUUUGGCUAUGGAGAAUGAGAAAAGAUGCUUCAAUUUGUAACAGGAAUAUACUUCUAUAAUCCUUAAGUUGCUGAAAGAUUGAUCUUCUGUGAGUUGGCUGUCACAUAUUGUCUCCAAAUUGAUCAAACGACGAAGAGACAAUGACUCCAGCAAGGGGAAGACUUUGCGACGAACCCGUCCAACUGAACGGACAAUAUGCAAAAUCUCAGAACAACUUUUUACAGAAAGAUGCUUCAAUCGUGGAAAACCUUCCCCAUCAUCUAAUUCACCCUUCAGUUCUUCUAGAUAGAGAUAUUCAGUUCUCUUCAACAACAGUUUCAUCCUGUAAUUCUGCAAAAGAAUGCCAAACUUUUCUAGCCCCUGGAGCUUCAUCAAUCUUGAUAAUCCAGAUUUAACGGACCGGCUGCUCCACCACGUAUUUCCUAUACAUAUCCUAUAGCUUUGCAAUUCCACAGAGACCAAAUCCUGUGGUAGAAUUUCGGCAUCCCGAACGUGUAUCUCCAAAGUAGUUAGCUUUGACAACCCCUUCAACUCAACAAGACUGGCGUUACUUCCUCCUUCAACCUUCUCCCACUGUGAAAAGCUGUUACUCAUAUAUAGUUCUUCUAAUCGAGAUAAUUUUGAUAUGACAUUUGGAGCUAUCACCACAAGGCUGCUACAAUUGCUCAAAUCUAGCAACUGUAAUCUCGUCAAUUGUCCAAUUACAAGUGGCAACUCCUUAACAUCAGAAUCUCGAAGGCUGAGAAUCUCUAAUUUCUUUAGCUGUCCAACUAUUGCUAUAUCUUUUAGUCCGCAACCAUCUAAACAAAAUGUUUGAAGGUUAAUGAGGCGACCAAGUGAUGAAGGUAAUGAAGAGAAAGGAAUUCUAGUAAGACUUAACACUUUGAGUUCUUCUGUCCCUUCAAAAAAGAGGUCUGAAAUUUGCAUAGGGCCAUAACCCUUUCCAAACAACAAAAAUAACUGGAGAUUGGGACAUUGCAACCUUUCAGGGAGCUCUUGGAUAUCUCUAUGAGGCAAUGAAAUAGCAAUUGGUCCUUUCUGUUUCGUCUCUUCCAUCUUUUUCUCAACGUCAGCAACAUUUGGAAUAUUAAACAUGCGCUUCUCUGCGGCAAUUGAUACGGCAACAACAUGAAUGACGUCAUGCAUUUUAACUUCAUCUUCAGCAUCACCGUCCAACAAUAAGCAUGAAGAUUUGAGAUUGUCGAUCAACCGAUGCACUCUACUCCUUGCUUCUUCCAAUGUGUAAACAUUUUCAAACAAACCCCAACCCACGCCAUAUCUCAAUAAGUCAGAAACUUCUAUGGCAUCACCUUCACUGUACAGACCACAAAGACGGAACAAAGAUUUUGCCUCCGCACUUUCCAAGAAGUCAUAACUCAAUAUUAUGGAGGUGUACACAUUUGCUUGCAUGCCAUGAAUUUCUCUUGCAUCCGAUCUUCUUAGCUGAUUCAAUGCAUCUUUCCAAAAGUCAAGCUCCUUAGUUUUCAGAGCAUUUGCAACUGUACUCAGUGCAACAGGCAAACCUCCGCAUCUUUCAACGAUCUCAUUUGCCAUACUUUGAAAAGCAGAUAUUUUAGUUGAAUCACCCACUAUCUUCUCAAAUAACUGCAAUGCUUCUUCUUUUGAUAAAGCAUCGAUCCAGAAAAUUUUCUGACAAUUCAUAUCAUUGCACAAUAAAUCUCGACUUCUAGACGUCAAUAUUAUUGUGCAUCUUCUCUGAUCAUCCUCUCUAUCUUUCUCAUCAACAUCUCCAGAAGGAAUUCCAACCGCAUCCAACUCAAGUUUUGUCCAAAUAUUAUCCAAUAUAAUGAGGACCCGCUUCUCUUGCUUCAACCUUUCACGCAGUCGAGAAGCUCUAUGGUGUAUACUAUCAUUCAAGUCAAAUUUCAUGCCUAAAUCAGAAGCGAGCUUGUCUUGAAUUUUCUGGGGAUCUGGGUUCUGUGUUACCUCAGCCAUAACGACCUUAUCGAUCAACUUAUCUUCCAUCACUUUCUUAGCAACUUGCUUGACUAGCGUGGUUUUACCCACGCCGCCCAUGCCGUAGACCCCAAUUAUGUUGAGCUUAUCAUCCUUCAACGCCUCCAUAACAUCCUGAAAUACUUUCAUUCUUGAAUCAAAGGCCUCGUUAUCUUUCCCGUCAUUAAGUCCUGUGCUCUUUGGAGUAGGACGGUAGGAAACAUUAGAGAAGUUGCCUUUUCCCACGAGACCAGCGGCAGCUUCUGCGGCCUUUGCUGCUUGUUUACUAAGCUUGUAACGGGACAUCAAAUUUGGGCACAAUCCUUUGAAGCAGAACUUCUUAGCUCUUUCUUCAUCAUCAAUGAUGGAUUUUGCAACCCCUUCACUUAUGAAUUCAUCAACGCUAUGUAGCCAGUCUGUGACACCCUCAUAAAGCUCAUCCCCUUGUAGCCUAGCAUGAUUAACUGGUUGCUGCACCGUUUCUCUUUUAUAUCCCAGCUGCUUUACUUGAUCUUUUAGAUCAUCUAUGUAGCUCUGGUACUUGAACACAUAAGAUAUCUGCCGUAUAAUCGGUUUGAACAAUGACUUUGCACCUUCUGAUACGAUGCUGGAGAAAGCUGCAAGACCCACCUCUGCCAUUGCCUGCUGCUUAACAAAUCUAAUAAAAUGUCAAAGAAAGGAAUUCAAAUAAAUUAAAAUGAACUAGAGGGAAAGACAAAAAAGGAAAAGGCAGUAAACAGUGUCGCAACAUUGAUCUUGAAUCAACUGAAACAUGAACAGAGCAUUUUUUCUUCUUUGUUAAGGAUCAGAGUUUUUGCUAUUAACAAAACCUACUUCAAGCGUCUUAAAAAAAAAAACUGUAAAUUUACCAUAAAUGAACAAUAACUACAAAACUCAAGCAAAACAAGCCACAGAAUUUUUAUCUUGGAAAGUGGAUGGAAUUAAGAAAGAAAUGCUAUAAAGAUCAAGCAUCAGAGAUUAUGCUAUUAAAAGAAAUUAAUUGAAGGUUUUAGAUCAAGUGCGCCUAUUUAAUUAUGUGGGGUCAGAAAGUUGAUGAGCCUCUGUGAUCGCCUUGAAUAUUUAAGAGCAAUUUCAAUGAGCAAAAAAUUUCUGUUACCUGCAGAGGAAUGUGAUUAUAGAGAGCUUAUAGGGUAAUGACAAUGAUUUGGAAAAGAAGAAGACUUAAUCAUGCAGCCCUUAAUAUUUAUUAAAUGACUUGUGAUCAUUUCUUUUAUGAAUAAAAUGCCAAUAGCAAAAAGAGAAAAAAGGGCGAAAUUUACUAAGUCUUAUUUUAUUUUUAAUUUCUUUUAUUUCCAUUCGCCGAAGAGGGAAUCUCUCCCUCUUUUUGUUUUUUUUUAAGGGGAAUCUCCUUACCUAAUAUGACAUAAUGAAAGCAAUCUGUAAAUAGUCAUAUAAUGUAAUAAUUAAAAAUACCCACAUAUUUAUAAUAUUAAUGAUGGGAUCCAUGUGUUUAUACUAAUUAAAUUGGUGGACCAGAAUUUAUUUGACCGUACUUGUUUUCUAUUUAAUUAAGAUUGAAACGAUAGAGAAAAAUUGUCGUAUUGAUUGUUUCGAUUGUGGAGUUCCAACACUGAAAGUGAAGAUUUCAUCAACUUUCUCACAUGGACACGUACCGUCAUGCAUAUUGCAUUAUUUUCCUAGAAAAGCAAGAUUAAUUCUUUUAAUAAUUGUGAAUUCAGGAAAACAGGUGGAUAAUAACUAAAAUAUUUAUUUUUAUAUUUUUGAUAAACGCACUCACUAUUAAUAGAAUUCAUUAGAUAUCAUAACUUAAAUAACUUUUUGUGAUUGAUUGAGGGUAUCUUUUACUUCCCAAUAAUUAACUUCUAUGUUGAUUCUCAGAAAAUUAAUUUUACGAAUAAUUUAGUAGGGUGUUUGGUAAAUGAUGAUUAUUUGACAAUCAGUUUUCAAAUAGUCUACUAUACAAAUUUGAUAAGUGAAAAUUGAAAGUGUAAUAUUCAUGUGCAAUGAUAAAAAUGUACUUGUUUGCUUAUUUGUAGCUUAUUUAGAAUAUUAUUAUUAACAUCAUUUUUUUAUUUACUGGAUUUUUAAAGAGUAUAUUCUACUUUCUUUAUUACAUAUCUAUAUCAUUUUUUUAUUAACUAUUUUAAUUUGCAAUAAAACUAACUUUAAUAUUUUUUAACUAAAAAAUUCAUGCUAACAUAUUAUUAAAUUGAUUAAUAAAUAAGUGCAAAAAGAAAAUGCAAAAAUUUAAUCUUUAUAUAAACUUUUAUGUACAUAAAACUAUUGCAAUCAAAGUAGUUCAUAAAAAUAAAAUAUUCUAUACAUGUGUGUAAAAAAAAAAUAUAACUACAAUAUUGUCCACUCAUUAAAUUUGCAGCACUAUUAUUUCUCAGUCUCCCCAUCUCUCGACCUUUACCUUUAGGAACAUUAACACCAUGAUCUUCUUCUUGAAUUCGACCUCCAUUUCCACAGUAUCAACAAGGCGAUCAAUUUGCUGUGACAGCCUUUCAACUCCUCCCACUUUCCUCCCUUUUGAGGCCGCCCUUUUUCUUUUUCUUUCUUUGAUAGCUUCAAUGGGAACAAACUCAUCUAACGACAAGUACAUUCUUCAACCACAGUAGAAUUGGUUGUUGAUAUUUUACUACUCUCAUAUGGUAUGUAAACAUGGUCACCAGUGAUUGUUAUAUUAAAAAAAAAUUCUAUUCAAUUUUUCCUCUGACUUUGUGUCGAUACCUUUCAUGCAAAAUCUAUUUGCUUCAGAAAUUUCUUCCGUAUGUUGAUAUCAUAUUAAAGUGAAUUCAAGAUCCUAUAUUAUUUUGCAUGACAUCAAAGUUUAGCCGAAUGGUAAAGAAUUUCCCUUUUUGUUUGUCCCACAACUAUAUAGUCUCAUUUUUGGCAAUAAGCUCACAAUAUGCACGGAAAUGAAGAUUUAUUAAAAACUUCCCUAUAAUAUUAAACACUAAACAAUAUCACUAUAACCAAAGUUGGCUGGUGUGAGUGGUUCGGCACUCUCACUCCUUAAGAGAGGUCAGGGGUUCAAGCCCCGCUCUCGUAUGGAGUCACCACUUUGGCCAGCACUUUACCCCUUAUGGGCCGACCCGGUGCGAGCGGGGAUUAGUCUGGGUUGUGGUACGGGCUUAAAGGUGCCUCCCACAGUUGGGGCCCACUCAGGACCACCUCGUGGUUCAGACCAAAAAAAAAAAAUAAACAAUAUCACUAUGUUGUGCAUAUGGUGCCUCGUCAACAAUUUGAUGUUCAUUUUGUUGCUCGGGUGAAUAUGACUACUUGGGUUGCGAGUCCAUGCUUUUGUCGUUUGGAUGGAGGACGGGCCAUCUUUUUAUUUUAGAUGGUUUGUAGGACUUUUGAUAAUUAUUUUUCUAAAACUGAUUUCUGGUUAAUAAGACCUAUGAAAGCAUUCGAAGAAGCCACCGAACUCAGAGGAAAGCCAUGGUUAAAUAUACUGCGAAGUAUGUGAGCUCGUUUUUUAAUCUCUUGAUCACUCAUAAGCUUUUCUAUACCACUCACUAUAUCAUCCUUUUGAAUCAAUUUUGAUUGAUCAUCAGAGAUCAUGUACCCACCUUGAGAUGAUUGAUCACAAAUUUGGCAUUGUAAUGUUGGUCACCUCUAAUUGGCCAUGCUAAAAUUGGGACUUGACAACCAAUUGUUUCACUGUUGAAUUCCAUCCACAGUGAGAUAAAAAUUCACCCGUUGAUUCAUGUCCCGCUCUCUUAUGAAGUCACCACUUUGGCCAGUACUUUACCCUUUAUGGGCCAACCCGGUGCGAGCGGGGAUUAGUCUGAGUUGUGGUACGGGCUUAAAGGUGUCUUCCACAGUUGGAGCCCACUCAGGACCACCUCGUGGUUCAAACAAAAAAAAAAAAAUCCACCCGUUGAUUGAUGACUCAAUAUCAAUAAUUGUGGGGCUCAUCCAUCUAUUAUCAAACCCGUUUCACCGACUUUAUUAUCCAAACCACUACGAAAAUAACUGCCUUCUACUGGUUUGUUCAAAUGACGUAGAGGAUCCAAUCUACCUGCACCACCUUGAAUUACCCAAAUAAACGGUCGAUUUGAUGCUUCUAAAGCAUUGGCUAGUACUAGGUACUCAUCUAAGGUCGGAUCCACUUCAGUACCAAAUGACACAUAUAACACAGAUCCGCGUGAUUUCAAAUUCAAUCAUUGAACGAUCUCAUCUUCCGUCAUGUUAGAACUCCGCCGGUUGGUUCUCAUCUCAUGAUCAUGAAGCACUUAACCGGCCAAUUUGUAAAAUUGUUCAGGUAACAGUGGGCCCACUCCCCACAUCGGCUUUCUCAAUUCAUUGGCUAAAUAAUUAUAAAUGGUCCCUCAAGACCAUCACACGUGUUGAACAUCAACGCCAUUGAUCCCUCCGCUUCCUUCAUCCAGUGUGGUUGAUCACCGGCCUCUGGUGGACCUAUUUUCUCGGAACCAGGUGCACCUCUCAGAGGUGGUGGACCACCAGGAGGGUGCCCAUGAGGCCUUGUUUAAGAUUCGAUUCAAAUAAAGCCAUAUCCUCGGGUAACCCAGGAAGUAAAUGGGCCUCUCCCGGUUUGACAUCUUGGAUGCGAGCCUACCACAUGGCACACUCCACAGCUGCCGAGCAAGCACCAGAAGUGAAGAACCCAACAAUGGGAACUUCAAAAAUCUUGAAAACAUCAGCCGUCCAGCCCAUCAUAACGUCGAUGACUGCACAAACGGGUCGGCUUUUGGGUUCCCGGGUUGAAAGGAGGUUUCGAAGGCCUUGAAGCAUUUGGUUGUGCAUGACAACAUGGGGGUGAGGAGACGAAGGAGGGUAUUUUAGUAAUUUCAAAUAGAGGGUAUUGGUGAAGAGGGGAAGGGGUGAUGCUGUGUUGAAUCAAAAUAGAGUAAAAACUCUAAUUGAUCAAGAAGAAGAAAAACACUCUUUAGAAUAAUCUCACAAAAUUGCAAAAGAGAAGAACUCUUAAGAAAACUUUCAAAUGCUUAUAAUAAAGCUUUGAUUGUUAAAUUAUAAAACUCAAAUACAAAUAAGGUAUUUAUAGGUUACAAGAAACAAUCUAAACCACUCAUUAAAAUAACCACAAACUAAUUUAAACCAUUGAAAUUAAACAUGAGAAAAAUACCUAAUUUUCACCUAACUAAAUUGAUGUAAGCAAUGACAUCAAAUUAAUUUGGGUGUGGACUUAUUUGGGCUAAUAUUGACUUCUCAACACUCCCCCUCAAUGUUAGCCCAAUUCUUUGAAUCACGCCAAGCUGACGACGGAAAUGUUCAAACUUUCCAACACUCAAGCUUUUUGUAAACAAGUCCGCAGUUUGCUCAUCUGUCUUGACUUGCCUCAUCUCAAUCUCUUCUUGCAGAACUUUUUCCCUAACAAAGUGGUAAUGCACUUCCACAUGUUUAGUUCUUGCAUGAAAAACAGGAUUCUCCGCCAGCCGAAUUGCCGAUUGGUUGUCACAGUACAACAGAACUGCAUAAUCUACUGGUUGAUGUAGAUCAUUCAUUAGUUGUAUCAGCCACGUGCUUUCUUGAGCUGCCAUUGCUGCUGCUCGGUACUCUGCUUCCGUAGUUGACAAGGACACAGUCGGUUGUCUCUUGCUACACCAAGAAAUCGUUCCAGAUCCAAGGGUAAACAUAUACCCAGUAGUUGAUCUGCGAGUAUCGUGAUCUCCUGCAUAGUCAGCAUCACAGUAGCCAACUAGUUUGUAAUUUCCACCUUUCUUGUAUAGAAGACCAUAGUCUAUUGUACUCUUCACAUAUCUGAGUACUCGCCGAACCGCUUCUAAAUGAGACUUCUUCGGAUUUUGCAUGUAUCGACUCAUCACACCAACUGCAUAAGAAAUGUCAGGUCGAGUCAAGGUUAAGUAGAUUAGACUACCCACUAAUUGUCGAUACAUCGAUGCAUCUUCCAGGUCUUUGCCUUCAUGUGCACACAUCUUGGCAUUUGGUUCCAUCGGCGUUGAGAUCGGCUUACAUUCUAGCAUCCCAAACUUCUUCAACAAAUCUUUGGCAUAUUUCUGUUGACAAAGAAAUAUCCCUUCUUUCAUCUGAUCAACCUCUAGCUCAAGGAAAUGCUUAAGUUGUCCAAGUUCUUUCAUUUGAAAACGAACUGACAAGUUCUCCUUUGUUCGGAAAAUUUCUUCAAUAUCAUCUCCAGUGAUGAUUAGAUCAUCUACGUACACGAGCACAAUAGCUAUCCUUUCUCCAUUAGCUUUAGCAAACAAGCUGGAGUCUGCAGAUGUUACUGAAUACCCACUUUGAGUUAGAAAUUCAGCAAUCUUGCCAUACCACGCCCUGGGUGCUUGUUUUAGUCCGUAGAGAGCCUUUUGCAGCUUACACACAUACUCAGGAUGACCUCGGUUCUGAAAACCCAUCGGUUGAAUCAUGUAGAUCUCCCGAUCCAGCUCUCCAUGGAGAAAGGCAUUCUUCACGUCCAUCUGCCACAAGUUCCAGCUUUUGUUGGCUGCAAGUGCAAGUAAGACUCGGACGGUUGUAAGUUUUGCCAUUGGACUAAACGUUUCGUCAUAGUUUAGUCCAUAUUGUUGAGAGAAACCACGAGCUACCAAUCGAGCCUUGUACCUCUCGAUUGACCCAUCUAGACGGUGCUUUAUUUUGUAAACCCAUCUGCAGGAUAUGGGUUUCACAUCUUUUGGCUUUGGCACGAGUUCCCAGGUCUGAUUUUGCUCAAGUGUAGUGAUCUCGUCUUUCAUAGCUGUCAUCCACUCAGAACUCUGUGAUGCUUCUUCGAAUGUCUCAGGUUCUAUUCCAGUUGCUUCUUCAACUAUGGCUGCAUUAGCGUAUUUGGGAUUUGGCCUUCGGGUUCUUGUUGACCUUCGUAAUGGAGUUGAUUCUUCCGUUUCACUAGGCACACCUUCUUCAUCUGGUUGUCGAUACACCCCAGAUUGCCAAGGAUUUAGAGUUACUCUUCGUUCGCUAUCACUAUCGCAUAGAUCCCCAGCUGAGCUUAGAUGAAUUUGGACAGUAUGCUCCCCCAUCUUUUGUUGUAGCAUGUCUUCGAAUUCUUUCGAGUCUGGCAGCACUUCUUUUUCUGAGGUCCACCAUGAGGAUGCUUCAUCAAACACCACAUCUCGUGAUGUGUAGCACCUUUCAUUUACUGGAUCACAACACUUCCACCCUUUUCGCUGGUUGUCGUAUCCUACAAAGAUACAUCUGACAGCUUUCUUAUCGAUCUUGCUACGUAGAUGGUCAGGAACAAAUACAUAGCAUACACAGCCGAAUACUCGAAGAUAGCUAACUGUAGGUUUCUUGUUCCACAAUUUCUCAAAGGGUGAAACAAACUCCAACCUUGGUUGAGGAAGCUUGUUGAUGACAUGAGCUGCAGUUCUCAUACCUUCGGCCCAAAAUCUUCCAGGUACAUUCUUCGCAUGUAGCAUACUCCGGUAAAUUUCAGCAAGAUGCCGAUUCUUCCUCUCUGCUACACCAUUUUGUUGUGGCGUAUUAGCACAAGUAUACUGAUGACGUAUUUAGCAUUCCCGUAGGUAUUGAGAAAACUCUCUCGAGCUAUACUCACCCUCGUUGUCUGUGCGCAAGCAACGAAUCUUUUGCUCCACUUCUCCUUCGACUAUCUCUUUGAACUCUUUGAACUUUGAGAAUGCUUCAGAUUUUUCUUUCAUGAAGAAAGCCCAUACAUAUCUGGAGAAAUCAUCAAUGAACGUAACCAUAUACCACAUUCCGCCAAUUGAUGGUUGCUUAACGGGUCCAAACACAUCAGAGUGAAUUAACUCUAAUGGUUUAUUUGCUUUAAACUUCGACUCCUCGUAUGGCAAUUGAUGUGCUUUACCAUAUUGACAUCCCGCGCAAACAAUAUUUGUUCUCACGUCAAGUUGAGGAAGUCCUUUAAGCAUCGACUUCUUCACCAUCACACUUAGCUUGGAAUAAUUAACAUGACCUAGCCGCAUGUGCCACAGAUCUGCCGUCUCAUUCCUUCUUGUCUUGUCUACGUAUGCAGACUCAGCUGACAUCACAUAAACUGACUCCAAUUGUCGUCCCUCCAUCGUAGGCUUUUCUGAGAUCUUUAAGUCUCGGAAUACCUUCACAUUUUGUGGACCAAACAAGACAUAGUGGCCUGAUGAUGUCAAUUGAGCUACGGAUAGCAAAUUUUUCUUCAUUCCUGGAACAUGGUAGACAUCUUGAAGUGGCACUUGGUUGGGACUAUAUCGAGGUGUAACGAUCGCUUUACCGAUGUGAGCUAUCGGUAACCUUGAGUUGUCAGUUGUUACCACCACACGAUUUCCCUUGUACUCAGAACAAUUUUGCAACUUCUGUCUAUCACCCGUCAUGUGAUUUGAGCAGCCUGAGUCUACGAUCCAAUCAUUCUCGUAGUUAAUCUUUUCUGGUGUUGUUACCGUGAGAGCUAAUUCUUCUUCCUCCAUAGCGAGUAAUGCUUCGGCAUCCCAGUUAUCUUCACUAUCUUCUUUAGAACUAGAAGUAGCAAUAUUGCUUUCGGUAGACUUCUUUUUGGACCAACAAUCUCUCUUCAUGUGGCCCUUCUUCCCGCAAUUGUAACAUUCGCCAUCAAACUUUCUAUUACUGUCGCGAUUCUUCGAAGCUCCCCCUGGACGAGAGCCAUUCCCUCCCUGAUGACUUUUUGUCUGUUCACCAGUCUUUCUAGAUCCGCCUUUGUUGUGCUGUCUUGAACCACCUCUGCUUUGGUUGGUGUAAAGCGCUUCCUCUUCACCCUUUAGUGAGACUCCUCCCAUUUUCUUGGCCAUAGCUUCUUGGCCUGUCAGCAAAUUUUCAAACUCAACAAGUGAUGGUUGUGUCGGCCAUCCUUGCACAGCGGCUACAAAGCUUCGGUAUUCGGGUCUCAAGCCAUGGACAAUUAUUCUUUUUAUCCUGGCUUCCCCAAUAGCAGCUAUUGGAUCUAAUUCUGAAAUUUCACGGCAUAUCGACUUCACCUUGUGAAAGUAUUGGGCAAUCGCCAUGUCGCGUUGCGCCAUUGAUAGAAGUUCAUUCUCGAGAAGUUGCAAUUUUGUAUCGUUCCUCUUCGAAAAGAGUGUAGCGAAGGUGUCCCACGCUUCCUUCGGUGAUUUAGCAUCCCGAAUGUGCUCCAACAUUUCUUCUUCUAUUGUGGUCUUUAAAGCAAACAUUGCUUUGCCUGCUUUAAUUUUCCACUUCCGCAAGACGCCGUUAGCAUCUUCCGCUGCCGGUUGUGUAACUUCACUACCACCGACAACCUCCCACAAGUCUUGACCUUGAAGGUAAGACUCUAUACACGUUGCCCACGUGUUAUAGUUUUGGUUGUUGAGCUUUUUGAUUCCUCCAACAACUUGAAGAUCACCCAUCGUAUCGGUAUCGACAAGACUUUGACUACACCGAACAAGCUUGAGUGACUACCGUGCAGAGUAAUACACUACUCUUGACACAAAGAAGCUCCCUCUCAAGGUUUGUGAUAACCCCAGCAAUAAUCUCAAGAAAUCUUUUCUGAUGUGGAAGAUCAGUCAAAACUGCAACCACAGAGCAUACUCGGAAUUUCAAGAGACUUUACAACCAAUGCUCUGAUACCAAAUGUUGAAUCAAAAUAGAGUAAAAACUCUAAUUGAUCAAGAAGAAGAAAAACUCUCUUUAGAAUAAUCUCACAAAAUUGCAAAAGAGAAGAACUCUUAAGAAAACUUUCAAAUGCUUAUAAUAAAGCUUUGAUUGUUAAAUUAUAAAACUCAAAUACAAAUAAGGUAUUUAUAGGUUACAAGAAACAAUCUAAACCACUCAUUAAAAUAACCACAAACUAAUUUAAACCAUUGAAAUUAAACAUGAGAAAAAUACCUAAUUUUCACCUAACUAAAUUGAUGUAAGCAAUGACAUCAAAUUAAUUUGGGUGUGGACUUAUUUGGGCUAAUAUUGACUUCUCAACAUGCUGGUGGCGGAAAUGUGAGAGGGAAUGGUGAGGGUAGAUUUGUAAUUACGAGAAGCGAUUUGCUUGCAUAAUUUAAUGCAUGGAAAUAGAUGUCCCUGACCAAAGAAUGGGACAAUCCAAAUCUCGGCCUCAGCAGCGCUGCAGCAGUAGCAACAGAGCUUGACAUCUUUUUGAAUUAUUUGAUACUUAAUUGUUACUGUUUGCUUUUACCAUCUUUCAUAAAACACUCUUUGUUAUAUAUAAAGGGAUGACUUAAUGGAGAAGUAAGUGUUUUAGUUUUACAGUUUUACUAGUAGGUGAGCUCGGAGUUUGAUAAUUUGAUUGUUAGUUUUAGUUGGUUAGUUAUGAGAAAGCAUCUUUAAGAAAAUUCAUUCCAGUUUCAACUAAAAUUAAUAAUAUUGUUCAAAUUAAUUACUCGAUAAAUAAAUAAUUAGAGAUAAAUUUAUCCCUAAUCUCACAUUUAUAAAAUAAGGAUUGAAAUAAGUUUUUGUGGGUUCGAACUCAAGCCCUCAAGUCGAGCGGCUGGAUCUUGACUACUUUGACUUAAUUAUUAUUAUUAUUAUAUAUAUAUAUAUAUAUUUUUUUUUUCAUUCUGUCACGGAACAUCUUUUGUUAUAUAAUGAAGAAGAUAAGUUGACGAAGAAGAGUUCUACUUUUACUAGUAGAUGAGCUUUGAGUUGACAACGUUAGUUUUAGUUAGUGAAAUAUCUACCAUCCAAAUCAACGUUCUUUAGACUAUUAUUCAAGUGAGAUGUCUGAGUAACAUACGCUUGAGUUGGUCGGUGCCUGGCAAUUCGUGUGAUACAUGAAACCAACCGAUAUGAAAACCAAAUCAAGUUGGUAGGAUUACAUUAAUUUAAAUUAACUUUCAAGUUCUAAUAUUAUAAGAUAAAUAAAUAGCAUAAAAUAAUUUUUAUUUUCAAGUAAAUAUGUUUAUCGUUUAAAAAUUAUUUUUUCUUGCGGUAAAUGCAACACUAAAUAAGGAGUGAAUAGGGUAAUUUGUAGGGUAUACCCCCACCUUUUAUUUCAUUUCAUUAUUAAAAAAUAAAGGCUUGAUUCAACAUUCAAGUAAAAUUAACAAUUCCAUGAUAAAAUUGCUUGAGAAUAAGAAUUAAAAUAAAAAAAGAAAACAGCAACUCAAAAACGACAUACAAAUACCGCAUAGAGGUUUUUCGUCGCAAGAUAUUUUUGGGUUGAGCAACACUUGUAUAACAGAGCAUACAGACUGAAUGACGGUGAGAAUAAGAAGGAAAACGGCGCCACACACCGAAAUGCCAGCCCAUGGAGUAUUGAAGUAAUUUUGUUUCAAGUUUGCCCUCCAUUUGUAGCACGUUCUUUUGCAGUGAUCAUUCAAUCCUUUGCAUAGCCCAGAAAAAUAGAAGCUAUCAGACAGCAGAGUAGUACCUCUAGAAAGGUUAUUUAUAAGCAUUGACGCAGUCUCUUUAUCCGGCAACCGGUUCUCAAUGAUUCCGUUCUGAACAAGCAACUCGACGUCCUUCGCUGUGUUCACGAGAUGAUGAAUAAGGAACACAUAAUCAUUUAUGUAAUUCUCUGAGUAAUGCCGUUGUUCAAAGGCAAUGAGAUUACGAAAUAAGGAUUCCGUUUCCAGCUGUAGCUUCAGUUUCGGAAUAUGCAAUGUCCUGUUUUUGAAUUCUAUGGCGAACAAAUCAUUGCUCUUGCUCAAACUGAAGUGGACUCCAGCUUGGUGGAGAUCAGUCACACUUGGUGCGGUUUUGCCUUUGUGGUAUUGCUGACCUUCUUGUUUUUCCUGAUUCCUCGAUGAUGGUAGAUGACAAAUCCUUAGAAAAUCAAGGAAAUGCUCGACCCUAACCUCAGUGUAAGGAGGGAAUUUUUGCUGAUUACCUUGUACUGCCUCUAAACCCUUGAAAUACUCGUAUGUGACUGUGAUGAUGGUUGGAUUUUCAUGUUGGUCGGGGAUUUCAAUAGCAAAAAGAUCCUCAAGAAUGAAGAAAGGAAGCUGAUUCUCAAGCAACCACAUAUCAUACCAUAUAUCCUCUAUUAAAUAGGGUUUAAGAAAUAUAUAAUCAUCUUUUUUUUGAAGUUGACGGAAAUGAUGCCUCAAUAAGAGUUCAAUGAUGAAGGCAGCAUCCAGCAGAAUCAUUUCAACAAAUUUAUCACUACUUAGUUCGACUUUUUCUGCAUAAGAACCUCGUAAUUCUGCUUCUCUGAGCUUUAUAAUUUGAACAAACUCGUCAAAGCUUAUUUUGGUCCGUUGAAGAAAGUAACGCAGGUACCGCUGUUUAUGUUCUUCCAUGAACUGUAAGUUUGCUUUGCCAUGGUGAAGAGGGCCAAUUGAGACUACCUGAGCUGUAUAUGCCUUUUCAUUUAUCUGACGUAAUCGCUCCGGAACUCUGUAGAUGCAGCAGUUUGAGGGCAAUGGUGAUAAUUUUUCCAACUUAACUUGCAAGCACUCUUCCAUGUUAUAAACUGAAAACAUGGCGCGAAAUUUGAUCAAUUCACUAGUUUAUAUAAUAUUCUUGAACCUCAUCUUAAGCAAAGCAACAAAAGCCUUCACUGUUUCUUAACAACUUUAUUGCUCUAACACAUAGCAUAACAUUUUUAAAUUUGCAUAAAGCACAAUAGUACUUUAGUUUGUAACAACAGCACAGAUAAUAAAUAGCAUUUUAUAGCUUUAACAAAAGCAUACAAAAUUCUUAAACCUUGUUUCAAGCAAUUCAUUAAUGCCACAAGGAUGUCUUUUUGCUUCCUACAGUUUUUAUUGAAAUUCAUAUAUUCUUCUUUAUCAAAUUAAGUAAUUUUCCUUUUUCAAAAAAUCAAGAAGGUUUCGACUGCAUGGAAAUACAGCACACAAUUACUACUAUUCCCGGAGUAAGAAAUUCAUAAAUGCAAUAUAAACAUACAUUUUCAUAAGACAUCAGAAUCAAAGAAUCAUCAAUGCAUCAAAUCUGUACACCCAAAAAAGUUGAAAGCACCAAGAGAAAAUUAUACCGCAUGGACCCUUUACAACCCUUAUAACGAGUUCAGACAGCUACAAUGUGCAAUACAAAAUUUCCCAAUACUAUUUAGAACAAAGUCUAGAAAACAAAACUUAUAUAUUGUACAAAAUCAUGAAAACCAGAAAUGACAAAAAACCUGCAAAUGUAAUUUUUGGGUUUCUUCAACAUAUCUUCCAUCCAAAUCAAACAAGAAUCGAUAAAUCAACAACAUUCAUCUUUAAAUGACAUAUUACCACAAUAAAAUUGUCAACCAAGCCUCAUAUAAACCUUUUUUGUGUUUUGUGGUAAAUAUAUUUGUUAUUCUCUAAGAAUACUAGGGAAAAAAGAAACCCACUUUCUUAAUCAAGAAUCAAAUAAUAUAUAUUUAUCUAAGCUGAAGUAAGUCUUCGGUUUGAUGAAAUAGCUUGCAAUGUGAUUUAGAUUGGAAAGGAAGUUGAUUUUUGCUGGUUGAGAGAGAGAGAUUUGAGACUUAAGAGUGUUGCUAAUCUUCGAUCGUGUAAACAAGGGUAACUGGGUCAUAGUUCAAAAUAAGGGUCCAAAAUUUACUAAAGCUAUUAAGGAGCCCAAAACUCAUAAUGGCUUGCCCAAAAUAAAUAAAAUUUUCGAGCAUUAAGUUUUUGUUUCUUCUUGAGAUUUCCUUGCCGUACUUACCCAUAUUUCGAUAUUGCCUCCAAGUAAACUUAUAUAUAUUGAUUAACAAUAUAAACAAGCACUAUGAAGUUUUAGGCAUGAAAGAACAUUAGGAUUGAAAUGAAAACCAUCUAUUUAAGUAACAAAUUCUUCUGAUAAUUUGAUGCUUAAUUUAGAGCAGAGAUGACAUAUCAAUCACGUUAUGAUGUGGAAGUUAUGAUUAUAUUCAUCUUAAGAAUAAGAUCUUUCAGACACUGGCAGAUUAGUAUAAAAAAUACUCAGCAUAAGACCUACAAACUAGAAAUCACGCACCAAUUAUUGAACUCAGCACAUAAGUUGAUCUUUUAUAAGCUAUAAAACAAAUCUGCUAUAACAUAAGAAAGUGGGAUUUAUCACCAGACAAGUAUUUUGGUGAAAUUCAAGCUGACGGAAGGAUAUCCAAAGCAACCUCCUUAAGGGAAGGCAUCACUUCCUGCUGAUGCAAACAUGUAUAUUUAUUACUCACUUUCUUGAGGACCUUCUAGGAACCUGGGCAGCACCUAACAGAAAGUGGAAAAGAAUAAAAUGUAAAAUAUAAGUUAAACAGCAGGAAAACAGUGAGUGAUACUAGGCAAGCAUUAAUAUGUUGCCGCAGGAAAAGUGUCAGUAACUAGCUAGCAAACCUGAAAAGGGUUCCUCCAUUGUGACCCUUAAAAUUGUGAAUGUAAAAUAUGGUCUCCAUCACAGGAAAAAGUGUUUUGGAUAGUGCAGCCAGCUUAGGGUAGAAGAAUGACGGAUAAUCUUUAGCUCAUUUAAGGAAAUCCUCUCUGAUCCUUUCAUUGCACAUUCCAAAACAACUCUACUACAACCAAGUUACCAAUUCUUUUUGUUAAGUCAUUGUUAUUUGUUAAAAAAAAAAAAUCUUCCUUGCAACAUUUUAUUGAAAGAUAUAACAUGAUCAUCCCUACUAAUUCCCUUUUAGAUUUCUGUGAGUGAAUUUCAAAUUAUUGUAUUCAAAAAUAGAAGCAAAAGACCCACUUUACUUUCAAUUUCUGCAACAAGAUACCAAUUGAAGGACCAAAAAGUUGUAAACAACCAAUUCAAUGGGUGGGCAUCUAGAAACUGCUAUAUAGCAUCAAGAUCAUACUAAAUUUACAGAAAGUACGAUAAUAAUGAAAGAAUGGUGAAGGAUACACCCAGACCUUAUCCGGUCAAGUUCUCCAUUGAAUAUAAUCAGUUUCCGGGCAGUAUUGAAGACAACUUCUUUGUAAAGCUCUUCAACGACAAGCAUUUCUACAAGACAAAAGAAAAGCAAAAUUAAUUACCUUAAGGAAUGAAUAUCAAUGAGAAGACAACGUGUAAGACUACCAUUGACAUUAAAAUAUGGAUACGCGACUAGAAACAAUUCAUCUUCCGGCUUCACACGGUCUGCCUUUUUAACCUUCUCAGUGAAUCCAAAAUCCUCAAAGAAUGAAGGUUUUGUUAGAUAGUCCAACUUAAAUGAUGAUCCUUCAAAGACCUAUUUUCUUGCAAAUUUGACUUCAUUUGCCUCUGGGAAAAACUAAAAACCAAAUGACAGACCAAGAUCACAAAACGAAUCAUGAACAUAGAUAUCAGAUAAUCAGAAAUGGGCAUUAAACAGACUACUAACAAAUAGGAAAUGCAUACAGAAAACAUUAUUCAUACACCUUAUGCACAUGAAAUAUAUAUGCAGUGGGAUCCUCUUGUGAAUUUAGUUUAUAUCCUAAAAUGAGACAAUGAACAAUUGGAUGCCAUCUAAGGGCUAACAUUUGUUUGAUUAUUAUAUGAAAAAAAAAAACAAAACAGAGUUGAUUGAUGGCCUUUGAUGGAUUGCCUACACUCCUAAAGUGCAGAGAGCCUGAUUAAUUGCUUUACCUGCCCCCCACACACACACUUGAUUUUAUUAUCUCUCUUUUCAAAUAUAUAAUCAUUGCCUGUCUUUCAUCCUGAUCCAGCUCUCCUUCCAGGCACCAGCUGUGUUUUCUUCAAUUCAGUGAAGCAUUCACUUUCAGGUAAGAAUAAACUUGUCCUUCCUCAAAAAUCAGCUUCUCACCAUGAAGCUUUCUUUUUCAAAACAAUUACUAGUCUAGCAUAAUGCAUCUAAUUGAAGACAACUCAGAAUUGAAAAAGCCAUACUUUAAUGUCUGCUGUUGGGACCUCAAGACCAGGAAAAAAAAGCUUCUUUCUAACUGUUGGAUUAACAAGUAGAAAUAGCUUUUUUCUGAAGGACCCAACAUUGCAUUGAAAAAUUCAACAAAAGGACUGGCGUCAUAUUUAGUCCUGCUAGAAUUUUGUGCACUUAACACAAUGGUUAAUAAUUGGCCCAGCAGACACUUUGUCGAACUACUGGCAAACCUUGACUGUGGAAAUGCAUAUUUCAAAUGUUGGCAGACUCUAGCUUCUUGAUGUACUGUUGAUAAAAAUGCCUAUUUCAAAAGUUGGCAGGCUCAAACUGCCGAGACUUUGGUUUCUUACAUUUCAAACCCACAAAUAAAACUUUGGCAGAACCCCAGAAAGAGCUACACCUCCCAAAUUUGAUGACAUAUGAAGAGACCAUGCCUAGUGCUUGGUUCGGCAAAUGAGUAAGUUUGAAAUAAAUUGAGGGAAACCUUUCCCACAGAGAGUCAUUUUGAAGGUUACAAUUUGAAGACUUUGUCCCCUGUCGCCCGUAACCUUCUUUGAUCUCUUUUCUUAGUCAUGAAUAAUCAAACAUGUGUUAGUGGUUGGAUGCAAUCCACUCGCUGACAUCUCAUGUCCACAAUCAAUCAACCAUAUUUUAAUAGAAAUGGAAACAUUUUAAUUAAAAAAGAAUGAGAUAGGAACAAAAUCAAGCUUGGCAGACAUGGGUCUAUGAGAUUUUAAAGAUGCUUGGUGAAAGUCGUAUUCAAGAGUUCAACAAUCAGUUCCAUCACCUAUGGCAAAGUAACCACCGCAACUAAAGCAAUUACAAAACAUCAAGAAGCUUGAACUUGGCAAGAGGUCUCAUUAACAGUAUACCUCAGAAAUUAAGACAGAAUUAAAGUGCAAGCUUUUGGAUUUAUUUAAACACUGAAAAUAAUAUGGGUAGAAGCUCCUAUGGUCACAGCAAACAAUUACAAAGCACAAAACCCAAAAAACAGAUAUGCAAAAAGCUGCAAAAGAACAUUAUUAGCAAUUGACAUCUGCUUUUGCUCAGACAAAGGUUCUCAUAACAAAGGACUUAGUGAUUAUCUGUCAUAUGUUUAUGUUAAGGGGAAAAAAGAAGUUUGUUUUAGUCAAUCUCAUGUCUAUUGGCAUUCAUAAGGAGCCCAAAAAUAAAAGAAAAAAUAAAGAGUUAGUAGGUGUUUCUUGCAACACAAAGAAAAUUUAUCAUCCAUGAAAAACUUAGUAUGGAAAAAGCUAACUCAUUUAUCUGCCAAUGCAGAAAAACUUGUUGUCUACCCACUAAGGACCCACCAUUGGCAGGUCUGAUGGAUCCCAUGGAUGGGAACCACAAAUAUUUUAUUCUAAAUGACAUGGGUAUUGCACCCAUAUCAUUUAAUUUGUAGAUUCCACUGAUGGAACUCAUCAAACUUGCCAAAUGGCAAGUCCUCCGUGGGUAGGCGCAUCACUUCAGCAUCCUUCUCCACCGAUGACCAAAUCUGGACUCAUUUAAAAAGAAUACAAAGCAAACUAACUGACAAAAAUUGCAUAUAGAGGUCUAGGAGCCAAAUCAAUGUUGUUAACUCAUCCAAUUAAUACAUUCUCUUAGAGGUCAUACCUUGGUAACUCAUUUCAAAAGAAAUUAAAAGAAAAAUGACUGCACAAAUUGUACUGAGCUCAAGAAGACCUGUUCAAGGUGUUCACUUGUCCAACUAAUAAAAGUCAUCAAGGAUUGUAUCAGGGACUUGGGACCAAUCCUGCCUUAACGAGAGAAAGGGAAUUUAGGAUGAAGAAGAUAACCUCUUUUCCUAGAGCAAAUUAAGCUGGUAAAAUCUUGGCAGUUGCACUUGGGGCAGAAAUUAGUUCCACCUUGGUUUACAGGACAGAAAUUCGUCAUAUGCAUGUAUUUAUUUAUAUUUUAUACACAUACGCAUACAUGUACACACAAACACUACCUUCACUUUGAAGAAAAGAUUAAAAUAACACUGCUCACAUACACAAUACUUACUAUUCUAGUUCGUGUGACUUUCUCCGGAGUCACAAAUAGGUCAAAGAAUUCGCGUAUUAACCGCAUACUUCCAGUCAUUUCUAUUCCUCCUUCACCAUCACCUUUCCCACAAUUACAAAAAGUGAGAGGUAGUAACCAACAUAUUUGGGUUGUUCUUCGGUAAGGGGUGGGAGGUAAGGGUUAGUUGUGGAGGGCACCUGGUACAGAAUCAAGGCCAGCUGUUGGGAAUUUGAUCUCCUGUAACAUAUACUUGUUCAUCAUAAACUAUAUACUUAUUCUGCAGUCGAUGUGGGCAUAUAGCUCUUCAAUUAUCCAGUAAUAACUCACCAUCAACUUCCUGCCAUCCUUCAUGGCUAAUUCAGCAGCUAUUUUUGCCUGUUUAAAGGGCAAAAGCCCAAACUAAGCAGAUGCUCCUACUCCGAUACUUAUUAUCUAACUACUACAGAACAGAUGAUACACAUCAAGUUGUGUCAAGAGAGACACCAAGUUGUGUUUUCCAAGAGGUUCCAAAGAGGUUUUGUGUUAGAGUGCAAUUUAUGCACUAGUUUUGAAUUGUUUACUUCCUUAAUAUCGAUGUUUUGCACUUAAUAAUAGUGAUUUACUUGUGUUUUAUUUUUAUAGGUGCAAUUAUAUUGAUUGGUGCAAAAAUUGAGCUACAAGACGAUGUUUAAGGAUGAUUGUUCUCUUGGAGAAAUUAUGAGCGUCAGAAGAACUUUGUUGAUAAGGCGUGGGCGCGUGCUGUCAACUACGGACCUGCAGUUUUUAGUUUAACGUGUUUUGUAUUUUUGGUUAUUUUUAUAAUUACGAAUUUAAUAUUUCAGAUAUUAGUAUUUUAUUUUAAAUAGAACUCUAGAGGAGAAGAGAGAGAGAGUAUUUAAGGGAAGAAUCUAUUGUGAAAAAAGGGAGAUUUUUGGAAAAGAAAGAAACCCUAGAUCUAAAUUUUUCUCUUCUCUCCAUGAAGAACUAAAUCUAUUAUUCUGUUUGAAGGUUAAUGAAGCUUUUAUUCAUCACUACUGUGAGAUCUUUCUUAUGCUUUAAUUGUUUUAUUGCUUUUUGGGUAUUUGUUUAUUCUCUGAAUUAUUUUCAUGAUUAUGUUUGUUAAUUAGAUAAUUGGCUACUAUUUAAUUAUCAACUUAAUCUAUUGUCAAUUAAAGGAUUCAUCGUAUGAAGAUUUUAAUGUUUGUGACAAAUAACAUAGCAGAGAGUUGUGUUGUGAGAAUAAACAAUCUAAUUUAAAUGAACCAUCGUAUGUGUUUGUUGAUUAGGAUUUGGGUCUCUCUGGUUUUUCAAGCUGUCAAUUGAUUAAAUCCUAUGAUCGUAUCUAGGGUUAUCUAUUGAUUAGGGAAAUAACCAACGGUCAUACCUUGGUUAUCGACUAAUUAAGGAGAUAUUGGCUAUUAGAGGGUCUCAGUAGCUAUAACCGGUCUAUUCAUAAGUAGUAAUAAUUUAUAUUUGAAUCAAUGAUCAGUAGUCGAAUCAAGCUGAGUUAAUUCCUUCAACCAGAGCUUUCUCCAAUUUGAAUUACAACUUUAAUUUGCAUUCUUGUUAUUUUAAUUUGAUUGUUAUUAUUGUCACAAAACCCUCAUUUUAUAUUUUACGUUUUAAAAGGAUUUAAAUAAUUACCGAUCUCUGUGGACACGACUUUGCUCAAUCACUAUACACAAUUUAUUUAGAGUAGGUAUUUAUUUUUGUUGGCUUCGACAACCUUCAAAUUUUGGCGCCGUUGCCGGGGAUUGGUGUCAUUUAUUUAAUCCUUUUUACGUUUUACUUGGUGUAUGGUUCGUUCUUCUUGUACAGGUACACUUUCGUUUGAUCCUUAAAUUGAGAAGACAGCUCGCCAGCUGAGACAGCAGACGAAGCGAGCUAAGCAACGACACUCAUCGCCUUGCUUUCUGAAACAGAUACGGUGCCUGAUUUAGUUGAAUCAUCAAGCGAUUUAGAAGAACAAGUGAUGGAUAGAGCUGCACCUGUAGAAAGAACUCUUAGAGAGUUAGCCGAACCAGACUUGAAUCAGCAACCACUCUACAUUCAAUAUGUAGACUUGGAGGUAAAUUUUGAAUUAAAGUCUGGUCUUAUUCAUUUAUUACCCAAGUUUCAUGGUUUUGCAGGUGAAGAUCCUCAUAAACAUCUCAAGGAGUUUCAUGUUAUGCGUUCAAGUAUGAGGCCACAAGGCGUGACUGAAGAGCAAAUUAAGUUGUGUGCUUUUCCUUUCUCUUUAGAUGGGCUAGCUAAAGACUGGUUGUAUUACUGUUAGAGUGCAACUUAGCAUAUAAUUUUUUAGGCAAGAAAGAUCACUCAGGAGUUUUCUCUAAAACUGAAUUUUAUUUUAUCUGGUGCAUGUUAAAUGAUGUGAGGCCUAAUUUAGGUUUUUGGUUAGCAGAUCAAUUUCAAAGUGUGCUUAAACGGUAUAGGACUUUAUUUCUUGGUCCAUACAUUACUCUGUUAGCUAUAAACCUAUGUGUGCUUGAUCCUGACAAUAAUGAUUUGCAUCCUGCUUGCAAAAAAGAAUUUUUGGAUAUGUUUAUGUUUGAAAGAACAGGUGUGGUCGAAUUCAAGGAGCGGAGAUUUCAGUUUACUAAACCAGGGCCCACUCAACCUCCGAAGAAGCUUUAUGCUAGGAGUGGUGCUACCUCUGAUGACGAGUUUGACGACGACACUGCUGCCCCGCCAACUAUUCCUUCUACAUCCGCACCACCUUUGAGCAUUCAGUUAGAGAAAAUGGAGCACAAGCUGAAUAAGAUGGAGCAAAAUUUGGCCACAUACUUCGAGAAUGUGGGAUUUACCUCACCAUUUCCGCCAAGCCAAUAGACGUUAUGUGGAUCAAAGCUCACAAUUCAGGGAAGUUUUUUUUGCCUUUAAUCUUUUAUCCUUACGCUUUAAUUUUUAUGUGAGCUUUGAUUAUCUUACAUUGGGGACAAUGUAAGUUCUUGGUGUGGGGGAGGGAUUUUUGCAUUAUUGAUGUCUGGAAUUAUUAUUUUCACUCUACUCAUCUAUUUUCACUCUACUCGUCCUUAAAUGAUUUUGGAGUUAGUAUGCUUCAUAUAUUAUUAAUUUCCUUUUCCUUUCUCUCUCACUACUCUUUUCCCAUCUAUCUCAAAUUAUUUACAUCUAUUUUUUUUUCUAUCAUACUCUUUCAUCACUUACAUUUUAUCUUUCAUUUUUUUACUACAUACAUCUUUCUCGCUUAUUAUUUUUUUACCUUUCUUUUUAUAUCUCACUCAUACCUUCUUCUCAUUCUACACCACUCUUGAUGGUUGAUUCAUUUGAAGAGUGUACAUGAUUUGAUGGCAAAUUUACCAACUUUGUGAGGAUUUGAGCCUGUGAGCAACCACUUUGCUCUAAUUAUUUUUGUUAUGUGAAUAUCAAUCUUAGUUUGUAUAUUCUAGAACUUGCUUUGUUAAGCAUGUUGAAGCCACAUUACGGGAUUUUAUGCAUUAAAAUGAUAAGGGCAAACCAUUUACCAUUUUUCUAUUCUCGCAUUUUCUUUUUUCUCUACCCGAAGACCUUUAUUUGCUACCUUUGUUUGAGCCUUAACCAUUACCCAUCUAAUUCUUUCCAUCUACUUAACCAUUUUUCUUCUUUUUGAGCCUAAUUUAAGGAGAUAUUUGGACUCAUUGUGUGGAUAUAUUUUGUUGCUUUUUCUACCUUGUAUUAAAGUUUCUCAAUUAGAUCAACAAGCAUUAUGCUUGAAUUAAAUUGUGCAAGGUUCGUUUCUUUUGUUUGAUUAAAAAAAAACAACAAAAAAAAGGAAAAAGAAAAAAAAGUGAAAAAAAAAUCGAAAAAAAAAAUUGAAAAAAAAGGUUUACAUUCUUGGUGACUUGAGUAGAAAUAAGCAUUUUGAUAUCAUAAGUUCAUUCAAUGAGUUCAUUCUUCUCAUUUUGAUCUCUUUUUCUUUCAUAAACCUUUCUUUUUUAUUUAACCUAUUUAACUCCAUUACAACCCUUUUAAGACCCUUAAUUUUUUGCAUUUUAUUUAUGUUUUAUGGAUUGAGAUGUGAUAUAUGAGCAAGCUUAUGGUAAUAGCAUUCUUUGAUUUGAUUUGAGUGAAUAAAUGACACCCUAAACACUUUGAGUGCAUGGAGUGAAGUCAAUGAGAGGGCUAUUAAAUCUUGUUGCACUUGAAUUUUGAAUGGAUCUUCUUGGUGGUUGAAUGUUCUUAUUCUAUCUUAUGAGAUUCUAUGCUUUAAAAUCCUUGCCUCUCGAAUGUUGAUCGACUUAAAUUCUUGAGGUAUGCUUGCUUAAAAUUGUUUUUGGAUGAGUUGAGAUGAAAAUUGAGUGGAGAUUUGGGAUUAGUCUUGAGUUAUAUGCUUGAGGACAAGCAUCAUCUUGGUGUGGGGAAUUUGUUAGAGUGCAAUUUAUGCACUAGUUUUGCAUUGUUUACUUCCCUUAAUAUCGAUGUUUUGCACUUAAUAAUAAUGAUUUACUUGUGUUUUACUUUUGUAGGUGCAAUUCUAUUGAUUCUUGAUAAAAUUGAGUUAUACGAUGAUGUUUAAAGAUGAUUGUUCUCUUGGAGAAAUUUAGAGAGUCAUAAGAACUUUGUUGAUACGGCGUGGGUUCUUGCUGUCAACUGCGGACCUGCAGUUUUUAGUUUAACAUGUUUUGUAUUUUUGGUUAUUUUUGUAAUUAUGAAUUUAAUAUUUCAGAUAUUAGUAUUUUAUUUUAAAUAGAACUCUAAAAGAGAAGAGUGAGAGAGUAUUUAAGGGAGGAAUCUAUUGUGAAAAAGGAUUUGGAUUGGAGAAAAAGAAAGAAACCCUAGAUCUAAUUUUUCUCUUCUCUCUAGGAAGAACUAAACUUAUUUUUCUGGUUGAAGGUUAAUAAAGCUUUGAUUCAUCACUACUGUGAGAUCUUUCUUAUGCUUUAGUUGUUUUAUUACUCUUUGGGUAUUUGUUUAUUCUCUGAAUUAGUUUCAUGAUUAUGUUUGUUAAUUAGGUAAUUGGCCACUAUUUAAUUAUCAACUUAAUCUAUUGUCAAUUAAAGGAUUCAUCGUAUGAAGAUUUUAAUGUUUGUGACAAAUAACAUAGUAGUGAGUUGUGUUAUGAGAAUAAACAAUCUAAUUUAAAUGAAUCAUCAUAUGUGUUGAUUAGGAUUUGGGUCUCUCUUGUUUUUCAGGCUGUCAAUUGAUUAAAUCCUAUGAUCGUAUCUAGGGUUGUCUAUUGAUUAGGGAAAUAUCCAACGGUCGUACCUUGGUUAUUGACUAUUUAAGGAGAGAUUGGCAAUUAGAGGGUCUCAAUAGCUAUAACCGGUCUAUUCAUAAGUAAUAAUAAUCUAUAUUUGAAUCAAUGAUCAGUAGUCAAAUCAAGCUGAGUUAAUUUCUUCAACCAGAGCUUUCUCCAAUUUGAAUUACAACUUUAAUUUGCAUUCUUGUUAUUUUAAUUUGAUUUUUAUUAUUGUCAACAAAACCCCCAUUUUAUGUUUUACGUUUUAAAAGGAUUUAAAUAAUUACCGAUCUCUAUGGACACGACCCUGCUCAAUCACUAUACACAAUUUAUUUAGAGUAGUAAUUUAUUUUUGUUGGCUUCGACAACCAUCAAUUACUUGCCACCUGGAUCGAUUACAACAUGGAAUGGUUUGAAGAAGCAGUUCCUUGAGAAGUACUUUCCUGUUGUAAGAGCUGCCAACAUCAGAAAAGUCAUUUGUGGGAUCAGACAACUUCUUGGGGAGACUUUGUAUGAGUAUUGGGAGCGAUUCAAACAAUUGUGUGCCAGCUGUCCUCAGCAUCAGAUUUCUGAUCAACUUCUUAUUUAAUAUUUUUACGAAGGACUGUCAUUGAUGGACAGGAGUAUGAUAGAUGCUGCUAGUGGAGGUGUGUUGGUGAACAAGACCCCUACUCAAGCAAGGGAGUUGAUUGCAAAUAUGGCUGCCAAUGCACAACAAUGUGGCAGCAGGUAAGAUCUCACUUCAAGGAAGGUGAAUUAGGUAAAUAUUUCUUCUGUUGAACAACGUUUAGAUAAACUUACUUCUCUUGUGGAAAAGUUUGUUGUAGGUAAUGUGCAACAGGUGAAGACUUGUGGCAUUUGUUACAAUAUGGGUCAUUCAACCGAUAUGUGUCCUACAUUUCAAGAAGAACCCGUUGAACAAACCAAUGCAGUUAGAGGAUUUCCAGGCAUGCCUUAGAGGAGGUAUGAUCCUUAUACACAAACAUACAAUCCGGGAUGGAAGGAUCAUCCCAACUUCAGCUAUGGAGUUAGACCAUCAUGAUUCCCGCAACAGUAUCCACCAAGACAACCAGCACCUCCACAGUCAAACUCCAAGUCAGGUAUAUCUCUUGAAGAAAUUGUUAAAUCACUUGUGACUAACACUCAACAAUUUCAACAGGCAACUACAGCAAGCAUUCAGAAUUUGGAGAACCAAAUGAGUCAAUUGGCGACUACAGUGAGCCGUCUGGAGUCUCAAGUAUUAGGGAGAUUGCCUUCACAAUCUGAGGUGAAUCCAAAGUAAAACGUUAGUGCUGUCAUCCUUAGAAGAGGGAAGGAGUUGCAAGAUCCCAGUAAGAAAGUGACAAAGCAUGUAGAAGAUGAGUUUGAGAAGAAUGAAUUGAUGCCUAAAUCUCAAGAUGCGCAACCCACCAAAGCGAAACCCCUACCUAUUGUGAUACCUCCUCCUUUCCUAAGCCGGUUUGCAAAAUCCAAGAAGGAGGAACAAGAGAAAGACAUCCUUGAGACAUUUCGCAAGGUUAAGGUAAAUAUUCCUUUAUUAGAUGCUAUAAAACAAAUACCUCGAUAUGCUAAAAUCCUUAAGGAACUAUGCACCUCCAAGAGAAAAGUAAGAGGAGAUGAAAAAGUUCACAUGGGGGAGAAUGUUUCAGCAAUUCUCCAAAAGAAACUACCUCCUAAGUGCAAGGAUCCAGGUAUGUUUACUAUCCCUUGUAAAAUUGGUAGUGUUAGAGUUGAAAAUGCUAUGUUAGAUCUAUGAGCUUUUAUUAAUGUCAUGCCUCGUUCCAUUUAUUCAUCUUUGAAUGUUGGGCCAUUAAAAGAAACUGGCGUGAUAAUUCAACUAGCUGAUAGGUCUAAUGUAUAUCCUGAUGGGGUAUUAGAAGAUGUUUUAGUACAAGUUAAUGAGUUGGUUUUUCCUGCUGAUUUUUAUGUACUUGAUAUGGAAGAGGAUAACUCCUCUAAUUCUGUCCCAAUUUUGCUAGGAAGACCUUUUCUUAAGACUGCUAGGACUAAAAUGGAUGUACAUAAAGGGACUCUCACUAUGGAGUUUGAUGGAGAGGUUAUAGAAUUCAAUAUGAAUGAUGCCAUGAAAUAUCCUAGUGAAGAACAUUCGGUAUUUUCUGUGGAUGUUAUUAACCCUAUAGUGCAGGAAGUUUUUUACAAGAAAAAGACGAAGAUAUUUCAUGAUAGAAUGAUUUUGAGAAAGGAGUUCUUUGUUGGUCAAAAAGUUCUUCUUUUUCAUUCUGAGCUUAAACUUUUUCCGGGUAAAUUACGUCCUUGCUGGGUUGGACCUUUUAUUGUUACUAAUGUUUUUCCUCAUGGUGCAGUUGAGAUUCAGAGUUCGACCUCUGACAAAGUUUUUAAGGUUAAUGGUCAUCACUUAAAACCUUUUUAUGAAGGUUUUUCGGUGAAUAUUGUGGAGAAUGUGGCUCUCGAGAGUCUCAAUUAUGGAGAUUGAUGCAUAAACGUGUCUAGCCAAAGACAUAAAACAAAGGCGCUUUUUGGGAGGCAACCCAAAUGAUUUAUUUAUUUUGGUUUUUGUUAUAUCUUCUUUUAGUUUUGAUUCAGAUUAUUUUUUGAAAAAAAAUAAUGUGUUUGCUUAUUUUGGUCAGAAGAAAAUUUUUGAUAAGGCGUGCUCACGUCUUAACUAAUAAGUACUUCUGUGAUUUUUAAAGUAAAAUGGUUUUAAGGCGUGCCCACGUGCUUAUUAGAAAAGUACUUCUGAAUUUUUUUUUAGUGUCUCAAAGUGAUUCAUCACUAAAAAAAAAUGAAAAAAAAAAUUAUUUAUUUAUUUAUUGAUUUGAAAAUUAAAAAAAAAAGAAAAAAAGAGUUUUUUUCUUCUUUUUCUUCUUUUCUUUCUUAUAUAUAUUUAUUUAUUUUAAAAAAUAAAAAAUCACUAUUCACAAAUCCCUAAUUCAAAAAUUACUGUUGAUUAUCGUUUUCCAGCAGCGCGCCUCGGCUCCAGCCUUCACUGAGCAACCAGCAGCAGCAGACGAGCACGCUCAGCCCCAGCCGCAGCGCGCAGCAUCAGCCCUAGCCGCAGCACACAGCAUCAGUCCCAACCGUAGCGCGCAACGUAACGCAACCAGCGUCACCAGCGCAGUAGAACCAACCCCAACCCGUGCAUCAAGCUACAGCCGAGCAGCAAUCGUCCGCAACCCGCCUACGCACUGUAUUCCAACCGGGUAAAUCGAAAUCCGUGAGUGCAAUUAUUAUAACAAUGCCGAAGAGGAAAGCAUCAACUUCCAAGUCAUCUAAAAAGACACCCGUCGCAAAGAAGUCCAAGAUUGCCGCUCCCACUACGGUUCCAUGGAACACAGUUUCAGAUUCACGCCAAGCCGUGAGACAAAGAACGAAACAUGGAAAGGGCAUGAGUGUUUUACUACUUGCGGAAUCCAAUCUUGGAGGGGGCCUCGCAUUCACGACUCAACAAGAGAAAGAAAGGUACAAAGAUAUUUCCAAGCAAAAAAUACUUCCAGCUAAGUAUAUUCAUUACCCGACUCUUGAAAAAUUGAAUGUUAAGGAUAAUUUUGAUUCUUUGAUAGAUAAGAUUGGUUUGCGUAAGUUUGUUGAUGUUGAUUGUUUGAGUUAUGUUGAGUUGAUUAGGGAGUUUUAUGCUACUUUUCAAUUUAAUAUACCGUAUGAUUUUACUUUGCAUACCCCGGAUAUUAUAAAGUUUAGGUUAAUGGGAUGGAGUUUUUCACACUCGAUCAUAGAUUUUAACCUAGCUUUAGGAUUCAUUGAUGAUGAUUAUUCUUCUAGUGAUGCAUAUUUAGGAACAACUUGUGACUUUAGCGAAAAUUUUGAGCCUUAUGGUCUUUGGCGUAAUUUAUCUGUUGAUCACAAUGCCUAUAACCCAAGUAAAUCAAUGAGUUCUUUCUUACGUGACCCUGUUUUGAAAUGUGUGCAUCGAUUCUUAGCAUAUAAUUUUUUAGGAAAGAAAGAUCACUCAGGAGUUUUCUCUAAAACUGAAUUUUAUUUUAUCUGGUUUAUGUUAAAUGAUGUGAGGCCUAAUUUAGGUUUUUGGUUAGUAGAUCAAUUUCAAAGUGUGCUUAAACGGUAUAGGACUUUAUUUCUUGGUCCAUACAUUACUCGGUUAGCUAUAAACUUAUGUGUGCUUGAUCCUAACAAUAAUGAUUUGCAUCCUGCUUGCAAAAAGGAAUUUUUGGAUAUAUCUGUGUUUGAAAGAACAGGUGUAGUCGAAUUCAAGGAGGGGAGAUUUCAGUUUACUGAACCAGGACCCACUCAACUUCCAAAAAAGCUUUAUGCUAGGAGUGGUGCUACCUCUGAUGACGAGUUUGACGACAAAACUGCUGCCUCACCAACUAUUCCUUCUACAUCCGCACCACCUUUGAGCAUUCAGUUAGAGAAAAUGGAGCACAAGCUGGACAAGAUGGAGCAGAAUUUGGCCGCAUACUUCGAGAGUGUGAGAUUUAUCCCACCAUUUCCGCUAAGCCCAUAGACGUUAUGAGGAUCAAAGCUCACAAUUCAGGGAAGUUUUUGCCUUUAAUCUUUUAUCCUUACACUUUAAUUUUUAUGUGAGCUUUGAUUAUCUUACAUUGGGGACAAUGUAAGUUCUUGGUGUGGGGGAGGGAUUUUUGCAUUAUUGAUGUCUGGAAGUAUUAUUUUCACUCUACUCAUCUAUUUUCACUCUACUCAUCCUUAAAUGAUUUUAGAGUUAGUAUGCUGCAUAUAUUAUUAUUUUUCUUUUCUUUUCCUUCUCACUACUUUUUUCCCAUCUAUCUCAAAUUAUUCAUAUCUAUUUUUAUUUUACCAUAUUCUUUCAUCACUCACAUUUUAUCUUUCAUUUUUUUUCUACAUACAUCUUUCUCGCUUAUUAUCCUUUUUACCUUUCCUUUUAUAUAUCACUCAUACCUUCUUCUCAUUCUACACCACUAUUGAUGGUUGAUUCAUUUGAAGAGUAUACAUGAUUUAAUGGCAAAUUUACCAACUUUGUGAGGAUUUGAGCCUAUGAGCAACCACUUUGCUCUAUUUAUUUUUGUUAUGUGAAUAUCAAUCUUAGUUUGUUUAUUCUAGAACUUGCUUUGUUGUGCAUGUUGAAGCCGCAUUACGGGAUUUUAUGCAUUAAAAUGAUAAGGGCAAACCGCUUUCCAUUUUUCUAUUCUCACAUUUUUCUUCUUUUUCUCCACCCGAAAACCUUUAUUUGUUAUCUUUGUUUGAGCCUUAAACAUUACCCAUCUAAUUCUCUCCGUCUACUUAACCAUUUUUCUUCUUUUUGAGCCUCAAUUUAAGGAGAUUUUUGGACUCAUUGGGUGGAUAUAUUUUGUUGCUUUUUCUACCUUGUAUUAAAGUUUCUCAAAUAGAUCAACAAGCAUUAUGCUUGAAUUAAAUUGUGCAAGGUUCGUUUUUGUUGUUUGAUUAAAAAAAAAGGAAAAAAACAAAAAAAAAAAAGAAAAAAAUGUUUACAUUCUUGGUGACUUGAGUAGAAAUAACCGUUUCGAUAUCAUAAGAUUCAUUCAAUGAGUUCAUUCUUCUCAUUUUGAUCUCUUUUUCUUUCAUAGACCUUUCUUUUUCAUUUAACCCAUUUAACCCCGUUACAACCUUUUUAAGACCAUUAGAUUUUUGCAUUUAAUUCAUGUUUUGUGGAUUGAGAUGUGAUAUAUAAGCAAGCUUAUGGUAAUAGCAUUCUUUGAUUUGAUUUGAGUGCAUAAAUGACGCCCUAAACACUUUGAGUGAAUGGAGUGAAGUCAAUGAGAGGGCUAUUAAAUCUUGUUGCACUUGAAUUUUGAAUGGAUCUUCUUGGCAGUUGAAUGUUUUUAUUCUAGCUUAUGAGAUUCUAUGCUUUAAAAUCCUUGUCUCUUGAAUGUUGAUCGACUUAAAUUCUUGAGGUAUGCUUGCUUAAAAUUGUUUUUGGAUGAGUUGAGAUGAGAAUUGAGUGGAGAUUUGGGAUUAGUCUUGAGUUAUAUGCUUGAGGACAAGCAUCAUUUUGGUGUGGGGGAAUUUGUUAGAGUGCAAUUUAUGCACUAGUUUUGAAUUGUUUACUUCCCUUAAUAUCGAUGUUUUGCACUUAAUAAUAGUGAUUUACUUGUAUUUUAUUUUUAUAGGUGCAAUUCUAUUGAUUGGUGCAAAAAUUGAGCUACAAGAUGAUGUUUAAGGAUGAUUAUUCUCUUGGAGAAAUUAUGAGCGUCAGAAGAACUUUGUUGAUAACGCGUGGGCGCGUGCUUUCAUCUACGGACCUGUAGUUUUUAAUUUAAUGUGUUUUGUAUUUUUGGUUAUUUUUAUAAUUACGAAUUUAAUAUUUCAGAUAUUAGUAUUUUAUUUUAAAUAGAACUCUAGAGGAGAAGAGAGAUAGAGUAUUUAAGGGAGGAAUCUAUUGUGAAAAAAAGGAGAUUUUUGGAAAAGAAAGAAACCCUAGAUCUAAUUUUUUCUCUUCUCUCUAUGAAGAACUAAACCUAUUAUUCUGGUUGAAGGUUAAUGAAGCUUUGAUUCAUCACUACUGUGAGAUCUUUCUUAUGCUUUAAUUGUUUUAUUGCUUUUUGGGUAUUUGUUUAUUCUCUGAAUUAUUUUCAUGAUUAUGUUUGUUAAUUAGAUAAUUGGCCACUAUUUAAUUAUCAACUUAAUCUAUUGUCAAUUAAAGGAUUCAUCGUAUGAAGAUUUUAAUGUUUGUGACAAAUAACAUAGCAGAGAGUUGUGUUGUGAGAAUAAACAAUCUAAUUUAAAUGAACCAUCGUAUGUGUUUGUUGAUUAGGAUUUGGGUCUCUCUGGUUUUUCAAGCUGUCAAUUGAUUAAAUCCUAUGAUCGUAUCUAGGGUUGUCUAUUGAUUAGGGAAAUAACCAAUGGUCAUACCUUGGUUAUCGACUAGUUAAGGAGAGAUUGGCUAUUAGAGGAUCUCAGUAGCUAUAACCGGUCUAUUCAUAAGUAGUAAUAAUUUAUAUUUGAAUCAAUGAUCAGUAGUCGAAUCAAGUUGAGUUAAUUCCUUCAACCAGAGCUUUCUCCAAUUUGAAUUACAACUUUAAUUUGCAUUCUUGUUAUUUUAAUUUGAUUUUUAUUAUUUUCAACAAAACCCCCAUUUUAUAUUUUACGUUUUAAAAGGAUUUAAAUAAUUACCGAUCUCUGUGGGCACGACCCUGCUCAAUCACUAUACACAAUUUAUUUAGAGUAGGUAUUUAUUUUUGUCGGCUUCGACAACCAUCAUUUUGUUUCUUUAUGUAAUUUUUAGACUGCUCUGACAACUCAUCUUAAAGGUGCCACUCAUCCAAUAUGAUAUGGUGACAGUAGUUUAGAGUUUUAAACUAAAUGCAGAGCUAAUAGUAUUUUGGAAAUAUAAUCAUCCUAAGAUACUAACAAAAACAACAACUUCGGUGUAGAGAGAAAAUGAUUUCACAAAAGCAGAUGUUUUGAUUUAAGUCUCCAAAACCCCCACCAAAGAAAUGUUCAACGGAUAUAGAAAUAUGAUCCACAUAUCUGUAACUUAAACUGUGAAAUUUGUUGAUGCUGUUCUAAAAUUGCCACAAUCUAUCUACCCCAUGAAUGUUAUUGGAUAAAACAACAAGCAGGACCCAAUGCCUGUUUUCUAAUAGCUUCAAAAAGGCCAAAUUGGUUUUGAAAUGUCUCCAGCUUUUCAUUUAACAAGUUUAAGGAUCCCUUCGGCAUUGCAAUUGGGGAGCUCAGAUAUAUAAAAGUCUGGUAAACUCUUACAGCCGCAGCUUUUGAGCAAAAAUAAUUUUAUCUCAUAAUAUUUUGACAAAAAACUUAUAUCACCUUUUAUCAGUUUUGUAAAAAAUAUUAUUUAUAAGUCAUAUUUACCAAACACAAUCAACUUUUACAUCACAAUUAUAGCUUCUUUUUUUUCACCACACAUAUACAGUUAAAAUCUACAAGAACUCGAUAUCAAAUAGAUCCUAAAGCUUAAUCUAAUAAAAAGGUAAAUAAACAAAUGCAGAAGCCAGCGUACUUGAUCAAGACGCUCUGAAUAGUCACUGGGAAAGGGAAUAUCGACGUUAAUGGGGUUAUUGCCAUCGCUUGAAACCGAAUUGGUGAGACAAUUGCGUUUUCUUCUGUACGGAGAAAAUGUGACGAUUCUUUGACCACUGAAAAUUUCGAUUCUACAAUUUACCUGCAAUUAGUGACAAUUAUUCCGUUUAGAAACAAUUUUAAAAAAAAUAAAAAGUAAUAAUUACAAACUCAGAGUAUACCUGUGGACGUGGAAUUGAAGAAACUGGAAUAGGAAGCGUAGGGAGGGCAAUGGCUGUAUUGGAGGAUAACGGCAUUUUGAACCUCAAAGUAAAGAGAGAGAGAGAGAAGAAACGCUUCCCUUUCAAAUACCGCGCUCUUUUGUACCUGGGAAUUUAACUAAUUCAUGCGAAUAAAAAAAUUUAUAAAUUUGGUAAAUUAUUUAUUAAAAAAUAUUGAGAGGUUGUGCAUUAUUUUAUUAGUAAUGACAUGGUAAUAAUCAAAUUAGUUAAAUUAAAAUAGUUGUUGACUCAGUAAUUUAUUUUUAUUAUUUUUAUAUAUUUAUUUAAUUAAUUAAUUAAUGUUAUAUCUAUUUAUAUAAAAAUGUACAGUUCUAUCCUCACUCUUAUUUUAUUUUUAUUAUUUUAAAAAAAAUGGUCUGCGUUAUUAAGGUUAAGGGUGACAACUGGGAUUAAUAUACGGUUUAUUCGAGUGCUUAAAACCUAAUAAAUAUCCACUAACUCAUAUAUAGUAAAAAUAUAAUUAUUUUAAAAAAAAUUAAUAUAAACUAAACAAAUUGAUUGGAUUUUGUUUCUCAAGGUACAUCAUUAGAACGUUACUUUUAACUGAACAAAAGCACACAUAACUAGCACAUUCGCCACAAAAGCCUCGGCUUAGUGGUCGGCUUAUUAAUUAUCCUAAUUAAAUCAUGGUCAUAAAUUUGAGUCCCGGCAGGAAUUAUUAGGCUAGGUAGCUUUUAUAGACUACACUAUAAAUACAUGUAUUUUAAUUCUCGCGGGUAUUGCUUCUAGUAGUUAUCCAUCCGAGUAUAGUGCUUUGUAGCUUUCUUCACGACCUUCCCCAAUUUCAAUGAUUGUUAAUCAAUCUUCAUAGAAAAUGUGAUAAGACUGUAUUUAGAGAAAAGCUCAAUAAAUGAUUUUUAUAGGUCAUCAUUUCAUUUAAUUUUCCGUUAUAUAUAUAUAUUCACCUUUCUCAGAGGCCAAGAAGUCUUCGACAGAAAUGUGAUCCUUGAGCUUCUCCCAAGUUUCAAUUAAUUCGCUUUGAGUGAGGAUAUUUUCUGGUGGCCUCAAAUACAAUGUUUUGUUCAGUACUCGAGGAGCAUUUAUUGUCUUAAUAGUAUUUAUGGCAACAUCAUCGAUAUGCACAGUAAAAAAAAAGAUAAUCAUUUUGUUUAAUAUGAACAUAAAUUGUCAAAUUCUGAAUCAUAUUAUAGUGAACGAUAUUGUCGUAUGGUGUGUGUAUGUACUAUCUAUAGUUUUAAUAUUAUUAAUAAGGAGUUAAAAGUCUUGAUUUAAUUUUAAAUUGUUAUUCCUCUAACUUCACCGUCUCCAUAGAUGCAGACUCUAUCUUUUGAAGGGCGGGGGUAGCUAUAUUUGAGAGAGGUGUCUGGGGAACCAACCAGCAAAAAAUAGCUAGCAGAAACAUAAAUGACAAGGAUUUGAGCAGCCUUGAUUGCCCUUCUCACACAUGCGCUCUGUGUUCUCCCUCCAGCUCUCACUCACUCACGCCCAAAUCUCACCUCACUCACGUAUCUCUCCUUUCUGACCGGUGGUUUUCUCUCUCUCGCCGUGGGUCUCUAGGCUGGCGGGGAUUUCUCGACUUGACUACUAAAACAUAAUCCAAAAACUAUCUCGACUUGACUACUAAAACAUAAUCCAAAAACUACUAAGAUAUAUAUAUAUUACUAUGAUAUACACAAUAUGAAGAAACUGCAGUUAUAUUUCAAAUAUUUUAUGAAGGAAGAGGCUGUAUGGAUUAUCCAAAGGUGCUGAAAUUAAGAGACCCACGCCAACCGACAGAGUGAGUGAAUAUAAGGGGGUUAUUGGGUAAAAAUCACAUAACGCGCAAGCGAAAUUUUAGAUUAUAUUUUUUAAUACUCUCCGAGUCUCUCUUUCUCUUUCUUUUUUGGUUUGAACCACGAGGUGGUCCUGAGUGGGUCCCAACUAUGGAAAGCACUUUUAAGCCCGUACCACAACUUAGACUAAUCCCCACUCGCACCGGGUCGGCCCGUAAGGGGUAAAGUGCUGGGCAAAGUGGUGACUCCAUACGAGAGCGGGACUUGAACCCCUGACCUCUCUUAAGGAGUGAGAGUGCCGAACCACUCACACCAACCAACUUUGGUUAACUCUCUUUCUCUUUUUCUUUUUUUAAAUAAAUGUCAGUAUAAAAUUAGAAAAUUUUAGAUAUAAAAUUUGGCGAUGACCAAACAAAAAUUGCAGGGGAAACCUUGAUAUCAUUGAAAUACUAAUCAUAGACACUGCAGUAUAAAUAACUUCUUGUGAUCUACUCAACUUUAACACUUUAAUCCAUAUUCUAAAAUUUGCAUGUUUGUUAGGAUUUUUAUUAUUGAUACUGUUGUAUCAAUAAAAUUAUAAUUUAUUCAUAUGGAAUGAAAACAUCAAGAAAGGACCUCUGAAGUUUAUUAUAACAGAAAAAAAUGGUCCAUAAGUCUAUUUAUUAUUUUAUUUAUUCAAUACAAAUGGCCAACUUUAAAAAUGGUAAAAGUCACACAAUGCACAAGUAAAAUUUUAGAAUUAAAUUUUUUAAUUCUCUUUGAGUCUCUCUCUCUUUAAAAAAUAAACCUCACUGUAAAAUUAGAAAAAUUUUAGACGUAAAAUUUGACAAUCACCAAAUAGAAAACAUAGGCAAAUGAAAAUGGAGGAGCCCUAUUUUCAUUAGAAUAUUGAUCAUAGAUACUAUAAUGUAAAUCAUUUGUUGUGGUUCAUUCAACCUGUCACACUCUAAGCCAUUUUCUAAAAUUUGUAAGGUUUAUAGGAUUUUUAUUAUUGCCAUCAUUGUAUCAAUAAUAUUAUAAAUUAUAUAUUCUAUUGUAAUGAAAAUUUGUGCAAUCUUAGGUAUGUAUUAUAUUAAAUUGUGUGGAUUAAUUAAGAAUAUUUUUGGAGACAAAAGAAGUGUGUGUAUGUAAGAAUAAUGAUAAAAAAUUUCUAAAUAAAGGUGAUUGCUUCAUUGACAAGUACAUAUUUAUAUUCCUCUAUUAGUAUUUGGGUUGUAAACUCUGUUUAUAAAGUGAAUAUAUUGUGGUAAGCGAUGUGGGAAAUAUCGGAUGCGAAAUAUUGAGAGAUCAUUAACGCAUAUAUUUAUUGAAGAUGCAUAUAGAGGAAAGAGUGUAGAUCCGGCCGUAACACUUAUGAAGCUUUCCCUAAGUAUUCUCAUGCUUGCUUAACUAUUCCGAAGUAUUUUUCAUAGUGUGCAUAUUUACUUUAUGGUGUCUUUAUUCGUCUCAAAUGAUUACUACAGUUCUUUUGGGAUGAAAGGUCAUUUAUUUUGUUAAUUUUAAACAAUAGAAAAAAUAAAUAAUGGUAACGAAAGACUAAUUGUGAUAUUGAAGCGUACGGACUUUAACUCAAUCCAAAAAUUAGUAGGACCCACAUAUAUUUGAUGACGCUGAAAGUUACAUCAAUUGUAACUUAGAAACAUCCAAAUAUUAGACAAUAAUACACAAUAACAAUGCAUAUAAUUUGGGUUUGAUUUUUAAAAAAUUAUUUGAAUAUCACUUAUCCUUAAGAUAUUAAUUUGAAUAUAUUUUAAUAGUAAAUAAUAAAAAUUUGUUUAGUUAUUAUUUGUAUUUCAUACAUUGCAUGUUAGAUUUGUUUGAAUUUUAAGUUGUUGCGAAUAAAUAUUUAUGUUGUGAAAGUCGAAUUCAAUAGCUACAAAAGCAGAGAUAAUUGUAUUUUAUAUAGUUUUUAAGAAUACAAGGAUAAGAUCAUAACGCAUGAGAUAACGGUAUUUUAUAUUAAAAGACCAUAAUGCAUGUAUUUGAGCCAUUUAUAUUGAAGACACAUAUAGAGGAAUGAGUGCAGAUCCGACCAUAACUAUUGUGAAGCUUUCCUCAAGUAUUCUCAUGCACCCAAACCUUAUCUGGUCAAGGUUUCUGAUUGAAUAUAAUCAAUUUCCGUGCAGUACCGAAGACAGCUUCUGUUGGUAGUUGAAUUUGUGGGGAAUGACAAAUGUAGAGAAAUACAACAAUAAUGGUGGAACUUUAUUACGUAAAGUAAUGUGUUUACAACUAACUCUGUAUGUAGUAAGAAAAAUAAUAGUAAUAAGUAAACUUGCAAAAAUUUUGUGUGCUUGAAGGCACGUUACAAAUGUCGCUUUCCUUAAGACGUUAUUUGCCCCCACCAAUUGAGUGAUGCACAUGGGUUAAGCAAAUACGCAUCCAGGAUACAAUGAAGCACUUGUUUGUUUGCUAGUGUUGUGCAUCAACGAAAGCAAACCAGAAUACUCUUGAAUGUUGCAAGCCUGCCAAGAAACAAUAAAUUGUUCCUGCAGAAAACAAUAUAUUGGAUUGUGAAUGCACAAAAGAAAUGGGUGUUUUGUGUUGAAAUUCGUACUAGAAAGGAAUGCUAAGAAAAGAGUGGUGUAGGAUCAUUGAUUUCAUGUCUAAAUGGCUUAAACAUGACCCCUAUUUAUGGAUAUACUUGUGCCCCCUCAUUUGGGUUGUCAUCUUCAUGAUACCCCUUCAUUCAUGGCCAUUGGAUCUAUAUUUAAUUUUAAUCAAUGGUCCAAAUUGAACCAUCACCAUUUCAAAUGAAAUGUCACCAUGAAAUGAUGCAUCUCUAAGUGAAAUGUUACCAUGAAAAGUUAUAUCAUUUAGUAAAAAGAUACAUUUUCUAUAAGACAUAAUUAAAUAGACAUGUCCUUACAACAAGACAUCAUUUAAUUAGACAUGUCUUUAGUGAAAUGUACUUUUUCUAUAAGGCAGAAUUAAUAAGACAUGUCUUCACCAUAAGACACAAUUUAUUUUGAAAAUUUUCCAACAGCUUAUCUGUAAAGCUCUUCAACCACAAGCAUUUCUACAAGGCAAAAGACUAGGACGUGUUGGAAUGAAUAUCAAUAAGGGAAUGUCUUAUGAAUUUGGUUUAUAUCCUAAUAUAAGACAAUCAAUAAAUAUUGGAUGCAAUCUAAGGGCUAACAUUUGAUUGAUCAUUGUACGAAAAAAAAAGGUACAAAAAUACAAAACAGAGCUGAUUGAUGGCCUUUAACAGUCAGUUCUAUGACAAAGUAACCACCACAACAAAUGGAAUUAUAAGACAUCAAGAAACUUGAACUUGGCAGGAGGUCUCAUUAGCAGUAUACCUCAGAAAUUAAGACAGAGACUUUAAAAUGCAAGCUUAUGGAGUAAUUUAAGCACUGAAACUAAUAACAGUGAUGCAAAAAAAGGUGCAGAAGUACGGUAUUAGCAAUUGACCUCUGCUUUUGCUUGGACAAAGGUUUUCAUCACAAGGGACUCAUUAGUUGCCCUUGCCUCACACGAUUGGAUGCUAAGGGGAAAAAGGAAGCUUCUAACGGCAUUCACAGAGAACCUAUAAAACUAAAAAAAAAAAAAAUCAUCCAUGAAAAGGCUACUAACAAAAAAACUAACUCUUUUAUCUGCCACUGACCUAAUCCGCACUCAUUUAAUUAAAAAAGAAUUAAAAGCAAAACUAAAAGAUACAAAUUGCGUACAAGUCUAGGAGCCAUAUCAAAGGCGUUAUAUAACUUUUCCAAUUAAUAAAUUCUCUUAAGGGCCAUACCGUGCUCAUCAUUUCAAAAGCAAUUAAGGAUAAGAACUUUCAUCAUUAAUUGAUAUGGCCAGUGUAGAAAAAAUGAAAAAGCCCUCCAAGAUCAAAGCACAAGGAUCAGUUUAGAAUUACACUUUUUAAAUUUUGGUUAAUAAAUAAACGUUUAUAUGAAAAUAGAAAAUCUUUUUGGAAUAACCUUUUUUUUUCUUUUUUUAAUGAAUGUGGAUAUAAAAUUUUAAAAUCGCCAAACCGAAAAGAAAAACAGGGGAAUGAAAAGAGAGCCCACGUUUCUCCUCUCUUUUGUUUUUAUUGUUAUCAAACAGGGGAAUGAAAAGAGUGCUCUGUUUCUCCCCUGUUUUGAUUUUUUUAUUACUAAACAGGGGAAUGAAGAGAUCAGCUCUUGUCGCAAGCGCAAAUUUUUGUUUCUAAAUGCAGUUGGUUGUAACUAUAUUCGCAGUCCCUAGUACUUAGAAGUAAAGGCUCUUGGAAUUUCUAUUGUAGUACAUGAGAUGUUUCCCGUUCAAAUAGCUCGCCCGAUACCAUUAGCAUGUUCAUCUCUCUAUAGAUUGAUGUUGACAUAGAUGUUAUUCUACUUUUGCUAGUGGAGUUUUGGGCCUUGUCGUAAUUGGUGGAAUUACGACAUCGGUGGCUGACAUGGCUUUCCUUGUACAGGUAUGUAUGAUUGUUUUUUUUGCACGUCUAAAUGGCACUGUUGAAAAGCUUAAAAUUGAACUGAUAAUUUUGUUUGGAAGCUCAGAAAAUUCAUGAGAAAGUGAAAUAGAAUAUUCUGGAUUUCUUUUCUUUCCAUAACAUACAAAUGACAAACGUAGCAGUAUUUAUACUCGUUGCUUACAUCAUAAAAACAGAAUUAAAGCAAGUUAUACAACUAUAACAUAAUAAAAACCGUGCUUAACUAAUUGGCUGAGCUAGCAUAUACUUCUUUAACUAACACAUGCUUAUCGUGCAGCUACUCUUUAGUUCACACGUGCUCAGUGUGCUUCCUUAACAGACACAAGGGAAAAGACAUGAUUUUGAGAUAUAACGCUUGAAUGUUCUCGGAAUGGCAUAACGCUUUGUGUGUCUCGGACCUGUUAAGAAUAACAUAUGCUGAGUCAGCUGCUGAGUCAUCAAGCCACGCUGGAAGUUAGUUUUGCAGUUAGUUAGAGAGCUUAUCAGCUUCCCUCCAAAAGUUUGUUAUGUGUAUUAGAAUCUGGGCUCACGAGUUUUGUGAGAUUGUAACCUUAAGAAGAUUCUCACACUACUAUAAAUUGUAUUGUGACUCAAUUAAUAAAAUAAGUUGAAGCUUUGCAUUUUCUCUCAGUCAAAAUUUUCUCUCUGUUUUUCUAACCAAACAAGAUCUACAGAGCAUCUUGUAUUUUAACUUGGUAUCAGAGCUUGAAUCCAAUGGCCUUAAUCGGUUCCAAUCAACAGUCAAGCAACACUUCCAUAACUUCUUUCACCUUCACAAAUCCAAUUAAGCUUGAUCGUGCAAACUAUACGAUCUGGAAACAAUAAGUACUUUCUUCAAUUCGUGGCAAUGGUCUUGAAGGCUAUAUUGAUGGAUCAAGGAUCUGUCCUAGUCAAUUUCUUUCUCCAGAGGCUAGAUCUGAAGGUUCUUCUUCUUCUAACAUCGAAGGUCAAGAGAAUCCAGAGUAUGCAGCCUGGAGACGUCAAGAUUAGCUCCUGCUCAGCUGGAUUCUGUCGUCCAUGAAUGUAGAUAUUCUCAGUCUUGUGGUAAGCUCUAAGACUUCUUUUGAGUUGUGGAAAAAUCUAGAAAAAUAAUUUGGAUCUGAAUCUAUGGCUAAGAAGGUUCAUCUAAAAAUGCUUUUGAGUAACCUGCGAAAAGGAUCUCUAACCAUGUCUGAGUAUUUUACAAAGCUUAAGUCAGUUACAGAUGGUCUUGCUUUAGUUGGUAGCCCUGUGCAUGAUUCGGAUUUAGUCACUCAUCUUAUUACUAGUCUAGAUCAGUCAUAUUAUCCUGUAGUAGUCUAUAUUGAGGCAAACAUGUUGAAAAUGGAUCUUAGUGAGGCUUAUGCUAUGCUUCUCACACAUGAAGCUAGACUUGAGAAUAAUAAGCUUCAUGAUAGUAAGGAAACCAAGAACAAUUAUGCAGCAAAUGUAGCUCAGGCUGGAAAUUUUUCAAAGAAAGGUAAUAACAAUAAUCAAAACAACUGGAAGGCUGGAGGAAACAAUUGGAAUAAUAACUCUGGUGGAAGAGGUGGUUUUGGUGGUAAUGGAAGAGGUGGUUACCAAGGGUUCAAUCCAGGAAGAGGAAACUAGAAUAAUAAUAAUUUCAGAGGUGUUGCUGGUGGAUUUAAUAGUGGAUUUCCUGGUCCCGGUGGCUUCAAUAACAAUUAUGGCAGAGGUGGUUUCAACUCAGGAGGUGCUGGAAAGAAUUUUGCUCAGGGAACUGGUGCUGCUUGUCAGAUAUGCUUCAGGUUUAAUCACACAGCAGCUGAUUGCAGAGACAGGUUCAACCGAAAUUUUAUCCCAAAUUUUCCAGCUCCAGCUCCAAAUCACUUCUGUAAUCAGCAUCAAGGACCAAGAGCAGUCUUCAUAACAACAUCUGAAGGAGCUGCUGAUCAGGGAUGGUUUCUGGAUAGUGGUGCAACUCACCACUUAACCAACACAGUUCAGAAUCUGAGUGAUGGUAAAAUCUAUUUUGGCUCAAACUUACUUACUGUUGGUAAUGGCCAAGGUCUUAGAAUUACUCACAUAGGUUAUACACAACUUCACACUUCUUUUGGCACCUGUUUACAACUACAUAAUAUUUUGUGUGUCCCUCAAAUUACCAAGAACCUCAUUAGUAUUUCCAAACUCCUCACUGAUAAUGAUAUAACCAUUGAAUUUUUCUCUGAUGUUUGCUUUCUAAAGGACAAGGUGAAGGGCACUCUGUUGGCUCAGGGGAUAGCCUAUACAAGCUACUAUCAAAAGAGGAAUCUCUCUCUUCUUCCACUUCUGUUCUGCCAGUGUCUCAUCCUAGUUCUAUGAUGUCAACUCUUUCCUGCAAUAAUGUAGUUACUUCUGUUCAAAGUUCAAAUAAUGACUUCUGUUUUAAGUCUACAUUUCCUGUAAGCUUUCAAACUUCAAGUUAUGUGUCAGCAAAUAUGUUGCACAAUAGACUUGGUCAUCCAAGUAAACAUGUCAUACAAACUAUUCUCAGAAACAAUUGUUUAAUGUCAGCCAAUGUUAGUAAAUCAAAUUUUCUUUUCUGUGAUGCCUGUCAAUUGGGAAAGUUACAUCAAUUACACUUUCCUGCUACUGAAAUCAAAACAAAAAACCCCUUAGAAUUAAUACACACAGACUUAUGAGGACCAGCACCAGUUUUAUCACUAGAUGGCUAUAGAUACUAUAUUUCCUUUGUUGAUGACUUCACCCGAUAUUGUUGGAUCUUUCCUUUAGUUUUAAAAUCUGAUGCUCUUACUACUUUCAAAAACUUCAAGAGCUUAGUUGAGAAACAAUUCAGUCUGCCUAUCAAAAUUCUGCGGUCUGAUAUGGGAGGUGAAUUCAAAGCUUUUCAGUCCUUUCUUCAACAAGAAGGUAUCCAAGCUAGAUUUAGUUGUCCCUAUACUCACCAUCAAAAUGGUGUUGUUGAGAGAAAAUAUAGACACUUAGUAGAAACUGGAUUAACACUCCUUACUCAAGUAAAAAUGCCUAUUUCUUUCUCGUGGGAGGCUUUCCAUACAGCCUCCUAUCUCAUUAAUAGAAUGCCUACCACUACACUGAACAACUUAUCUCCCUAUCAAAAGCUUCAUAAUCAGCCACCAAACUAUCAACUUCUCAGAGUUUUUGGUUGUGCUUCCUAUCCUUUUCUCAAGCCUUAUAAUGAUCACAAGCUUGAUUUUCAUUCCCAAAAAUGCUUGUUCUUAGGUUACAGCCCUCUUCAGAAAGGAUAUAGGUGUCUAACAAAGUCAGGUAAAGUAUAUGUUGCUACUCAUAUUGUUUUUAAUGAAUCUGAUUUUCCCUAUUCAGAGUUGUUCUCUUCAUCUGAGUCUUCUUCCAAUUCUCUAUCAUCAUACUCUCCAUCUAUUUGUAUCCUUAAUGACAGUGGCUUGCAUCAAUCAUCAGCUACAUCUCCUACUUCAGCAAAGUUACCAACUAUACAUUCACCUCAACAUCCUCACCAAGCCCCACACUCUCCUUGUCCCUCUCCAGUCUCAGAUUCCUACAGCUAAUCAUCACCACAUUCUUCAUCACAUAAUGCUUUAGCCAAUCCCUCUGAUGAAUUACAACCAUCAUCUCAACCUGUCAUUUCAACUCAUCAGAUGGUCACUCGAGCCAAAUCUGGUAUUUUUAAACCAAAGACCUACCUUACAGCUACCCAAGACCUUGAACCAGUGAGUGUUAAAGCAACCCUAAUUGAUACAAAGUGGAAAAUGGCUAUGCAAGAAGAGUAUAAUGCCUUGCAGAAGAAUGGCACCUGGACAUUAGUUCCAGCUGAAACAGCUACAAAACUUGUUGGCAAUAAGUGGGUUUUUCGAGUUAAAUAUAACCCAGAUGGCAGCAUUUCCAAGUAUAAGGCUCGGUUGGAUGCAAAAGGUUUUCAUCAAACCUAUGGAGUAGAUUUCUUUGAAACUUUUAGUCCAGUUGUUAAACCCUGCACUGUUCGUAUUGUUCUCAGCUUAGCAGUCAUGCAUUGUUGGCCAGUUCGGCAAUUAGAUGUUAACAAUGCCUUUCUUAAUGGCAUGCUUACUGAAGAUGUGUUUAUGCCUCAGCUAGAAGGCUUUAUCAGCUCUCAGUUUCUCAAUCAUGUCUGCAAAUUACAAAAAGCCCUUUAUGGUCUUAAACAGGCUCCAAGGGCUUGGUAUGAUAGAUUGAAAGGGUCUUUAGUUCAGUGGGGUUUCAAAUCUUCAAAGUCAGAUACUUCACUGUUUUUCAAGCAUAUUGGCAAUAAUGUUCUCAUCAUCCUUGUUUAUGUAGAUGAUAUCCUGAUAACAGGCUCUAGUGAUGUUUAUAUUUAAGAGGUUAUCAGUCUACUUAGCUCAGAAUUUGCACUUAAAGAUUUAGGAGAUUUUAACUACUUUCUUGGGGUAGAAGUGACUCCAUCUGCUGAAGGAUUACAUCUAUCUCAAACUAAGUAUGUUGGUGACAUCUUAAGAAAAGCUCAUAUGCUUGAGAGUAAAGGUUGUAAUACACCUAUCAGUGUUGCUGAUAAAUUGCAGAAGGACAAAGGCUGCUCAUUUACAAAUCCCUCACUUUACAGAAGCAUCAUUGGUUCUCUGCAGUAUCUGACACUGACCAGACCAGAUAUUGCAUUCACUGUAAACAAAUUGAGUCAGUUUUUAGCUGCUCCAACUAUCUUGCAUUGGCAGGCUUGCAAGAGGGUAUUACGAUAUCUACAAAGCACAUCACAUUUUAGACUGCAAUUCUUCAAGUCAGGUUCUCCAAGUCUCAUAGCAUAUUCUGAUGCAGAUUGGGGGUCUGAUCCAGAUGAUAGAAGAUCUGUUGGAGGGUAUUGUGUUUAUCUUGGAUCCAAUCUUGUGUCUUGGUCAUGUAAGAAACAGAACAUUGUUUCCAGGUCAUCUGUUGAAUCUGAGUAUAGAGCAUGGCCUUAGCUACAUCUGAGGUUUUGUGGAUUACAUAUCUAUUAAAAAAGCUCAAAGUAUCACUUCCCAAACCUCUUGUUCUUUACUGUGACAACAGCAGUGCAGAAGCUUUGGCUAGCAAUCCUAAGUAUCAUUCCAGAACUAAACAUAUAGAACUGGAUUUACAUUUUUUCAGAGAACACAUUGCCAACAAGGAUCUCUUCAUUGAACAUGUGUCUAGUUCUGAUAAGCUAGCUGAUGUGCUUACCAAACCUCUGAGUUUUGAUCAUUUUGCCUAUAUGCAAACUAAGGUCAAUGUCUGCCCAUGACCUUGAGCUUACGGGGGCAUUUUAAGAAUAACAUAUGCUGAGUCAUCAAGCCAUGCUGGAAGUCAGUUUUGCAGUUAGUUAGAGAGCUUAUCAGCUUCCCUCCAAAAGUUUGUUAUGUGUAUUAGAAUCUGGGCUCACGAGUUUUGUGAGAUUGUAACCUUGAGAAGAUUCUCACACUACUAUAAAUUGUAUUGUGACUCAAUUAAUAAAAUAAGUUGAAGCUUUGCAUUUUCUCUCAGUCAAAAUUUUCUCUCUAUUUUUCUAAGUAACCAAACAAGAUCUACAGAGCAUUUUGUAUUUUAACUGGAGCGGCUGAUUGGUGCUGUACGUGUUACAUUUUUACUUUUUUAACUCAAGUCUGCUGUUGUCCCAAAGUUGGAACUAGAGAUAUCAUUUCACCUCAACUGUGUUUUUUUUUUAAUUAAAAAAAUCAUUUGUUUUAGGUAUACAUACAUGUAUUUUAAUUCUAUUUUCCUUGUAAUUUCUCCUUUACUUUGAAUGAAAGUCAUUGGUGUUUUCGAAUGGGAAUUUUGCAUUAAAAAAUUAAGAAUAGUUAAUAGGAAAUUUCCUGAUUCUUUAGUUACUAUUUUUGGUAUGAGUGUAAUUAGUAGUAAAGUUGGUUUCUACUCGCAAACAAGUGAACUGCUCGAUUCCCAAGUGCUAUUAACCAGUUUCCAACUUUUUAAUAUACACUAAUUGUUCCUGUUUAAUAGCUACUACUAUUAAAACUCAACAGCUAACAAAAAUACUAAAAAAAAUGAUUUUUUCUUAUGAUGCUGUGAAAAAAAUUACGGGUUUACUUAUUUCCACGAGAUCUUGUAUAGUGUUCUUGUAUAGUGGAAUUAAGAUUGUCUUCCCGAUGGUGCAAUUCACCCUCUUCCUUUACAGUCACUUGCACUUUGUGCAGCUUUGGUGUGGAUAAGAUUCCCAGGGAAAAAGUCUUCAUGUUCGGACAAUGUGUCACAAAUACUCGUUCCAAUGAUGGGAAUUCAAGAGGGUAAUUCUCCAAACAAAAGCUGGUAAGCCUUGGUAAAUACGACUCUCCUUCACUUCUUCUCCAGCAUGUCCUACGAUUUCUUCUAAUUUUUUGCAGUUCCAUACAUAAAGAUUCACCAGACUAGUAGGAAUUCCAACCUGAAAAUAAGCAGAGUGUGUGUGUGUGUGUGUAUAUAUAUAUAUUAAAAAAGUAAAUAUGUAAGAGUAUCAUUCAACUAGGCUCAAAGAAUGUUUAAUCAUACAAUUAUACGUUUUAUGAACAUAACAAACUGUGAAAUAUCUACUAGAUAUUUUUUGUUAAACAAAAAAGGUAACAAGAUAAAUAAAUAAAUAAAAGCCAGAUAAACAAAGAUGAUAAAAAUGUAUUUACACUAUUUAGUAUUAGGGACGUAGAAAGAAUUUAUGGCAAUUUCUAAAUAUUUUGGACUUAUUUUGCAUCUUGAUAUAAGUUUUUAAGCAUAAAUUUGCAAAUUUCAACUAUUCCUUUAAAAAAAAAACUCAACUAAAAUGCCUCUUUUUCCCUUUUCCUUGGUCCCUAUUUUUUAUGUAUAUAUAAAAAUGGAAAAAAAAAUUUUGGAAAAGACUUCCCAGUACUGUCAACAAGGGAUUGCUGUAAAGUGGAUCUUUAUUAAGUACUUCCAGACUCGAGGAAAUUUCUUUACAAUCAAGGGUCAGUUGUAAACAAUCAUGAAUUUGUGGUUAAUUAAUGGCAUAAUCAAUUCUUAACUAAACUGGAGAUAUUAAUUAAAUUUGAAGACUUUUUUUUUUUCCAAUCGAAAUGUGAAGAAUUAAGGAAAAGAGAAAUAUAUAGAUGAAUUUGUGAACCUAUAAGAUGAGUGACUAUCCUUUAAUUUUUGAAAAUUGUACUUAUUAAGACAUGAGCAGAAACAAUUAAAUUGAAUUAUAUUAUGCUGUUGAAUCGUGAUUAAAAAAAUUAUAUUGUUGAUUCUAAUGCUGGCGAACCUAAAAACUGGACUUAAAACGUAGAUUUCAGAGUGGUGGUUUGAAGUACAAUACUUGAAAUAAAUAAUCAGUGGCUAAAUAUCAUUUGUAAACCCAAAAAUGGUUAAAAUAUUGUUGAAUGUUAUUUGAAAAAAAAAAAAAAGAGAUUCAAAAUGAAUAUUCUUACCAAUGGAGGAAAAAUAUUCUUUAGGUUAUCACACCAAGAUAUCUCCAAAUUCUUCAAUUUGCUGAAAGACUCCGAAGCAAGCUGGUGGUGCCAUAUUUUUCUCAAAUUAUCCAUCCAGUCAAUACGUAAUACCUCCAACCUAGGAAGUCGUACCUGACAGUUAAAGAUUAAAUAACUAAUUAAUCAAUUAAUGGCAUAAUCAAUUGAUAAAUAAAUUAGAGGCGGAUAUUAACUAAAUUUGAAGACUCAAGGAAAAGACAAAUUAAAUAUUGUGACUAAAAUAAAUUUAAAAAAAAAAAAAACCUUUUCGUCAAAGAGAGGAGGUUGCAUUUCAGAAUGAAUGGUGUCUUCUGGUGAGCUCGUGGAGAUGAAUCUUAACAUAUUCCAGCAACUCUGAAUCUCGAGGUUUAGCAAAGAAGGGAAUUCAACAACUAAAUCUGAAUGAAUAUGUCCCGUAUUGGCAAAGCUUGUUAGUUCUGGAAGCCAAUAGAGCCGCAGGAAGUGUAGUUUAGGAAAUACCUUUAAUUCAAUCAACUUUCCUUCAUCUCUUUCUGACCAUCCCGUGGUGUCGACUACCCCUUCCAUUGACUCACAAUAGCUUAUCUCAAGAUGUUGGAGCUGCAAAAGGCUAUUAACCAUAGAAUAUGAAAACAGAUACUUCAUACGAUGACAACCGACCACGUGCAGCUUUGUUAGAUUUUGACAACAGUACAUUCCUUGAUUAUGAUCGGCCCAUAAUUUUUUCAUGUUUCUCAAGUCCCUGAGAUUCAAUUCCUCUAAGCUCGGAAGAAUAACCUGCAAAGAAAACCCGUACAUUUUUGUUCCUUCAAGUACAACCGUCUAGUAUAAUAUUCUUUUGAUGAUCGAAGAUUAAUCGUGAUAAUAAAUUAAUCAAUUAAUUAUUGAACAGAAAAUUAUCACCUUUGGAGCAGGAUCAUCAUCAGAAAUGAUUUCGUUGAAUCCCAAAGAAGUUGUUGGUUUGUCCAUGUCGGGUCCUAUAAACAAACAAAAACAAUAUACAUAAUUAAUCUUUGUCGUUGUCUUUUUUUUUCAAAAUAAUUGAGGCGAAGUCCAUAAAUCCACCAACACUUAAUUUCAACACUUACCAACAAUCAUUUCCAGAUCAUCGCAAAAAAACACUUCUACCUUUUGAAGCCACAGUAGGUUUUUGGCCAUGGAGAAUGAGAAAAGAUGCUUCAAUUCGUGACAGUCUGAUACUUUUAUAAUCCUUAAGUUGCUGAAAGAUUGAUCUUCUGUGAGUUGGCUGUCACAUAUUGUCUCCAAAUUUAUCAAACGACGAAGAGACAAUGACUCCAGCAAGGGGAAGACUUUGCGACGAACCCGUCCAACUGAACAGACAAUAUGCAAAAUCUCAGACCAACUUUUUACAGCAAGGUGCUUCAAUCGUGGAAAACCUUCCCCAUCAUCUAAUUCAUGAACAACAUUCUGAACACCCUUCAGUUCUUCUAGAUAGAGAUAUUCAGUUCUCUUCAACAACAGUUUCAUCCUGUAAUUCUGCAAAAGAAUGCCAAACUUUUCCAGCCUCUGGAGCUUCAUCAAUCUUGAUAAUCCAGAUUUAACGGACCAGCUGCUCCCCCACUUAUUUCCUAUACAUAUCCUAUAGGUAGAAGUGUUCUAGCUAUUAAUUUUAUACAUAUCUUCUAUAGGUGUAUUCUAAUUAAUUUCAUACAUCAGAUUUUUAGAUAAAAAUAAAGAAGUAAAAAAAAAAAAUCUUCACAUCAUCUUAAGAAAUUCAAAGCCAUGAUACCACAUCCAAUCACGAGAAUCCAUUUUCCUAUGAUCACUGACCUUUAGGUGCGGUGCUUGGUUUGAAGAAGGGAAAGGGGGUGAGGAAAGUAAUUUGAAUUCCUUUCUUAUUUCCGUUGUUUGGUCGGUCAUAAUAUAAAAGAAUUUAAUUUUCAUUAAAAUUUAAUAUAAUCAUAAUGUGGAAUUUAGAUUUCUCAAUAAAGAGUGAUGAAUCUUGGUUUGGGUCUGUUUUGAGUUUAUUUUCAUUUAUUUGGCUAUGUUUUGAUAGCGAAUUUUGAUAUGUCAAUAUAACGUGUAAUUGUUUUGGGUUGAGCUGGUAAUUAUGCUGGAUUAGAUUGGUUUGGUUUUGGUGCUUCUCUGAUGGAACACUGUUUUUUUUAGAAAUUUUGAAUGUAAUAUGAGACUACAUUUAGUUUAAUUGAACACUGCAUCUAGUCUAAUUACUAGAAGUGCGGCAUUUGGUUUGGUUUAUCCUAUAUUCUCCAGAAUUUCACUUGCAUCUGGUUUUGUUGCAUAUGUUUGCUUGCAUUUGAUGGCAGUAGCAGACUGUUUGGUUUUGUGACAUUUGAUGGCAGUUUGGUCUGUUCUUGGUGUUGGUUUAAGAUUGUUCCUGUUGUGCUGAUGUUAAUUGCAGGUGCUUGAAUCAGCUAGGGUUGCUGGUUUAUUCAGAUGGUUGACUCAGGCGUUGUUACUGGUUAAUUCAGGUGGCUGACUCAAGUUGUUCAUUUAAUGUUAGGAAGCAAAUUAAGAAUUAAUGAAGUAUUCAUUAAACUAUAAUUAUUGUAGUUAUUUUAUUUCAUAACUGAAUUAUAAUCUAUGAUACUUGUGAACAAAUUAGAGAAUUUUUAUAUAUGAAUUAUAUAUAUGUGUAUGUACAUUUUGCUAAUAAUUUAAAGAAUAUAUUUCAAUUCCCACAAAAAAAUGGCUCCAAUUUCAAUAAUUCCCGCCAAAUAAUUAAAUUUUUUUAAUUUACCACCAAAAUAUAUCUUAAAGAAAUUUUAGUUAUUCUUGCUAGAUUUAACAAAAAUGAUUUGUAGGAUUAACAUUUAAUUAAAAUAAUUAAAUAAUUUUAUUAUUCCAAUUAAAUAUGUCAUGUUUAUACGACAGACAAUAUUCAUGAAUGGGAAGUAUUAGUUACGUAUUUUUCCUUGGGAUUUCAGGCAAAUGAAAAAAAGAUUGAGAAUGAUUUCAAGAGGACAGGUGGAUGAUAAGUAUUCAUUUUUGUAUAUUUGUCUAAUGUCCUCAUUAGUGGAUUUUUAUGGUAUUGAUCUUUUUUUUUUUUUUUUUAAUUUUCAAUUAGUUGCAGCCCUAGAGGAAGAGCAGGCUGAUCAAAUUGAUUUGUCUUGUUUUUCGGGCAAUCUACGACAUGAUGACCGUGAUAAUGCUCGUGACUGCUGGAAACUUUCUGAUGGAAAUAACUUUAGAGUUCGUAGCAAGCAUUUUUGUUAUGACAAAACAAAGGUUCCCCCAUAAUUUGUUUGUUUGUUAUGGUAUUUAUAUAUCCUGCAUAGGCUAGGUAGACAAGUUAUGAUGUACGUGUUUCUCAUAUAGAACUCAAGUCUGCUGUUGUCCCAAAGUUGGAACCAGAGAUAUCAUGACUCUGGUUUCAUUUCACCUCAACUGUGUUUUUUUUUUUAAUUAAAAAAAUAUUUGUUUUAGGUAUACAUACAUGUAUUUUGAUUCUAUUUUCAUUGUAAUUUCUCAUUUACUUUGAAUGAAAGUCAUUGGUGUUUUCGAAUGGGAAUUUUGCAUUAAAAAAUGAAGAAUAGUGAAUAGGAAAUUUCUUGAUUCUUUAGUUACUAUUUUUGGUACGAGUGCCAUUAGUAGUAAAGUUGGUUUCUACUCGCAAACAAGUGAACUGCUCGAUUCCCGAGUGGUAUCAACCGGUUUCCAACUUUUUAAUAUACACUAAUUGUUAUUGUUUAAUAGCUACUACUAUUAAAACUCAACAGCUAACAAAAAUACUUAAAAAAAAUGAUUUUUCUUAUGAUGCUGUGAAAAAAAUUACGGGUUUACUUCUUUCCACGAGAUCUAUAACAUGGUCUUGAUUUCACGAAAUUCUUUUAAUUUAAAGCGUGCUGGUGUGAGAAGGUCAGUUUGACUGAUUAAUUCUUUUUAACAGUGGUCGAGAUAAUUUUACUAUACUCGAAAAUAUUCUUAUUCUGAUAAAGCCAUAAAUGUUAUGCUGUUUUCUUCGGCUAAUGAUCUUCUAUCAGGAGAGGUUAGAAAUCAAAUGCUUAAAAGACCAAUUGAACGAAUAAUACAGAAAUUUAGGCAGAAUCUAAUCGAAUAUUGUAUGAAACAUGAAACAUCAAUUCAAGUCCUUUCUUAAACAAAGAAUGCAUCAAACAAAAUCCAAAGUGUCUUGCAAGUUUGUAGCAUGAGCAAAAAAUUGUAAAUAUGUAGAACCAAAUUAUUCAAGUACAGAAGAACGAGCAAGCUAAAUCAUGUAUAAGAGAUUGGCCUGGUUCAGGAUAGCUUCUUCACUGUAGCUGAAGGGUUGGCUCAAUCUCUUCUUUAGAAUUCUGCAGAUUUUGUAAUUACUCGUGUAAGCAAGCAUACAUUGCCACCAUAAGAAUAAUAAAGCAAGAGUAAUGAUAUGACCACCACCUCUUGUGCACAAACAAUAUUGUAUAAACUAAUGCGACAUAAUAUGAUUGGUUAAAUAAAAACAUUACAUGGCCCUCAUAAUUUAUUUAUUUAUUUAUUAUUAUUAUUAUAUAUUUUCAAUCAACCAAUCAUAUUAUAUCACAUUAGUUUCUAUAAAAUAAUUUGCUAAAUAGCACCGAAACUUAAUUGAUACUCACCAUUUCAUUGAACAAUUUUUUUAUGGUGUCAUUGAGGUUGCCUUCCCAACAUCCUUCAUCAUCAUCAUCUUCUUCAUCAUCAUCAUCUUCUUCUUCAUCAUCUUCAUCAUCAUCAUCUUUUUCUUCUUCGGUGACGUUCACUUUGUUUAGCAUUGGUGUGUCUAAGACUCCUUGAGAGAAGAUCUUCAUUUUUGGACACUGUCUCACAACUACUUGUUCCAAGGAUGGGAACUCAAGAGCGUAAUUACCCAAACAAAAGCUUGUUAGGCUUGGCAAACAAUCAAGUCCCAAGUACUCCAAUUUCCUGAAAACAAUGCAAUCGUCCGCUUCUUCUCCAACCUGCGACUGUAUAAUUUCUUCCAUCAUUUUGCAAUCAGUUAUCUUCAUUCUUUCAAGAUUCACUAGACUUUCAGAUGUUGAGAGCGUCAAUAAAUUUAUCAACCCAUGACACUUCGAUACUUCCAGAGUCGCAAGAUUUUCCAAAUGCCACGAAGCUGGUACUAAUUUCUGCAACUUACUACAUUCAAAUAUUUCUAGACUUUUCAAGUUUGCAAACACUUUGUUGGAUUUGGCAUUUUCCUUCCAGAGAUGCUGCACUUUGUGUAAUCCAGAUAGCUUUAACUUCAUCAAUUGAGGGAAUGCAACCUGGAAAUCAACAAAAUUAAGUUGUAAAUGAAAAUAUGUAUCCAAUCUCUGCAGUCUUCCCCUGCAUAUUUUAUGGACAAGAUUAAUCACGGCAUUUUAUAUUUUAUUUCCAAAUUAGUAUGCUUUGCAGUAGGAUCCCAAAUAUAAGUAUCAAAUCGAUUACCCUUUGAAACACAUAAAUGAAAUCUGAUCCUAAAUCCAAUAUGAAUUAGCUAGGAAAACAGAGACCUAACACGCAUAAUCGAUAUAGUUCAUCACCUCCUGUCACUAGGCAUCUAAUUAAUUUGAGACAUUUUUUUAAUUCAUACUAUAAAGUUAGUUAAUAACUACGGUUAUAUUGUUAAACAUGUAUAAAUUAAGACGACGUGCAAAAAGAUGAGUCAUUAAAUUUGAUUUGAUUCUAAUGAAAUUAUAUCUGUGUGAAUGAAAGUGAAGGGAAAAAUAAUAAUAAUGUUACCUUUUCAUCGAAGAGAUGUUGUAUUUGAUUAGCUACCAAGAGGUUCUCUUCUUAUUUUAAUUUUUGAGCUUCCUUAUUAUCUGUUGUCAUGUGCAGUACAGAUGUAGAAUUGGACAUGAAUGUUUCCAUAUCAGGGCAAUUCUCAAUAGUUAGAUAUCUCAACUCAGGCAGUUCAAUUAUAUUCCCAGUGAAGUUGCAGAAUCUUUUGAGUUUUGGAAGGUCAAUGAGCCUUAGCUCAAAAAGCCUAGGAAACAGGGGGCCUAUAUGUUCUUCCUUGGCAUUUAGCUCUUCCAAAUGAAGCACCUCUUCUAGUGAAUCACAAUUCCUCACUUCCAGCCAUCUCAAAUUGUUCAAGCACCGUAUCAGAUUGGCAGGAAUAGCACUCGACAUAUUCGUGCGGUCAUCCACCACCAGGUGUCUUAAAUUGUUGAAGAAGCUGACAGGCAGUGCUUGGCCAUGCGAGAGUUGCAAAUGGUUUAUAUCAAGGAAUCCAAUCUGCACAAACCAAAACAAUUGCACUGGAUAUAUACAAUUUUUUCUUUCUGAAAGGCAUAGAUAUAUGUACAUUAAACUUACAUGUUUUCUGCUUUAACUUCUAAAAAUAUAUAUACAAGGCAGGUGUAUAUGCUUAAAUGUGCAAGUGCAGGGGAGAUGCAUGAACAAUUUGGGUGAAUCGAUUAACACAUACCAUCUUUUUGUAACAUAUGUUUAAAUGUGCAAGCGCAAGGGAGAUGCAUAAGCAACUUGGAUGAAUCGAUUAGCACAUACCAUUUCUUCGUAACACUUUUGUAUAGUGGAAUUAAGCUUGUUGCCUUCCCAAUGGUGCAGUUCACCCUCUUCCUUUUCAGUCACUUGCACUUUGCAUGGCUUUGUAAUGGAUAAGAUUCCCUGAGAAAAAGUCUUCAUGUCCGGACAACGUAUCAUAGAAACUCGUUCCAAUGAUGGGAAUUCAAGAGUGCAAUUCUCCAAACAAAAGCUGGUAAGCCUUGGUAAAUCAUCAAGUAUCAAAACUUUUAAUUCGCUGAAAGCAAUACGAUUCUCCUUCACUUCUUCUCCAACAUGUCCUACGAUUUCUUCUAAUUUUUGGCAAUCUGAUACUUAAAGAUUCACCAGACUACUAGGAAUUCCAACCUGAAAAUAAGCAAAAGUGUGUGUGUAAGAGUAUCAUUCAACUAGGUCCAAAGUAUGUUUAAAACAUACAAUUAUAUGUUAACAUAACAAACCAUGAAAUGUCUACUAGAUAAUUUUUGUUAAACAAAAAAGGCAACAAGAUAAAUAAAUAAAUAAAAGCCAGAUAAACAAAGACAAUAAAAAUGCAUUUACACUAUUUAGUAUUAGGAGCGUAGAAAGAAUUUAAGGCAAUUUCUAAAUAUUUUAGACUUAUUUUGCAUCUUGAUGCCAGUUUUUAAACAAAAUUUGCAAAUUUCAACUAUUCCUUCUGGGAAAAAAAAAAAUCAACCACCAACAAAGUGUUGGCUCCAUUGGCAAUGGAGUCCCCUUAAGUGGUUUGACUGGGUUUGCUCCCCAGUUCGAGUCGCAGGGAAGUCGCCUUUGUUGGGAGAACUUGUGCCUCCCGGUUCGAGCGGGGACUUCUAGUCUGGGUUGUGGUACGGGCUUAAAGGUGCCUUCCACAGUUGGGGCCCUCCCCAGGAUACCUCGUGAUUAAUAUAAAAAAAAAAAAAAAAUCAACCAAAAUGCCGCUUUUUCCCUUUUUCCCUUUUUCCUUGGUCCCUUUUUUUUAUGUAUAUUUAAUUUUGGAAACAAAAUUAAAGUGGAUCUUUAUUAAGUACUUCUAGACUCGAGGAAAUUUCUUUACAAUCAAGGAUCAAUUGUAAAUAAUCAUGAAUUUGUGGUUAAUUAAUGGCAUAAUCAGUUCGUAACUAAACAAGAGAUAUUAAUUAAAUUUGAAAACUUUUCUUUUCUUUUUUUCUUUUUCCAAUCGAAAUGUGAAGAAUUAAGGAAAAGAGAAAUAUAUAGAUGAAUUUGUGAACCUAUAAGAUGAGUGACCAUCCUUUAAUUUUUGAAAAUUGUACUUAUUAAGAUAUGAGCAGAAACAAUUAAAUUGAAUUAUAUUAUGCUGUUGAAUCGUGAUUAAAAAAAUUAUAUUGUUGAUUCUAAUGCUGGCGAACCUAAAAACUGGACUUAAAAUGUAGAUUUGAGAGUGGUGGUUCGAAGUACAAUACUUGAAAUAAAUAAUCAGUGGCUGAAUAUCAUUUGUAAACCCAAAAAUGGUUAAAAUAUUGUUGGAUGUAAUUAAAAAAAAAAAGAUUCGAAAUGAAUACAACAACCUUACCAAUGGAGGAAAAAUAUUCUUUAGGUUAUCACACCACCAUAUGUCCAAAUUCUUCAAUUUGCUGAAAGACUCCGAAGCAAGCUGGUGGUGCCAUAUUUUUCUCAAACUAUCCAUCAAGUCAAUACGUAAUACCUCCAACCUAGGAAGUCGUACUUGGCAGUUAAAGAUUAAAUAACUAAUUAAUCAAUUAAUGGCAUAAUCAAUUGAUAACUAAAUUAGAGGCGAAUAUUAACUAAAUUUGAAGACUCAAGGAAAAGACAAAUUAAGUAUUGGGACUAAAAUUAAUUUUUUUUUUAUUUUAAAAAAAACCUUUUCGUCAAUGAGAGGAGGAGGUUGCAUUUCAGAAUGAAUGGUGUCUUCUGGUGAGCUCGUAGAAAUGAAUCUUAACAUAUUACUGCAACUAUCAAUCUUGAGUAUUUGCAAAGAAGGGAAUUCAACAACUAAAUCUGAAUGAAUAUGUCUCGUGUUUGCAAAGCUUGUUAGUUUAAAAAGCCCAUAGAGCUGCAGGGAGUGUAGUUUAGGAAAAACCUUUAAUUCAAUCAACUUUCCUUCAUCUCUUUCUGACCACCCCGUGGUGUCGACUACCCCUUUCAUUGACUCACAAGAUCGUAUUUCAAGAUGUUGGAGUUGCAAAAGACUAUUAACCAUAGAAUACGAAAACAGAUACUUCAAAUGAUCACAACCGUCCACGAUCACCUUUGUUAAAUUUUGACAACAGUACAUUCCUUGAUUAUGAUCGGCCCAUAAUUUUUUCAUGUUUCCUAAAUGAAAGAGAUUCAAUUCCUCUAAGCUCGGAAGAAUAACCUGCAAAGAAAACCCGUACAUUUUUGUUCCUUCAAGUACAACCGUCUAGUAUAAUAUUCUUUUGAUGAUCGAAGAUUAAUCGUGAUAAUAAAUUAAUCAAUUAAUUAUUGAACAGAAAAUUAUCACCUUUGGAGCAGUAUCAUCAUCAGCAAUGAUUUCGUUGAAUCCCAAAGAAGUUGUUGGUUUCUCCCUGUCGGGUCCUAUAAACAAACAAAAACAAUACACAUAAUUAAUCUUUGUCGUUGUUUUUUUUUUCAAAAUAAUUGAGGCGAAGUCCAUAAAUCCACCAACACUUAAUUUCAACACUUACCAACAAUCAUUUCCAGAUCAUCGCAAACAAACACUUCUACCUUUUGAAGCCGCAGUAGGUUUUUUGCCAUGGAGAAUGAGAAAAGAUGCUUCAAUUUGUGACAGGAUUGUACUCCUAUAAUCCUUAAGUUGCUGAAAGAUUGAUCUUCUGUGAGUUGGCUAUCACAUAUUGUCUCCAACUUGUUCAAAAACCAAAGAGACAAUGACUCCAGCAAGGGAAAGACUGUACAAUGAACCCGUCCAACUGAACCGACAAUAAGCAAAAUCUCAGAACAACUUUCUACACGAAGAUGCUUCAAUCGUGGAAAACCUUCCCCAUCAUCUAAUUCAUGAGCAACAUUCUGAACACUCUUCAGUUCGUUUAGAUGGAUCUCUUCAGCUUCUUUCAGCAACAUUUUCGUCCCAUAAUUCUCCAAAAGACUGCUAACAUUUUCUAGCCCAUCGAGCUCCACCAUUCUUGAUGUUUCAGAAUUAACGCCCCACAUGCGCCACGCUUCUCCUAUACAUAUCUUAUAUCUUUGCAAUUCCACAGAGACUAAAUCCUGCGGCAGAAUUUGGGCAUCCCAAAAUUGUAUCUCCAAAGUAGUUAGCUUUGACAGCCCCUUCAAUUCAGCAAGACUGGCGGUACUUCCUCCUUCAACCUUAUCCCACUGCGAAAAGCUGUCACCCAUAUAUAGUUCUUCUAAUUGAGAAAAUUUUGAUAUGAGAUUUGGUGCUAUCACUACAAGGCUCCUACAAUUGCUCAAAUCUAGCAAUUGUAACCGCGUCAAUUGUCCAAUUUCAAGUGGUAACUGCUUAAUGUCGGAAUCUCGAAAGCUAAGAAUCUCUAAUUUCUUUAGCUGUCCAAUUGCAGCUACAUCUUCUAGUUGGCACCAGUCUAAACACAAUGUUUGAAGGUUAAUGAGGCGACCAAGUGAUGAAGGUAAUGAAGAGAAAGGAAUUCUAGUAAGGCUUAAAACUUUGAGUUCUUUCGUCCCUUCAAAAAAGAGGUCUGAAAUUUGCAUACGGCCAUUACCCUCUGCAGACAACAAAAAUAACUGGAGAUUGGGACAUUGCAACCUUUCAGGGAGCUCUUGAAUAUCUCUCUGGGGUAAUGAAAUGGCAAUUGGAUCUUUCCGUAUUGUCUCUUCCAUCUUUUUCUCUAAGUCGGCAACAUUUGGAAUAUUAAACAUGCGCUUCUCUGCGGCAAUUGAUACGGCAACAACAUGAAUGACGUCAUGCAUUUUAGCUUCAUCUUCAGCAUCACCGUCCAACAAUAAGCAUGAAGAUUUGAGGUUGUCGAUCAACCGAUGCACUCUACUCCUUGCUUCUUCCAAUGUGUAAACAUUUUCAAACAAACCCCAACCCACACCAUAUCUCAAUAAGUCAGAAACUUGUAUGGCAUGACCUUCACUGUAUAGACCACAAAGACGGAACAGAGAUUUUGCCUCCUCACUUUCCAAGAAGUCAUGACUCAAUUUUAUGGAGGUGUACACAUUUGCUUGCAUGCCAUGAAUUUCUCUUGCAUCCGAUCUUCUUAGCUGAUUCAAUGCAUCUUUCCAAAAGUCACGCUCCUUAGUUUUCAGAGCAUUUGCAACUGUACUCAGUGCAACAGGCAAACCUCCGCAUCUUUCAAUGAUCUCAUUUGCUAUACUUUGAAAAGCAGAUAUUUUAGUUGAAUCACCCACUAUCUUCUCAAAUAACUGCAAUGCUUCUUCUUUUGAUAAAGCAUCGAUCCAGAAAUUUUUCUGAGAAUUCAUAUCAAUGCACAAUAAAUCUCGACUUCUAGACGUCAAUAUUAUUGUGCAUCUUCUCUGAUCAUCCUCUCUAUCUUUCUCAUCAACAUCUCCAGAAGGAAUUCCAACCGCAUCUAACUCAAGUUUUGUCCAAAUAUUAUCCAAUAUAAUGAGGACCCGCUUCUCUUGCUUCAACCUUUCACGCAGUCGAGAAGCUCUAUGGUGUAUACUAUCAUUCAAGUCAAAUUUCAUGCCUAAAUCAGAAGCGAGCUUGUCUUGAAUUUUCUGGGGAUCUGGGUUCUGUAUUACCUCAGCCAUAACGACCUUAUCGAUCAACUUAUCUUCCAUCACUUUCUUAGCAACUUGCUUGACUAGCGUGGUUUUACCCACGCCGCCCAUGCCGUAGACCCCAAUUAUGUUGAGCUUAUCAUCCUUCAACGCCUCCAUAACAUCCUGAAAUACUUUCAUUCUUGAAUCAAAGGCCUCGUUAUCUUUCCCGUCAUUAAGUCCUGUGCUCUUUGGAGUAGGACGGUAGGAAACAUUAGAGAAGUUGCCUUUUCCCACGAGACCAGCGGCAGCUUCUGCGGCCUUUGCUGCUUGUUUACUAAGCUUGUAACGGGACAUCAAAUUUGGGCACAAUCCUUUGAAGCAGAACUUUUUAGCUCUUUCUUCAUCAUCAAUGAUGGAUUUUGCAACCCCUUCACUGAUGAAUUCAUCAACGCUAUGUAGCCAGUCUGUGACACCCUCAUAAAGCUCAUCCCCUUGUAGCCUAGCAUGAUUAACUGGUUGCUGCACCAUUUCUCUCUUAUAUCCCAGCUGCUUCACUUGAACUUUUAGCUCAUCUAUGUAGCUCUGGUACUUGAACACAUCAGAUAUCUGCCGUGUAAUCGGGUUGAACAGUGACUUUGCACCUUCUGAUACACAGUUGGUUAAAAAAGCCAGACACGCUUCUAUAGCCAUUGCCGGUUGCUUAACAAUAUAUAUCUAGUUUUUGGCUGUUGAAAAAAAAAAUGGAUUCAAAUAAAUUAAAUGAACUAGCGGGGAAGAAAAAGAAAGAAACGACAACAAACAACUUUUUAGAAAAAGGUUUCAGGGGCCUGAAUGGAAAACCAACAAUUUUUUGAGGAAAGAAAACUUUUUUGGAAGAUGGAUGCAAAUUAACCAUUAAUAAUACUGCAUAAGAACACAGAAGUUAACAAUAAACAGUAACUUAAAACUCAAGAAAAUUAAAUGACAAGAUUAAGACAAACAAGAGAUAGUUUUUGUCGGACAUUAAGAAACAACUGCUAUCAAGAUCAAAGAUUAGAAAUUAUGCUAUUGAAAGAAAUUAUUAAAGUAAUUAGAACAAACGCACCUCUUCAAUUAUCUAGGAUCACAGAGUUUAUGAGCUUCACUCUUGGCCUUCGAUUUAUAAGAAAAAUUUUAAUGAGCAAAAGAUCACUGUUGACUGCAGAAGAAUGUGAGUAAGCAAUACAAUUGAAUUGUAAAAGAACAAGACUUAAAGCGUGCACCCCAACAGAACACAUGUUCAUUUUUAACAAAGUGAUCAAUAACUAUAUUCGUUAUUUAAUUGAUAUUGUAACCAAUUCUAAGAGAAUAUAAUAAUCAGCAAACAAACAACAUUGAUCUUAUGCCUACUGAUAUUUAAACAGAGAAUUCUUUCUUCUUUUUCUCUUCAUGGAUUAGAGUUUUUGCUAUUAACAGAAUGGUUUCAAGGGUCUGAAUAAAAUCCCAGACUUUUUUUUAACUUUGUUUUCUGUGGGAAAAUGGAUUCAAAUUAACCAAAGCCAAUAAUAAGAUCACAGACUUUAACAAUGAACAAUAACUUAAGCAAAACCAAUGACAAGAUUAAAACAAACCAGAGAAAUUUUUUCUCGGAAAGUAGAUGAAAAGCAAGUAAGAACUGCUAUUAAAGGAUAUUAUUAAAGGAUUUAGAACAUGUAUACCUCUUUAAUUAUAUGGGAUCAGAGAAUCGAUGACCUCCACUAUUCGCUUCGGAUAUUAAGUAAGAACUGCUAUUAAAAGAAUGAGUUGAUGAGAGUAAUAACAAUGAAUUGCAAAAUAGGAAGACUCAAUCAUGCACCCCUUUUAUACCUGAUCAUAUUAAGAAGUCGUUAAAGAAUAACGACUAAAUUAGGAAUUAAUUCUGAAGUUCAGAAUCAAGAACAGAGACGAAGCUUUAAUAAAGCAUGCAGUGAGAUACAAGAAAUGGAUCUGAUAAAAUACAUUAAAAAAAUUUGUUCAACCUAGUUAAGCUGAUGAAAGCACUAGUUGUUGGCUCUACGUUUCAUAUGUUCUAAUGAAAUAAUUAAGUUGAAGUUUUCAACGAAUAAAUACCUGUUUCGCUUGAAUAGCUUUGGCAUAUACAUUACUUGUGUCCUGUGAAAUUGAAAAGGUUAUUGAUUUACAAAGCUUAUUAGUAGAGAAAAGCUACGUAAGAUGCCUGAUAAAAGAUAAAGCAAGAGCUUGAAUGAAGAAUGACAUUUUAGAAAGAAACUAAAGUGUAAUCAUCAAAGUAGGAUCAAUAAUGUACCACUUUCCUUGCAAAUCUGGUGGGUUUUCUGAAUAGAUUUUUACAUUAUUCUUCUAUUUAACCAUUUUGGCUUUACCCUAAGCAUUCUUGGUUGGCAUUGUCCUGUAAUCUGCGUGCCCUGGAUACGUGAGAGGGAAUGAUGAGGGUAGAUAUGCAAUUUCAAGAAGCGAUUUGCUUGUAUAAUUCAAUGCAUGGAAAGAGAUGUACCUGACCAGAAAAAAAAGGGGACCAUCCAUAUCUGAGCUUGACUUUUUAGAUAGAUAAAUAUUCUUAUUACUGUUGAUAAUGGAGAAGGGUUCUACUUUUACUUUGCCAUCUUUGAUAUAAAACAGCAUGAUUCCUUUUUUUCAAACACUUGCCUAAGUCUAUUUUUUAUUUUUCUUAUUUUCAGAAAGAGAUUAGCUUAAUUUAAAUUAUAUUCAAGUACAAAGUGUUAUACACUCAUAAAACGACAAAUAGGCAUGUAUUGAUCACGCGCAAUCUGUUUUUUUUCCCCCUUUUUUUUUUAAUCCAGUCUUCUUAUUUAAAAAAAAGAAUUUAUUUGCUUUAUUUUAAAUUAUUUUUUCAUGCGGUAAAUGCAAUACUGAGUAAUGGGUGAGCAAAAUAUUUACAGGCACACCCCCUUUUAAUGAUUUCGUACUAAAAUUAAAAAUUGACGAUUCCAUAAUAAAGUUCAAAGAGUAACUGAAGACCCAUAAAUGUUUUUUGGUCAUGAGCAAUUUUUGAGUUGGGACAGCACUCCUAUGAAAAAAAAUAGUUUUUUUUUUCUUUAAGCAUGAGCAUAUUAAUUCUUUUUUUAUAAAUCAACGUGAAUAUAAAAUUAAAAAAUAGUUUUGAAUAACUUCUUUUCUUUUUUCAUAAAUAUAGAUAUAAAAUUUUAAAGUCACCAAACACAAAACCAGGAAAAUGGAAAGGAAGCCCCUGUUUCUCCGCUGCUGCAAGCACAAAUUCGGUUUCUACAGGAGUACCUUCUAAAUGCACCAUUUGUAUUGCUUUGUCUCCACUUGAGCUAAUGGAAUUUGAUGAAGACAAAAUAGAUAUGAGUCGUGCUAUUCACACCCCUCGAUAAUUCUUUCAAAAUCCCUUUUCUAAUUAUACCCCGUUAAUACCCUUGUUCGCUAUGAAAAUAAAGCAAAUGCCUGUAUAAAAAGCUGGCUCUAAUAAUCUACUUGAAUUUACAUCAGAAAAGAGUGGACUUUGAGAAAUAAGAAGUCAAUAUGGAGAAUUUUACCAAAAUAAUCCAUUUUUAUAUACAGGGAAUGGUAUUUUCUGAUAUAGGGAGGAGUGGAGAAAUUAAAUUCAGCAAAAUAAAGAACCUCCAUCGAGAAGCAAAAAUGAUGAUAUCUUUGUCGUGAAGAGAUUUCUGCCUCAUACAAAUUUUUUAUUCUAGAAUGCUUGAAACCGAAAAGUUCUGUAGCUGUUUCAAUUCAAUUGCAUACAUUGACGAAACAUUAAAUACGAAAAAAACAAAAAAGAAAUAAUAGGACAUGGGGAUUUAGAGAACUUCUAAAGAGAGAAAUGUAUUUAUUGUUGGGAAAAUAUGCUCUUUAAAAGCAUAUGUGUUUAUUUAAUUGUAAUAAACUAUUUUUCUGAUUAAUAAAAUAAAUGAGGCAUUUUAUUCAAAUAUCUUAAUUGCAUUAAUACUUGUAUUAAAGUCCAUUUAAUCAUAUUAUAUGUAUUUAUGUGAUCACCAUGUGGAUUCACAGAAGACAUAAAUACAAGUUAUCUUAUGAUUAAAUAAAUUUAGUUCGCAGUUGAUAAAUAAAGUUGGGCACUUUAUUUAGGUAUAGACUGUAAUAAAUUCAUUGAAUGAUUUGUCUUAAUUAUGUAUGAAUUUAUUGAUGUAGUACGACUACAUUGAACAGGAUCACAUAUGAGAUUUAAUUAACUUUGUAAUAACUGUCAGACUUAUUAAAUCUCAUAGGCAUUGAUUUUACUGUAAUCUUAAUCUUGAGUUAAUUAUGAUUUCAUGAUUGUAAUUGUUAUUCCAUUUGAGUUACCAAUGGGCAUGACACAUACUUGUAGUCUACAUUACCCGGUAUCUUGGUGGGAACAAUUAUGAGUAUUGGAGUUAUGGAUUAACAAUAUAGAAUUUGUACAACACAUCUCUUGAUGGGUUUUCGGUACUUGAUCAUAGAAUUCUCUGGCCAGAGUGUGUCAACAUAUUUAGUAUGUUGAAAAUGAUCAUUAGAGAAAACCAGUAAGGAUCAAGGAAUAAGAUGUUAUUAAAUUGAUUGGACAGUUGAGAUAUCAAUUUAAUUAACGAUGUGGUACAAAGGAUUGUGCAGUAAAGAAAUCAAUGUGGCUUGGGACGAAUUAUUAUUCGAGCAUACAAUUAUGGAAGUCAGUUCCAAUCUUUUAGUGGAGUAGAUUUGGAAUUAAAUAAUUAGGCUAGUUUAAUUACAGGUAGGGAUGGCAAUGGGGAGGGGAGGGGAGGGGACCAAUCUCCCUAUACCCAUCCCCGAUAUUUUAUUAUGUCCCCGUCCCCUCUCCGUCCCCGUCAGAAUUGCUUAAGUGAAUCCCCAUCCCCUCCCCGAAUAAUAACAGGGGAUCCCCGAGGGUCCCCGGUUCCCGAAUAAUUAAUAGUCUAAUACAUUUUUUUUUAUUUUCGAUUUUAAAUUAAUCAUAUUAAAAUAAAAAAUUCAGAUAAAAAUAAAGUUCAAAAUAUAUCUUGCAUUAAUAUUGAUCAAUUUCAAAGUCACAUUCAAAAUAUAAAUUAUUAAAAUAAUUAUCUUUGUCAAUGACUCAAUCUUCAUAAUCCUACAAUAAAAAGAAAAAAAAUUAUUUUUAUAUCGGUAAUAAAAUAAAUGUAGAUACUUAAUUAAUAUUUUUAAUAAAACUAUUUACUUCCUGCUCCUCCUGUUCUUCCUCGAGAAAUGUGGCAAAUUGAGAGUUAGCCUCAGAUUUCAAACCUAAAACAAUGAAAAUGAUAUGAGUAACGUAACUUAUAAGCGCAAAUAUUAAUAACUGUAUAAUAUAAUUACAAUGUAAAAUAAAUUCAUACUGCUAUUGUAAGCUCGUAACCAACUUUAACAGCACAUUAAGGCCUCCAAUGUGCUUGGAUGAAGUUUGUUACGGUGUGGGCUCACAAUUCUAGCACUAGUGCGAAAAGCUGAUUCAGAAGCAACUGUUGUAAUUGGAAUUGCCAAAAUAUCUCUAGCAAUUCGAGCUAAUGUAGGAUACAAAUUAGGAUUAGAACUAUUGUAAAUUAUAAUUAGGCAGCUCUCUCCUGUAUCAUUGUGGUUUGGAUUAAAAAUUUAAGACUUUAAUUAGUUAAUUAAGUUUAAAAGUUUAAUAAUAUAACUAUUUUAAUAUUUAUUAUUUUUAACAAUAUUUAUAAUUUUGUUAUUUAUUUAUUAGUAAUUUUAAAAAUAAAAAUAAAAAUAAAAAUUAAAAUGGGGAAAUGGGUAGGGGAUGGGGAUUCCACCUCAUCCCCGUCCCCUCCCCGAAUAAAAAAUUGGGUAAAAAAUUUUCCCCGUCCCCUCCCCGAAUAAAAAAUUGGGUAUAAAAUUAUCCCCGUACCCUCCCCGAAUGGGGAAAAUCCCCGAGGGUACCCGUCCCCGUGGGGAUUUUUGCCAUCCCUAAUUACAGGCCUAAUUAUUGUAGCCACUAUUGUAUGUUCCCAAAUGAUCCCCGGGUUAGCUCAUUUAAUUGAUUGCACCACUGCUGGACUAAUAAGCAAGAUAACUAGCUAUUUGGGCCAAAAGCCUAAAUAUAUCAUUUAGUGGGAGGCUCCAUUUAAUAAGCUUAUGUGUAAGGGGCCUUAUGUUAUUUUACAUGGUGGGUCCCCUAUUAAAUGAAAAGUAACGUGAGUUUUAUUUUGGGGAAUCCUUGGAGCCUAGGGUUUUCACUAAAGGGAGAUAUAUAAGGCUUAUUUUCCCAAAAAAGAAAAAGAGAAGCCACUUUAUACAGAUCUGAGAAAAAGAUUUUUCUCUCCAUUGUUGAGAGAAAAAUUUUCUCGUGCUAGUUGCUUUGGUAGUGAUAAAGGCGCCCACACGUCAAGUGCAGAUCGAACCUGAGUCAUAACCUGGAAGAUCAUUGGAAACAGUUCGUGAUCUAACAAGCGUGGUGGUGACGGAUCGUGAUCUAACAGGAGUGGUGGUGGUGGAUCGUGAUCUAGGAGCCUAAAUCACUUCAGCGGUAAAAGCCAACUCAGAUUUUCAAGGUACGAUUUCUAGAAUACAAAUUCUUAUAUAUUAUAUGAGAGCGAUCUUCAAAAGGUUUUAUAAAAAUUCAAAAACCUAAUUUUUCCCCAACAUUUAUAAGCAUUGAAAAUUAGCUCAUUAAAUUUGAAAGAAUAAUAUACAAUCUCACUGUUGGCCAGAAAAUAAUAGAAGAACUUGUGAACAUAUAUAAUCAAUUGCUUAUUACUUAAGCUUUUUCUCCGUUAUUUUGAAUGGGUGCAAAGGAGAGAAGUUUUGUACCCAAAUCCAACCCGAAUUGUGUAGGCUGCUUGCAAGAGCUUCAUUAGAUUUUUAUUUGUCUUUUAACUUAACUUCCUUCGUGGUUAAAAUUGUAAAAACAAAUGCGGUUUUAAUAGAAUUAUUGAGGAGUGCCAAUAGUGCUACUCAAUAAAUACAACUAUCUGUCUUUUUUGUUACUGGACUAUAGAUCAAUUGACAGUUGAAGUUAUAUUAAUUUGUUGUACUGGAAUUGAAGCUUGUAUCUUAGCCAUUUCGUGAAGUGUCAAAUAUAUUUUUAAUUUCCUUAAAAUUGUUCAAAAUAUGUUUACACUUUUAAAGUCACUAUUAUACAUGAGUGCCCUAAAAUAAGAGAAGGCGAUUUGCCUGACAUUACCUGUUUCCUGUCAAAUCUAGCAGGUUUACUGAUUAGAUUUUAACAAGUCUCUUGGCAAAGUUUGCUAGAAAUGGAAUCAAAUUAUUCUAUUUAAUCUUACUGUAUAUACCCUAAUAGUUCUUGGUUUGCAUCACUGCAUCGUUCUAUAAUCUGUGUGCGUUGGCUUAUAAGGGCUAGCAAGGCUGACCGUUCGUAGCAUAGUUUUUUUUUUUUUUUUUUUUCCCACAAUGAAAUUCCCAUUGAUUUGACUCAGUAUUUAGAGGUGUUAACGAGGGCACUAUACUAGACAUGGAUUUCUACCUCUUUUGGUUGUACAAUUGUUGUAAUCCUUGGCCAUCAAAUCAUUUUUACGUAGCUUUCUCAGAGUUCAUGCCAAGUGUACAUUAAUGUAUUUAUGUUUUGGGUGCAAGUGGGAUUCUAGUUCUCUAUGGCAGUUGAAGAGGUAAAUGGGCAUAGAGCUAUGCUCUAUCAUAGGCUUCGGCCACUACAAGAAAUUUAAUUUUUUAAGACGAUAUUUUUUACAACAACUUUAAAUUUGGUCACAAAAUGAUAUUUAUUGUGACAAAUUUUUGAAAUCGUAGCUAAUAAUCUUGUCCUAACUUAUAUUGUUUUUUGUAACCAAUUGUUUUUAUUUUGAGACUUGUUCAUAUAUUGGUCAUUAAUUAAAUUUUUUUAUGACAAAAAUUAUUUUAGUCACCAAAAGAUAUAAUUUUUUGGCACAAAAUCUUCUCUCCAAAAGUGAUUAUUUUGAGACAAUAUUUCACUAUUUAUGACAAAAUAAAUAGUCACGAAAUAUAAUUAUAGGCGACCAAAUUAUUUGGUAACUAAAAGAGGGGUGUAAAAUUGACUAAACAAUCUAUGACACAAAAUAUUAGUAGCCAAAAUUAUUGUUCUUUUGGCUAAUUUUAAGACCAUUUUUUUGUCAUAUAUAAUUACCUACAGUGAUAAAAUUAAAAAAUAGUCGUUGAAUGUUUUGUCUUGAAUAAUUUUAUAUUUGAUAACCAAUUUUUUUUCUUUUUGAGACAUAUUACUUGGUCCCUAUUUCAACUUCUUUUUGACGAACUUUAUAAUAGUCACAAAAGACUUUUUUUUUUUUUUUGGGCAUAAAAAGUCUGUCCAAAGUUAGCUCUUUUGGGACAAUAUAUAAUCUUUUAUGACAAAAUAUAUAGUGGCGAAAUAUAAUUAUUUUUUACAAAGUUAUUUCGUAGCUGAAAAAGAGGUGUAAAUUUAGUUAACCUAUUUGUGACAUAAAAUAUUAGUCUCCAAAACUAUUAUGCUUUUAGCUAAUUUUAAGACCCUAUUUUGUUGUCAUGGAUAAUUACCUAUUUUAAAAAAAACUAAGAGAUAGUAAUCAAAAGUUUUGUCUUGAUUGACAUUGUAUUUUAUGAGCAAAAUAUUUUGUUUCAGUGACACUUUACUUGGUCUCUCAUUAGAGUUGUUUGUGAUGAUCAAUAGAAUUAUAUAAUAACCACUAAAUUUUUUUGGGUUAAAUUUUUAUAGAUACUAUUAAUUAAGUUGUUGACGAAAAUGAUCAACCAAUACUAAUAUGGAAUACCAUCAACAGCCGUAAUACUUAUGAAGCGAGAAAUUAUAAUAUGUAGUGAAAAAGUUUUCACAGUAGUCCCUAGUAUUUAGAAUUAUUUUGACUUACUUUAUUUACUUCCAAAACAUAAAAUUCUCAACCCAAAAUUCCCCGCAUUGUGUUUUAUUUUGUCUCCUCACUCAGUUAAGAGUAACUCACGGCUUGACAAAAAAAAGGAAAAAAAUUCUCACAGCUUGAUGUUCUCCUCUCUUUAAAAAUAAAAAUCCCUAGUUACUAUUUGUUUCCACCACCAAAGCAGCCACUCGUAUCUUUUAUUAAGCAUAAUAUUUUUCUUAAAACCUAAUUGAUCAUUCUUUAACGUCUCCAGGAUUAUAUAUGGCUCGCUAUUUUUCUCCUUCAAUUGAAUAGAAGUCUAGAAUUUUUUUUUUUUUCGCAAUUCACUUUUGCUGUGUUUCGUGGUUUGGACGGAGAUCAUGUCAAUAAUUGAACGAUGGGGAUAAAUAUCAAAGAAGGAGCUUACAUGCCCUAUAUAUCUCUCUUUGGAUGAAUAACGAUGGUGAGCUUUCAAAGUACAGAGAUUUACAUGUUUUAAUUGUCAUUUACAUUGCUGCAUGCCAAUUGUUUGAUAAAAUAUCGCAACAAAUACGCAUUCUCGAUUUUCUCAUAAAUUUAUUUUCUUAGUCUGAAAAAAAUUGAAUGUUUAGAGAAUUUUGAAGGUUUUGGUGUAUGUAUUAAUAUUUUGAUUCUAGCCUCAUUUUGCCCCUUGUUGUUUUUAUUCUUGUUUUUUAUAUACGGUUCAAGUGUGAUACACUUUAGUUUUUCUCAACUGUUUGUUAGUUUUUCCCGAAGCAAAAUUUGUCAGACUUUGAGUUCAAAAGUUGAAAUCAUAACUAACAUACUUCGAUUUUUUAUUUUCCUUUUUUCUUCGGUGUCUUUCUAUAUGGCAUUGCUUGAGAAAUUGGUGUACUUAGAUCGUAAUAUUCUGUAGAAAUAAGCCAAUAUUUCAUUGGGUACAUUGUUUAAUAUGAUAAGUACUGUAUGGAAGUUUUACAGAUAAGCUCCUUAUAUAUUAUGCAUUAUGUUUUUAUCAUAUUGUUGCUUGGAACUUUGAAGGAUUGGCCACAGGGCUUUAGUCCUACAUGGACAUUUUAUAUUUAAUAGCUGGUUAGGCAUUUUAUUUGAUGUUAUUUGGACUUGUAGGUCUUAAAAGUUUUGUUCAAUAAUUUUAUAAAGCUUAAUUUCAUAGGUGCUGAUUAGGCAUUUCACGAGGAAAUAGCUGUGCUUUUGGAAAUUAAUAUGCUGUGUUGUCAAUGUUGUGUAAAAUCCUUUUAUUGGUGUCUAUGUAAAGUGUUUCAGAUUUCAGACCUGAGAGUUAAUCUUCGCGUACCAGUUGGCUUUUGGGUUUAGUAUUGCUGCUUUUAACAUAUUUGACCUAUGGCCCAAAUCAUUUCUAUAGGGCGAAGCAUAUGAAUGAUACAUAUUAUCUUUUUUUGGCCUUAUGUAUUGUUAUUUGCACGGUGAUUUGGUCUAGCUUAAGAGCUUAAGCUUGCAGGUUGGAUUUGUCUGACAGGGAACAAUUUAAUUUGUUCAUCGUGAUGUUUAUAUCCAUUUUGUACUACUAUCAAUUUCAAUCAUGCCUAAUUUUUAUAUGUAUUUCUCGUGGACUCUCAGGUUCAGUGCACAAGAGGAUGAAGACGAUGGACACCCAAAUUUGAUGUGGAGAACAACUAUUGCAAAUGGUCCUUGAUUUACUUCUCCAAUUGACUUGAAUUGGUUUUACGCAAUUUAUAGUGUAUUUUUGUCAUCUUUGUAUGACUUGCAGGUCGUCCUGAUUUGGUACAUGACUGGACACAGGAAUUGGACUCAUAUUUUUCAAACCAGAAUGCCAACAAUCAAGGAUUUUCUUUUGAAAGCACUGGCGUCUUCUUCAAUGCCAAAAAGGUUAGAGAUUUUCUGUAUCCUGUUUUGUAUUUGAUCAGUUUAGCAUGUGGGUGGCAAUCAAGAAAAGUUAUUAUAACAUUUUUGUGUUCCCGAAAAACUGCUGAUGAUGUGUGACUUCUUUUUAUUUGUAUUCUUUCUUUUUUCUUUUCUCCCCAACAGUAUUAUGCAUUUCGAAGAGCUUCUUGAAGUUGAUUACCAUGUAUGCCACUUUCUUUACUCUAUGCUCAGGAUGUGAUUUUGCCAAGCAUUAAAAUGGUUUAGGUCAGAACCAUCAUCUAAAGUUUACUUAAAGUUGACGGAUUAAUUCCUUUUAAUAAUGGUCGAGUUAAUUUUACUAUACUCAUAAAACUAUUCUUAUUCUGAUAAUGCCACAAAUGUUAUGAUGUUUUCUUCAGCUAAUGAUCU
rnacentral:lncRNA from 1 species